rnacentral:lncRNA from 1 species
CAAGAGAUAGACAAAAUUAAGCGAUUCAGCACACUUUUCCUUUGUUCCAAGUCUUCGUGUAUCUCAUACAUAUUCUUGUGUCUCCUGUCUCUUCUACAAACAGCCGACGUACCAGGUGGUCCAGCCCAUCAACGGCGACCCAUUCAUCGGCAGCCUGGAGACGCCCGUCACCUCCAGCCCCCUCGUCGCCUGGUACCUCUCCAACCUCCCCGCCUACCGCACCGCCGUCAGCCCGCUCCUCCGCGGCAUCGAAGUCGGCCUCGCCCACGGCUACCUCCUCGUCGGCCCCUUCGCGCUCACCGGCCCGCUCCGCAACACGCCAAUUCACGGCCAGGCAGGCACUCUCGGCGCCAUCGGCCUCGUCUCCAUCCUUAGCGUCUGCCUCACCAUGUACGGUGUCGCGUCCUUCAACGAGGGCGCACCGUCAACCGCGCCCGCACUCACGCUCACAGGCCGCAAGAAGGAGGCCGACAAGCUGCAGACCGCUGAAGGGUGGUCGCAGUUCACCGGAGGCUUCUUCUUCGGUGGUGUCUCCGGUGCCACCUGGGCCUACUUCCUCCUCUACGUGCUCGACCUCCCAUACUUCUUCAAGUAGAUUAAUUAUCGGCAUGCAUGUACGAUGGGUGCAGAUCAUGUGAUCUCUUCUCGAUGGCGGUUGCUUCAAAGAGUCCAUGUAUAAAUGAAUUUACACAUUCCUCACAAUCUUUGCAUGGAUCGAUCAUACUACGAUACUAUAACAUGCGAAUUGCUAAUUUCUUAAAUAAUGCGUGCAUAAACAAAACCCAAUAAGAAAUUUAACUUAUAACCUAGAUGAUGUGAUCUCUUCUCAGUGGUUGCUUGAACGAGUCUAUGUAUAAAUAAAUUUACAUAUUCCUCAGAAUCUUUGCAUGGAUGAUACUACGUAGUACGUACCACUCCCUCCGUUUCAAAAUACUUGUCAUCAAAAUGGAUAAAAAGGGAUGUAUUUAGAACUCAAAUACAUCUAGAUACAUCUUCUUUUAUCCAUUUUGAUGAUAAGUAUUUUCGGACGGAGGGAGUACGUAUAACCAAAGAUUCAAAUAGUACACUACUGGAAAAAUCGUCCUUACGAAGUUCUUUGCUCUUUGUCAAGUAUUGGGACAUAGGAUCACGGUAAAAGACACGUAAGCUAUGUGGGGCUGUCGGUUGCCAAGGGGCUGCUACGGAGGGCUCGGCAAACAAGAAACACUCGGUUUAUAUAGUCUAUGCCGGGAUCCUCUGCUAUGGCACCCGGCAAACAAGUGUCAGGUGAUACGGCCGUUUGCGCUUGACGGCUCCAUCACGUACAGUCCAUCUAAACCGAGAUUCGCCAUCAUGUACUAGGAAAAAUAGUUAGAAAAUUCUUUUUCCCUCACAGUAAAUGUAUGGCGAGCUCCCGCGGCCAAGCACUUCGCAAAGUAUUUAAGUAAAUCCUUUUUCUCCCAUGGUAUAAAUGCUUGCUGAGCUCCCUGUCUACACAGCUCGGCAUUGUUCUCAGGAAAAAGCUGGCAGUUUCAGUGUAGUCAGGUCAUGCCACGUAUUCCGAGUAUUUGCAUUCUCAUGAAAAAGCUGGCAGUUUCAGUGUAGAUCAGGCAUCACCUUUGCCGAGCUCUGCACUUGAUCAAGGCUGACUUCACCGAGAGCAGAAGUUGGCAACAGGUAACAAGAUAGAGCAGUACUAUCUGUUCUAUCCUAAGUCCCUGCAAUUGAGAACACAACAGAUAUAUGUUGUUUGACACAAUUUCAUGUCACAUAUAUCACAGAACAUAUUAUCACAUCGUUAUAGCUCAAAGUGACAUCACAUAUGAAUUAAAUUCUUAUAUAUCAACAAGUUCACAACAUAGGUCACAACAAGUUCGAAACAUAGUUCACAAUUUACUACAUAAACCAUCAACGAACACAAAACAUAAGAAACAACCUGUUCGCAAGUUCACUACAUAGGAGGGGUAUGAGGGUCAACACAUCACGAUAAUCCUGGAGGAGGAGUAGGAGGAUGAGGAGGGCUGCCACGCAUCAUCAUCGUGCACAUUUCCCGUAACCUCUACAGAGGAUGAGGGUCGACAUGUCAGCAUUGUUCCAAGUUGGUCAACCGGUUAAUAUGCAUAGGCGUGGAAAUGGGAAAGUACUAACAGCUAAGUCGGAUGUGAGCUUCUCCCUUUUCGCCUUCAUAGCCCGCAUCGAUCCAUAGGCGGAAGAAGAGCAUGUGAGAGUACCGGGUGAUAUACCAGGUGGACGUACCAGGUGGUCCAGNNNNNNNNNNNNNNNNNNNNNNNNNNNNNNNNNNNNNNNNNNNNNNNNNNNNNNNNNNNNNNNNNNNNNNNNNNNNNNNNNNNNNNNNNNNNNNNNNNNNNNNNNNNNNNNNNNNNNNNNNNNNNNNNNNNNNNNNNNNNNNNNNNNNNNNNNNNNNNNNNNNNNNNNNNNNNNNNNNNNNNNNNNNNNNNNNNNNNNNNNNNNNNNNNNNNNNNNNNNNNNNNNNNNNNNNNNNNNNNNNNNNNNUCCCACUAGUCGCAUUGUACCUCUCCAACCUCCCCACGUACCACAAUGUCGUUAACCCGCUCGACCGUGGCAUCGAGGUCAGCCUCGCCCACGGCUACCUCCUCGUCGUCCCCUUCGCGCUCACCGGCCCGCUCCAUAAAAUGCCCGUGGCGCCAUCUAUCUCGGCUCCAUCCUCAGCGUCUACCUCACCAUGUACGGCGUCACAUCAUUCAAUCAGGGAGCGCUCACGCUCACUGGCCGCAAAAAGGAGGCUGACAAGCUGCGGACCACCGAAGGGUGAUCACAGUUCACACGAGGCUUCUUCUUCGGCUGUGUCUCCAGCACCGUGUGGGCUUACUUCCACCUCUAUGUGCAGAUGAUGUGAUCUCUUCUUGGUGGUUGCUUGAACGAGUCUAUGUAUACAUGAAUUUACAUUUUUUCCUCACAAUCUUUGCAUGGAUGGAUAAUAUUAUAACAUGUGAAUGGUUAAUUUCUUAAAUGUUGGGCGCAUAAACCAAAACCAAUCAGAAAUACGCGGCGUUGCAAACUGAGCAUAACUUAUAACUUAGAUGGCUAAAUUCCUUUCAUGGUAUCUGCCCACUCGUAUUCAAGUUCUUGACUUGACUCGCAUUUUUCAAAUUUAUUCCAUACUUUCUGGCGAUAUCCAUUUAGUGGUAUAGCAUGCCCGUCUACUACGAAAGUGUUUCCAGCAACUUCGUUAAUCUCAAGAUUUGCUCCCUCAGAGUUGUGCAUGUGUGCAUUCAUUUGGGUGACUAUGCGUGUGUCAACAUGAGUGUGUGUCGAUACUUUUUUUUAAAGAAGAAAUUAUUGGUCGUUCGGAAGUAGAUAUCCGAACAUCCCUUUGGACCAUGGAUCCGCGUCUUUUGUAUGAUGACCCGUUUCUAUUUUGAGCUGCUACUCUUCGUCACCUUGACAUCAAGCCGCCGGUUCCCCACUCACAUGCCCUACCUCCGACUUGAUUUGCCUCCCAGCGGAUUUAGGGCUAGUUUGGUUCGCUUCCACGUCGCGGGGUGCCUGGCAAGGAGCUUCCCUGUAGGCUGCCUGGUGCUUGUCUGGUUGGGAUACUGAGAAUUUACAUACGAGCCUGGCAUGGAGCAGCCAGGCAUGAGAUUAGCCUGCCAGGCAUCCCCGUCCAUCCGCCUGGACGGCUGGCAACACCAGCCUGGUGCCGAUCUUGCAGCUUAUAGAUGAGUUAUGGGCUGAUUUCCUCGCUCCAUGGACACGUGGUGGUGGUUGUAUAUUCAUACAUUUUUGUUUGAUCAAGUGGAAAAUUAAUAGUGGCUACACACAAGUAAUGACAUAACUGUACUGGAAAUAACUGGCACAUAAGUAAUGACAUACUCCGGCCGGUCUACAUAUUGAUGGUGGUAGUCACUUUAUAACAUGGGUGAGUUCAAUCACUUGGGGCAUGGCGGGAUCGAUCAACAUACGCAAGUGACUUUUAUCAUCUCUACUACAAUUAAAAUCCACCCUUUGUCUCGCUCCUUCUCCAUUCUUCACAAACCUCCCCAGUCGUCACACACACACUCACUAACACACUACCCACAACCCAAAAUUACUGUUGCGGUGAAAUCUGGAUCAGCUCUAAACCUUUGCUAGAGAAAUCAUUGUCAACAUUGCUGCGAGCAUAUAGAUGUCAUACUUUCUUCUCUUGGCCACACUAUGUUAGGAGUAGGAGGCAUCGGGAAGUUGGCAAGAUGUGAUUGCAGUGCUUGGAAUGUUAGGAGGGCCAGGGAGGACGUUUGGGUCAUCUGUCAUCCAGUGAAGUAUUUGAGAGCGGGGAUUUGGUGCUUGUUCCUCCUCUGCUAGCCUUCGGAUGCUUGUCUCGUUCUGGUGGUAAUGGUUUAAUGAAACGUGAUGAGUAAUGCCAAUGCGGUCAAAGAAAGAAUUCAACCGUUGAUAUUCACCUCCCCAGUCCGUUUGCAUGGCAAUGAUCUUGCAAUUAAAGAGACGUUCAACAUGAGCUUGAAAGAGAUGAAAUUUCUCAAACACAUCAGAUUUAUUUUUGAGCAAAUAGAUCCAACUGAUAUUGCUAAAAUCAUCAAUAAAACUGACAUAAUAUUUCUGUCUGCCUACAGAGACGGGUCCAGGACCCCAAACAUCCGAAAAAAUGAGCUCUAAAGGAGCUUUGGACUCACUAGUUGAACGAGAAUAAGGUAGUUGAUGGCUCUUGCCAUCUGACAUGCAUCACAAAGUUAAAGAUGAUCUUGUUUAUUUGAUACGGGAAGAUUGAAAUCUUGAAGAAUUUUCUGAACCACCGGAGAGAAGGAUGCCCUAAACGCUUGUGCCAUCGAGAUAUAGAUGGUUUCACUACUAGGGAAAAGCCUAUACACAGAAAGUUACUAGCAGCGAGGGUUAAAAACCCGCGCUACAGCUAUAAACUUAGUAGUAGCGAGGUUUAAAAACCUGCGCUAGCGCGGGUUUUUAACCCUCGCUACUACUAAGCGGUCUCUACCGUGCCCCCCGGGACAUGCCAUAGUAGUAGCGCGGGUUUUUAAAACCUCGUUACUACUAAGUUUGCUAGCAGUAGCGUUGAUUUUUAGCCCUCUCUACUACUAAGUGGUGCCAUAGUAGUAGCGAGGGGGUAAAAAACCGCGCUGCUAUUAAAGGUCCCAUUUUCAAACUCUACCCCCCCCCNNNNNNNNNNNNNNNNNNNNNNNNNNNNNNNNNNNNNNNNNNNNNNNNNNNNNNNNNNNNNNNNNNNNNNNNNNNNNNNNNNNNNNNNNNNNNNNNNNNNNNNNNNNNNNNNNNNNNNNNNNNNNNNNNNNNNNNNNNNNNNNNNNNNNNNNNNNNNNNNNNNNNNNNNNNNNNNNNNNNNNNNNNNNNNNNNNNNNNNNNNNNNNNNNNNNNNNNNNNNNNNNNNNNNNNNNNNNNNNNNNNNNNNNNNNNNNNNNNNNNNNNNNNNNNNNNNNNNNNNNNNNNNNNNNNNNNNNNNNNNNNNNNNNNNNNNNNNNNNNNNNNNNNNNNNNNNNNNNNNNNNNNNNNNNNNNNNNNNNNNNNNNNNNNNNNNNNNNNNNNNNNNNNNNNNNNNNNNNNNNNNNNNNNNNNNNNNNNNNNNNNNNNNNNNNNNNNNNNNNGUUGGGCAGCGAUGCGAGCCUCCGCUGCAAGGAGCAAGGAGAAGAGCUCGGUGAGCCUGAUCUGCUAGUCCAUGGCGGUGCGCGUGGAGAUGGCGGAGACGAAACCAUUGUAGUCGGAUUCAUGCACCAGACCUUGGAGGAUCUGAUCGACAGGGUCGUCUUCACCGAGGGCUUCCCGGCAGCUGCUAGCUCGCCAGCGAUGCCCUUCAUCCUGGUGACGUAGGCGGCUGCCGAGAGGUCCCCCUUGCAUGUGUUCCCGAGGGCAGGACGUAGCUGGAUGAUGCGUUCCCUGGAUUGCGAAGAAAAGCUCUGGAUCAGGGCUUGCCAGAUGCUAGUGGAGGUGGUGUGGUUCGAAACUUGCAUGAGAACAUCACGGAAAAGAGAGGCAAUCAAGAACGUGAGCACCUGUUGAUCCUGAGUCACCCAGAUGGCAUACUCAGGGUUGGGCGUGGGGACCGUCUCCCUCCCAUCAGCGAUUUAUUUCUCAGAAAAAGAACAGCGUUUGGCUCCUUGAUCGAUCCGUCAAGGUAGCCCAUCAUGCCCGCCGCCUUGACGUGCGGCAGGACCUGCGCCUUCCAGACCAGGAAGUUACUGGUCGUUCGGAAGUAGAUAUCCGAACAUCCCUUUGGAUCAUGGAUCCGCGUCUUUUGUAUGAUGACCCGUUUCUAUUUUGAGCUGCUUCUAUUCGUCACCUUGAGAUCAAGCCGCCGGUUCCCCACUCACAUGGCCUGCCUCCCACUCGAUUUGCCUCCAAGGGGAUUUAGGGCUAGUUUGGUUCGCUUCCACGUCGCAGGGUGCCUGGCGAGGAGCUUCCCUGUAGGCUGCCUGGUGCUUGUCUGGAUGGGAUCGUGAGAAUUUACAUACGAGCCUGGCAUGGAUCAGCGAGGCAUGAGAUUAGCCUGCCAGGCAUGCCAGUCCAUCCGCCUGGACGGCUGGCAACACCAGCCUGGUGCCGAUCUUGCAGCUUAUAGAUGAGUUAUGGGCUGAUUUCCUCGCUCCAUGGACACGUGGUGGUGGUUGUAUAUUCAUACAUUUUUGUUUGAUCAAGGGGAAAAUUAAUAGUGGCUACACACAAGUAAUGACAUAACUGUACUGGAAAUAACUGGCACAUAAGUAAUGACAUACUCCGGCCGGUCUACAUAUUGAUGGUGGUAGUCACUUUAUAACAUGGGUGAGUUCAAUCACUUGGGGCAUGGCGAGAUCGAUCAACAUACGCAAGUGACUUUUAUCAUCUCUACUACAAUUAAAAUCCACCCUUUGUCUCGCUCCUUCUCCAUUCUUCACAAACCUCCCCAGUCGUCACACACACACUCACUAACACACUACCCACAACCCAAAAUUACUGUUGCGGUGAAAUCUGGAUCAGCUCUAAACCUUUGCUAGAGAAAUCAUUGUCAACAUUGCUGCGAGCAUAUAGAUGUCAUACUUUCUUCUCUUGGCCACACUAUGUUAGGAGUAGGAGGCAUCGGGAAGUUGGCAAGAUGUGAUUGCAGUGCUUGGAAUGUUAGGAGGGCNNNNNNNNNNAAAAAAAAUAAAAGAAAAUGAUGAAAAUGUCCAAAAAUAAAAUAAAAUAAGUUUCCCAUGUGAUAUGUGGUCUAGUUAUUGGGAAAAUUUGCAAAUAUGAAUUUCGACUUUAUUUGCAAAAUCUCUUGAGAAUUUGUAAAAAUGGGCAUAACUUUUGCAUACUAACUCGGAUGAAAAAGUUUUUUAUAUGAAAAAUCAUCUACUCGAAAAGUUAGUUCCGAAUUUAAUAGGGGGAACCCCGUUAAACAUUUUCAAAAUCCUCAAAAACCAAACAAAAAAUAUCUAGAGUGGAAAAAAUCGAAAAAAAUUCAAAUUGUGUGGUCAAACUGUGGUCAAACAAUGGUCAAACUAAUUAUUCUAGAAUAUUAGUGUUACUAAAUAAUUAUUUUAGUUUUUUUUAAUUUUGGUCAAAUCUGGUCAAACUAUGGCCAAACUAUGGUCAAACUAAUUAUUCAAGAAAUAUUAGUGUUACUAAUUUUUUAGAACAAUAGUUUCAAACUCAAAUGGUGAAAUGUGUGACUUCAUGCUCAAGCUAAAUUCCUAAGGUUAAUAGGAUUGACAUCUUACUAUUGUCAGGAAAACAACAAGUGCAGACUUGGAAGCGAGGGAGAAUAGAACCCGAAAGUUAAGCGUGCUCGGGUUGGAGUAGUGAGAGGAUGGGUGACCGUCCGGGAAGUUAGAUGAUUUAGAUUGAUGAGGGGUGAUUAGAGAUUAAAUUGAGUAGCGGUGAGGGGUGAUUAGAGAUUUGAGGUUAAAAUAAUUCAAAAAUUUGAAAAAUAGGGGAAAAAUCGAAAUAUUUUUUUGAAAAAAUUCAAAAAAAAAACCUGCGCUGGUAGUAGUAGCGCAGGUUUUUACCCACGCUACUACUAAAGGACGUAGUAGUAGCGCGGGUGGCACCCGCGCUACUGCUAUAAAUUAGCUGUAGCGCCUUAUUAGUAGCGCCGGCCCCCGCGCUGCUGCUAGGCUUUUCCCUAGUAGUGUUUGAUUGCUCCAAGCACUUUCCUUUGAGGAGCACUCUGCCGCCCGGUCACAGGAAACAUGCGCCACCUACUCCUGUUUUGAAGAAUUGUUCUCCGGGUAUCCUGAUCCUUGACAAGAAAGGUUUCAGGGUGAAGUUCAAUAAACACAUGAUUAUAUUUCAUAAGUUGAUAUGCAGAAAGAAGACUUUGCUCGACACUAGGAACAUGGAGAAUAUUAUUCAGAUUCAACGACCCGGAGGGAGUAGAUAAGCCUGAGUGGCCAAUAUGUGCAAUGUCCAUACCUUGACCGCUAGCAGUGUGAAUUUGCUCGUUGAUGGUGUAGCGAUCCCGAAUGGCAAGCUUAUCCAACUCUCCGGUGAUAUGGUCUGUCGCACCGGUGUUGAGAUACCAGUUGGUAUCUACGUCAUACAAGUGUGCUGCGUUGGCGGGACGAUGUUGGCCACCACCACCGCCGCCGCCGCCACCAUUGCCGCAACCACCACCUCCUACGGGAUGACGAUAGUUGUUGUUGUAGCCCUUGUCGUAGCUUUUCCUGUAGCGCCAUGCACCAUGGCCUUCCUUCUUGCAUAUCUGGCAGCGCUCACGAUCACUGUGGUCACCACCCUGCUUGCGCGGUGCACCACCAGAAGAGCCGCCGCUGGAGUUGUCGGAGUAGCGAGGGGCGGUAGAAUUGUUGUUGUUGUAGUCGGCACGUCCGCCGCCGCUGCCGCCGCCGCGGCUGUAGUUGCCACCUCGGCCUCCAUGAGACGAGAGAUUGGCGGAGUGGUUGGAGGAGAAGGCCGCCNNNNNNNNNNNNNNNNNNNNNNNNNNNNNNNNNNNNNNNNNNNNNNNNNNNNNNNNNNNNNNNNNNNNNNNNNNNNNNNNNNNNNNNNNNNNNNNNNNNNNNNNNNNNNNNNNNNNNNNNNNNNNNNNNNNNNNNNNNNNNNNNNNNNNNNNNNNNNNNNNNNNNNNNNNNNNNNNNNNNNNNNNNNNNNNNNNNNNNNNNNNNNNNNNNNNNNNNNNNNNNNNNNNNNNNNNNNNNNNNNNNNNNNNNNNNNNNNNNNNNNNNNNNNNNNNNNNNNNNNNNNNNNNNNNNNNNNNNNNNNNNNNNNNNNNNNNNNNNNNNNNNNNNNNNNNNNNNNNNNNNNNNNNNNNNNNNNNNNNNNNNNNNNNNNNNNNNNNNNNNNNNNNNNNNNNNNNNNNNNNNNNNNNNNNNNNNNNNNNNNNNNNNNNNNNNNNNNNNNNNNNNNNNNNNNNNNNNNNNNNNNNNNNNNNNNNNNNNNNNNNNNNNNNNNNNNNNNNNNNNNNNNNNNNNNNNNNNNNNNNNNNNNNNNNNNNNNNNNNNNNNNNNNNNNNNNNNNNNNNNNNNNNNNNNNNNNNNNNNNNNNNNNNNNNNNNNNNNNNNNNNNNNNNNNNNNNNNNNNNNNNNNNNNNNNNNNNNNNNNNNNNNNNNNNNNNNNNNNNNNNNNNNNNNNNNNNNNNNNNNNNNNGAUCGAUCAACAUACGCAAGUGACUUUUAUCAUCUCUACUACAAUUAAAAUCCACCCUUUGUCUCGCUCCUUCUCCAUUCUUCACAAACCUCCCCAGUCGUCACACACACACUCACUAACACACUACCCACAACCCAAAAUUACUGUUGCGGUGAAAUCUGGAUCAGCUCUAAACCUUUGCUAGAGAAAUCAUUGUCAACAUUGCUGCGAGCAUAUAGAUGUCAUACUUUCUUCUCUUGGCCACACUAUGUUAGGAGUAGGAGGCAUCGGGAAGUUGGCAAGAUGUGAUUGCAGUGCUUGGAAUGUUAGGAGGGCCAGGGAGGACGUUUGGGUCAUCUGUCAUCCAGUGAAGUAUUUGAGAGCGGGGAUUUGGUGCUUGUUCCUCCUCUGCUAGCCUUCGGAUGCUUGUCUCGUUCUGGUGGUAAUGGUUUAAUGAAACGUGAUGAGUAAUGCCAAUGCGGUCAAAGAAAGAAUUCAACCGUUGAUAUUCACCUCCCCAGUCCGUUUGCAUGGCAAUGAUCUUGCAAUUAAAGAGACGUUCAACAUGAGCUUGAAAGAGAUGAAAUUUCUCAAACACAUCAGAUUUAUUUUUGAGCAAAUAGAUCCAACUGAUAUUGCUAAAAUCAUCAAUAAAACUGACAUAAUAUUUCUGUCUGCCUACAGAGACGGGUCCAGGACCCCAAACAUCCGAAAAAAUGAGCUCUAAAGGAGCUUUGGACUCACUAGUUGAACGAGAAUAAGGUAGUUGAUGGCUCUUGCCAUCUGACAUGCAUCACAAAGUUAAAGAUGAUCUUGUUUAUUUGAUACGGGAAGAUUGAAAUCUUGAAGAAUUUUCUGAACCACCGGAGAGAAGGAUGCCCUAAACGCUUGUGCCAUCGAGAUAUAGAUGGUUUCACUACUAGGGAAAAGCCUAUACACAGAAAGUUACUAGCAGCGAGGGUUAAAAACCCGCGCUACAGCUAUAAACUUAGUAGUAGCGAGGUUUAAAAACCUGCGCUAGCGCGGGUUUUUAACCCUCGCUACUACUAAGCGGUCUCUACCGUGCCCCCCGGGACAUGCCAUAGUAGUAGCGCGGGUUUUUAAAACCUCGUUACUACUAAGUUUGCUAGCAGUAGCGUUGAUUUUUAGCCCUCUCUACUACUAAGUGGUGCCAUAGUAGUAGCGAGGGGGUAAAAAACCGCGCUGCUAUUAAAGGUCCCAUUUUCAAACUCUACCCCCCCCCACCCCCUGUGGAUCGCCUUUUCAGUUUAAAAAAAAAUAAAAGAAAAUGAUGAAAAUGUCCAAAAAUAAAAUAAAAUAAGUUUCCCAUGUGAUAUGUGGUCUAGUUAUUGGGAAAAUUUGCAAAUAUGAAUUUCGACUUUAUUUGCAAAAUCUCUUGAGAAUUUGUAAAAAUGGGCAUAACUUUUGCAUACUAACUCGGAUGAAAAAGUUUUUUAUAUGAAAAAUCAUCUACUCGAAAAGUUAGUUCCGAAUUUAAUAGGGGGAACCCCGUUAAACAUUUUCAAAAUCCUCAAAAACCAAACAAAAAAUAUCUAGAGUGGAAAAAAUCGAAAAAAAUUCAAAUUGUGUGGUCAAACUGUGGUCAAACAAUGGUCAAACUAAUUAUUCUAGAAUAUUAGUGUUACUAAAUAAUUAUUUUAGUUUUUUUUAAUUUUGGUCAAAUCUGGUCAAACUAUGGCCAAACUAUGGUCAAACUAAUUAUUCAAGAAAUAUUAGUGUUACUAAUUUUUUAGAACAAUAGUUUCAAACUCAAAUGGUGAAAUGUGUGACUUCAUGCUCAAGCUAAAUUCCUAAGGUUAAUAGGAUUGACAUCUUACUAUUGUCAGGAAAACAACAAGUGCAGACUUGGAAGCGAGGGAGAAUAGAACCCGAAAGUUAAGCGUGCUCGGGUUGGAGUAGUGAGAGGAUGGGUGACCGUCCGGGAAGUUAGAUGAUUUAGAUUGAUGAGGGGUGAUUAGAGAUUAAAUUGAGUAGCGGUGAGGGGUGAUUAGAGAUUUGAGGUUAAAAUAAUUCAAAAAUUUGAAAAAUAGGGGAAAAAUCGAAAUAUUUUUUUGAAAAAAUUCAAAAAAAAAACCUGCGCUGGUAGUAGUAGCGCAGGUUUUUACCCACGCUACUACUAAAGGACGUAGUAGUAGCGCGGGUGGCACCCGCGCUACUGCUAUAAAUUAGCUGUAGCGCCUUAUUAGUAGCGCCGGCCCCCGCGCUGCUGCUAGGCUUUUCCCUAGUAGUGUUUGAUUGCUCCAAGCACUUUCCUUUGAGGAGCACUCUGCCGCCCGGUCACAGGAAACAUGCGCCACCUACUCCUGUUUUGAAGAAUUGUUCUCCGGGUAUCCUGAUCCUUGACAAGAAAGGUUUCAGGGUGAAGUUCAAUAAACACAUGAUUAUAUUUCAUAAGUUGAUAUGCAGAAAGAAGACUUUGCUCGACACUAGGAACAUGGAGAAUAUUAUUCAGAUUCAACGACCCGGAGGGAGUAGAUAAGCCUGAGUGGCCAAUAUGUGCAAUGUCCAUACCUUGACCGCUAGCAGUGUGAAUUUGCUCGUUGAUGGUGUAGCGAUCCCGAAUGGCAAGCUUAUCCAACUCUCCGGUGAUAUGGUCUGUCGCACCGGUGUUGAGAUACCAGUUGGUAUCUACGUCAUACAAGUGUGCUGCGUUGGCGGGACGAUGUUGGCCACCACCACCGCCGCCGCCGCCACCAUUGCCGCAACCACCACCUCCUACGGGAUGACGAUAGUUGUUGUUGUAGCCCUUGUCGUAGCUUUUCCUGUAGCGCCAUGCACCAUGGCCUUCCUUCUUGCAUAUCUGGCAGCGCUCACGAUCACUGUGGUCACCACCCUGCUUGCGCGGUGCACCACCAGAAGAGCCGCCGCUGGAGUUGUCGGAGUAGCGAGGGGCGGUAGAAUUGUUGUUGUUGUAGUCGGCACGUCCGCCGCCGCUGCCGCCGCCGCGGCUGUAGUUGCCACCUCGGCCUCCAUGAGACGAGAGAUUGGCGGAGUGGUUGGAGGAGAAGGCCGCCUGUUGGGCAGCGAUGCGAGCCUCCGCUGCAAGGAGCAAGGAGAAGAGCUCGGUGAGCCUGAUCUGCUAGUCCAUGGCGGUGCGCGUGGAGAUGGCGGAGACGAAACCAUUGUAGUCGGAUUCAUGCACCAGACCUUGGAGGAUCUGAUCGACAGGGUCGUCUUCACCGAGGGCUUCCCGGCAGCUGCUAGCUCGCCAGCGAUGCCCUUCAUCCUGGUGACGUAGGCGGCUGCCGAGAGGUCCCCCUUGCAUGUGUUCCCGAGGGCAGGACGUAGCUGGAUGAUGCGUUCCCUGGAUUGCGAAGAAAAGCUCUGGAUCAGGGCUUGCCAGAUGCUAGUGGAGGUGGUGUGGUUCGAAACUUGCAUGAGAACAUCACGGAAAAGAGAGGCAAUCAAGAACGUGAGCACCUGUUGAUCCUGAGUCACCCAGAUGGCAUACUCAGGGUUGGGCGUGGGGACCGUCUCCCUCCCAUCAGCGAUUUAUUUCUCAGAAAAAGAACAGCGUUUGGCUCCUUGAUCGAUCCGUCAAGGUAGCCCAUCAUGCCCGCCGCCUUGACGUGCGGCAGGACCUGCGCCUUCCAGACCAGGAAGUUACUGGUCGUUCGGAAGUAGAUAUCCGAACAUCCCUUUGGAUCAUGGAUCCGCGUCUUUUGUAUGAUGACCCGUUUCUAUUUUGAGCUGCUUCUAUUCGUCACCUUGAGAUCAAGCCGCCGGUUCCCCACUCACAUGGCCUGCCUCCCACUCGAUUUGCCUCCAAGGGGAUUUAGGGCUAGUUUGGUUCGCUUCCACGUCGCAGGGUGCCUGGCGAGGAGCUUCCCUGUAGGCUGCCUGGUGCUUGUCUGGAUGGGAUCGUGAGAAUUUACAUACGAGCCUGGCAUGGAUCAGCGAGGCAUGAGAUUAGCCUGCCAGGCAUGCCAGUCCAUCCGCCUGGACGGCUGGCAACACCAGCCUGGUGCCGAUCUUGCAGCUUAUAGAUGAGUUAUGGGCUGAUUUCCUCGCUCCAUGGACACGUGGUGGUGGUUGUAUAUUCAUACAUUUUUGUUUGAUCAAGGGGAAAAUUAAUAGUGGCUACACACAAGUAAUGACAUAACUGUACUGGAAAUAACUGGCACAUAAGUAAUGACAUACUCCGGCCGGUCUACAUAUUGAUGGUGGUAGUCACUUUAUAACAUGGGUGAGUUCAAUCACUUGGGGCAUGGCGAGAUCGAUCAACAUACGCAAGUGACUUUUAUCAUCUCUACUACAAUUAAAAUCCACCCUUUGUCUCGCUCCUUCUCCAUUCUUCACAAACCUCCCCAGUCGUCACACACACACUCACUAACACACUACCCACAACCCAAAAUUACUGUUGCGGUGAAAUCUGGAUCAGCUCUAAACCUUUGCUAGAGAAAUCAUUGUCAACAUUGCUGCGAGCAUAUAGAUGUCAUACUUUCUUCUCUUGGCCACACUAUGUUAGGAGUAGGAGGCAUCGGGAAGUUGGCAAGAUGUGAUUGCAGUGCUUGGAAUGUUAGGAGGGCUAGGGAGGACGUUUGGGUCAUCUGUCAUCCAGUGAAGUAUUUGAGGGCGGGGAUUUGGUGCUUGUUCCUCCUCUGCUAGCCUUCAGAUGCUUGUCUAGUUCUGGUGGUAACGGUCUGGGCCGAAGGAUGAUGAAGUGGUAGUGUUGUUUCUCUGGUCUGUCUACCUGCCUGUUGUCCCUAAGGUUCAAUCGAAGCAGGUGUAUGGGCUGAGAGCCAAAAUCAUCCUAUAAUAUCCAACAGGUGGGCCUAGACCUGAAAAUAAAGAAAAAAAAUGUGCAAUUUUAUAUAGCUGUCAACCAAGGUCUGGCAUUUCUAUAUGCUGUAUAAAAGUAAUUUACGGGCUAAUCAUAAAAGACUUAGCUAUAAAAUUCAAGAAUAAUAAAAAUCAUUCAGCCAUUGAGUAAACUUACUAAACGAUCACAACCAAUAGAUCUUCAAAAGAGUCCAUUAACAUUAGAGUUAAAAAGUAUUUCGCACCAAUGCCCUUUAUUAAGAAAGAUUAUGCAAACAUGCUCGUAUAUGAUAGAACAUAUAUCUUAAGAAAUACCAAGAAAAUCAUGGCUCAGUCAUCCCAAAUUUUGUCAGAGGUUUAUUAAGAAAAUACUAAAUUUGAAGCAUUGAGUCAUUGGCAUACAUAGAAGUAAGAAACUUCCUUAGCUAGGUCGGAAAACCCAUUCUUUUUCGUUUUGAAUGUACUUCGCAAAGGGUAUCGUGAUUGCAUUGUUGGGUACACUCACUUCAGGUUUGCAAUUAUACUUAAAUUUUCACUAAGCUGUCUUGUUUGUACCUGAAUAUAAAUUAUAUCUGGAAUAAUAGAUGUCUUGGAAUAGAUAGGAUACGAACCAAGAAUAUAACGACAGGAAUCAUUAAAAUACCUUUUUACAUGUAGAUAGCUACAAUAUAUGAAAGGGGUUGUGCCCUUUGAGUUACAAUCAGAUAUAGGAAGAAAUUCAUUGCAAGAUCAACGUAAUAACUGCUCCAUAUUUCGAGCAAUUGACAAGAACUACUACCAUUGGGGUUUACCUCCCAGAAAACAACACAUUUUUUACUCCGCAAAACGUACCCCUUGAUUGCCAAAAUUCCCUAAAAAACUACCAUAUUCAGUUAGUGAUUGUUUUAGGCAAUUUAAACCCGUUUAUGACAGGCAGGAUCUACCCGUCAGGGCUGACAUGGCAUGAAAGUCAACUCUGUUAAGUUUGACCAUUAAGUUGAUGGCUAUGACAGGUGAGGCCCACAUGUUAUCCCUGAUAACGAAUUCUCUCUAGGGCAAUUAGCUAGUCUUGCAACUUCAUGGUCGGGAACAGGAGGACCUCCUUGAAAUUCUGAGAGUCCAUCAGCAACAUGGCGAGGCGAUCAAUCCCAAGAGCCCAACCUCCAAUCGGCGGCAGGCCUUACUCAAGUGCAGUGCAGAACGUUCCGUCCAUGGCCAUCGCUUCAUUUUCAUCGUGUUGAUGGUCAUUGCGCUCAUCAAACCGCUGCAUGUGCACAACGGGGCCAUUCAACUUAUGCGUUUUGAUAAACAACUCAAACCCUUCGGCCAGUCUAGGUUGGGCCUCGUUCGUGUGGGACAUGGCCAGUGGGCUCAUGAUCUCUAGAUGGUUGGUGAUGAACGUUGAUAAAGAAGGUUGUAUGCUUUAAUUGAAUCAGAGGAUAAAGGUUCCAAUAUGCCUUACUUGAUAUUUGAUACAAAGGCUAUAGGUUCGAACAUCCCUUUUGAAAAAAAACUAAGGGAUGACUGUAGGUGAGAUUUUACAUCUACCACCUCUCCCAUUGGCGCAGAGACCGCCCUUAUAACUGGAGUGGCACAUCGGUCCCACGCUACAGGUAGUGCCAGGUCAUUGAGACCGCAAGCUGCUCAAGAACCCGUACAUGUAAAUAGAUUGCUUCUAGCACUUCAUCGUAGCGUCUAUAAAAGCAAGGCCCCCGCUCUCCAAAAAUCAGAAUCCACUUCUCCGGUGCCUACUCAUCUCACGAACAUGCACUGCCUCAGGAAUACACAUCUCAUAAGGCAAGGCAAUGCUCUUGAAAUCCAGAUCAGAUCUCUAACUUUUUGAUCCACCAAUUGCAAAAUAGUUGCUAGCUUGAUGUAUUUUCCCUAGCUAUCAUGUGUAAAAGUAGGAGGCAUCGGGAGAUCUAGAACCACAUUUGUGAACCGCCAUAGACUACAUUGAUUUCUGCUCUCCAACGUCGGGUCUUCGUUGUUCGCUGGAGACGCGCGUGUCUAUUGGCGCAGGUCAUGAAGUCGAGGAUGCAUCUUACCCGGUGCUUUUCCGCGAGAAAUGCACCUACACAAAAUCGAUCGAGGACUAUCGAUCACAUAUGUGGAAGCUAGCCUCAAUUACGCCAACCGGAGGUUGAAGCGAAACACAUGCCAACAUGCUGAUCCGAUCUCGACGAGAACACAUUCAUGCGAUGCAUGAUUGUUUGUAGCAGGUGCGAUACAAACUGACCUAGACUAUGACACAUACAAUGAGGUCGUGCCAAUUCGCCAUGAUUAUCCGAUAGUGUUCAUACUCAACAUGCUACAGCAUCAUCGAUGUCAUCAUCAUCCUUCUCCACGCUACACGUUAUGACCAGAAAAUUGACCAUUGAUUGAGUGUCUGUCACGAGUGAGGGAGUCCUGGAUUAGGGGGUAUCCGGACAGCCGGAGUAUAUACAUCGUCCGGACUAUUGGAGCGUGAAGAUACAAGACUCAAGACUCCGUCCCUUGUCCGGAAGGGACUCUCCUUUGUGUGGAAGACAAGAUUGGCGAUCCGGAUAUUGUGUUUCCUUCCUUGUAACCGACUCCAUGUAAACCCUAGCCCUCUCCGGUGUCUAUAUAAACCGGAGAGGUUGGUCCUUAGAAGGCCGGUCACAACUACAAUCAUAAUCAUCAUAGGCUAGCUUCUAGGGUUUAGCCUCUAAGAUCUCGUGGUAGAUCUACUCUUGUACUACUCAUAUCAUCAAUAUUAAUCAAGCAGGAAGUAGGGUUUUACCUCCAUCGAGAAGGUCCGAACCUGGGUAAACAUUGUGUCCCUUGCUUCCUGUUACCAUCAGCCUGAGACGCAUAGAUCGGGACCCCCUACCCGAGAUCCGUCGGUUUUGACACCGACAUUGGUGCUUUCAUUGAGAGUUCCUCCGUGUCGCCGCUGCGAGGCUUGAUGGCGCCUUCAAUCGUCAACAACACGGUCCAGGGCGAGACUUUUCUCACCAGACAGAUCUUCGUGUUCGGCGGCUUCACACUGCGGGCCAAUUCGCUUGGCCAUCUGGAGUAGAUCGACAGCUACGCCCCUGGCCACCAGGUCAGGUUCGGAAACCUGAACUACAUGGCCGAUAUCCACGGAGACAUGAUCUUCGACGGAAUCUGGCAUGUGCCAGGAGCGCCAGACAGUCACGAUGAGCACGGCCUAGACCUGUUGUCGAACAGUGCUCGGGAUAUCACCCCUGCAGUAGCCUCGGACCUAAAUCCGGAGCAGACUGCGUGGCCCAAGGACGGGGGGAUGGACCCCGCCCCGCAGGCCGCACACUCAUCGGCGGUAGAGCCAAACCCAAGCCUCACCUGUAGGGACGCUUGUGAUUCCGGACCCCCGGACUCGUAUCCGGUUGUAGGUUCCAGUCCGCGCGCUCCCGAGCCCGCCGAGCCUGGUUGGGCUCCGUUAAUGGAGUUUACCACUGCGGAUAUCUUCCAGCACACGCCCUUUGGCGACAUGCCGAAUUCAUUAAAGUCUCUCUCUUUGUCAGGAGGCUCUCGGUCGAACUAUGUCCGGCUCGAGGGGGAAGCUAGCGACGAAGGAAUUCGUUGCCCACCCACCACCCACUUCAUAGCCACGGUCGAUGAUUUGACCGACGUGUUGGACUUCGACUUUGAAGGCAUCAACGGUUUGAAGGACGAUGUAGGAGAAAAACAGGAACAACCACCCACGGGGCGGUGGACAGCCACCUCUUCAUAUGACAUAUAUAUGGUGGACACUCCAAAAGAAACCAAUGGCAAUGAGGCAAUGGAGGAUAACCCCUCCAAGAAGAAAGCAAAGCAUGGGCGUCGCCAGCGCCGCUCCAAGCCCCGCCACAGCAAUACCGGCACCGGAGACGAAAACAAUCCGGACGAUGCCGAAGAUCAAUACAACCCCGAUCAGCCCGCCUUCGAGCAGGCCGAGCAAGAAGAUGGGCAUGACAGCCCAGACGAAUAGGUGACGGACGGGUAUCCGGAGGAGGACAACUACGUGCCCCCCUCCGAAGACGAGAUUAGCCUCGGAGACGACGAGUUCGGCGUGCCUGAGGAUCCCAUGGAGCAGGAGCGCUUCAAGCGCCGGCUUAUUGCCACUGCGAGGAGCCUGAAGAAGAAGCAGCAGCAGCUUUAAGCUGAUCAAGACCUGCUCACAGACAGAUGGACAGAAGUCCUGGCAGCCGAGAAAUAUGGACUCGAGCGCCACACGGCUGACCGGCCACCUCGUGGCCAGGAUAAAACGGCAUAUCAGCCCGAAUACCAGCCCGCACCCCCGCACCAGUUUACUACGGCCCGGGGAAAUACUCAGGACCUGCGAGACAAAUUGGAAAACAACGCAGGACAACCAAGAUCGAUCUACGGAUCAUGGGGGCGCGCUGUAGCACAUGAAGAUAACCGUCAUACCGGAUACAUUAACAGUAAAUCCGGCUAGGCCGAACACAAUCAACCAGACUUAGUCGGAUUGCGUCGCGAUAUAGCCCGACACAGAGGCACCGCACACCCCCUCUGCUUCACCGAUGAAGCGAUGGAUCAUGAAUUCCCAGAAGGGUUCAAACCCGUAAACAUCGAAUCAUACGAUGGCACAACAGACCCUACAGUAUGGAUUGAAGACUUCUCCACAUUCACAUGGCCCGCGGAGACGAUCUACACGCCAUCAAGUACCUUCCCCUUAAGCUUAAAGGACCCGCCCGGCACUAGCUAAACAACCUGCCCGCAAAUUCCAUUGGCAGUUGGGAAAACCUGGAAGACGCAUUCCUCGACAACUUCCAAGGCACGUAUGUGAGACCACCGGACGCCGAUGACUUGAGCCACAUUACUCAACAGCCUGGAGAAUCAGCCAGGAAAUUCUGGACUCGGUUCCUAACUAAAAAGAACCAAAUAGUUGACUGUCUGGACGCCGAAGCCCUGGCGGCCUUUAAGUAUAAUAUCCACGACGAGUGGCUCGCCCGACACCUCGGCCAGGAGAAACACAAGUCCAUGGCAACUCUCAUGACACUAAUGACCCGCUUUUGCACGGGCGAGGACAGAUGGUUGGCUCGCAGCAGCACUACGCCACAUUCUGGCACUUCAGACGUCCGUGACAAUAAUGGCAAGCCAUGGCGCAAUAGACACAAGCGACGGAACAACAGCGACAACACCGAAGACACGACAGUCAACGCCGGAUUCAGCGGAUCCAAAUCCGAUCAGCGGAAGAAACUGUUCAAACGAAACAAUCAGGGGCCGUCCAGUCUGGACCGCAUACUGGACCGCCCGUGCCAAAUUCAUGGCACCCCCGACAAGCCAGCCAACCACACUAAUAGAGACUGCUGGGUGUUCAAACAGGCCGGUAAAAUAAACGCCGAAAACAAGGGCAAGGGGCUGCACAACGACGAUGACGAAGAGCCCCGGCGUCCGAACACGGGGGGACAGAAGAAAUUUCCCCCCAGGUGAAAACGGUCAACAUGAUCUACGCUGCCCACAUCCCCAAAAGGGAACGGAAGCGAGCACUACGGGACGUCUACGCGAUGGAGCCAGUCGCCCCAAAAUUCAACCCAUGGUCAGCCUGUCCGAUCACCUUUGAUUGUAGGGAUCACCCUACCAGCAUCCGUCAGGCGGUUCAGCCGCAUUGGUUCUAGACCCAAUCAUAGACGGAUUUCACCUUACACGAGUCCUUAUGGACGGAGCCAGCAGCCUGAACCUGCUUUAUCAGGACACAGUGCGCAAAAUGGGCAUUGACCCUUCAAGGAUCAAGCCCACCAAAACCACCUUUAAAGGUGUAAUUCCUGGAGUAGAGGCCCAUUGUACGGGCUCUAUAACAUUGGAAGUGGUCUUCGAAUCUCCGGAUAACUUCCGAAGCAAAGAGUUAAUCUUCGAUAUCGUCCCUUUCCGUAGUGGUUAUCACGCAUUGCUCGGAUGAACCGCAUCUGCUAGAUUCAAUGCGGUACCACACUAUGCAUACCUCAAGCUCAAGAUGUCAGGACCGCGCAAGGUCAUAACAGUCGACGGAAAUAUGGACCGCUCUCUCCGUACAGAAGAGCAUACUGCAGCCCUCGCAGCGGAAGUACAAUGCGGCCUCCUCCGACAAACCACCAAUCCGGCGACGACAACCUCGAGCACCGUCAAGCGAGUCUGGAGCACCCCGCAACAGGAUCACCAGGCACGCCAAGAGCGCGACUAGCAGUCCAGCCUCCGCUCAAGCCCAAUCAAAGCAGCAUUCAUGCCAUGCGUACACAAUUACGCACUGAAAAUACCAUGGGCACAGGCGGAGGAUCAGCAGUGACUCAGUCAACAGUGCAGUUGAAGGAAAUAUGCCCUAGAGGCAAUAAUAAAGUUAUUAUUUAUUUCCUCAUAUCAUGAUAAAUGUUUAUUAUUCAUGCUAGAAUUGUAUUAACCGGAAACAUGAUACAUGUGUGAAUACAUAGACAAACAUAUAGUCACUAGUAUGCCUCUACUUGACUAGCUCAUUAAUCAAAGAUGGUUAUGUUUCCUAACCAUAGACAUGUGUUGUCAUUUGAUUAAUGGGAUCACAUCAUUAGGAGAAUGAUGUGAUUGACAUGACCCAUUCCGUUAGCCUAGCACUUGAUCGUUUAGUUUGUUGCUAUUGCUUUCUUCAUGACUUAUACAUGUUCCUGUAACUAUGAGAUUAUGCAACUCCCGUUUACCGGAGGAACACUUUGGGUGCUACCAAACGUCACAACGUAACUGGGUGAUUAUAAAGGAGUACUAUAGGUGUCUCCAUAGGUACAUGUUGGGUUCGCGUAUUUCGAGAUUAGGAUUUGUCACUCCGAUUGUGGGAGAGGUAUCUCUGGGCCCUCUCGGUAAUGCACAUCACUAUAAGCCUUGCAAGCAAUCUGACAAAUGAGUUGGUUACGAGAUGAUGCAUUACGUAACGAGUAAAGAGACUUGCCGGUAACGAGAUUGAACUAGGUAUUGGAUACCAACGAUUAAAUCUCGGGCAAGUAACAUACCGAUGACAAAGGGAACAACGUAUGUUGUUAUGCGGUUUGACCGAUAAAGAUCUUCGUAGAAUAUGUAGGAACCAAUAUGGGCAUCUAGGUUCCGCUAUUGGUUAUUGACCGAGAAUAGUUCUAGGUCAUGUCUACAUAGUUCUCGAACCCGUAGGGUCCGCACGCUUAACGUUACGAUGACUGUUUUAUUAUGAGUUUACAAGUUUUGAUGUACCGAAGUUUGUUCGGAGUCCCGGAUGUGAUCACGGACAUGACGAGGAGUCUUGAAAUGGUCGAGACAUAAAGAUUGAUAUAUUGGACGACUAUAUUCGGACACCGGAAGUGUUCCGGACAUUUUCGGAGAAAACCGGAGUGCCGGAGGGUUACCGGAACCCCCCCGGGAGAGAUAAUGGGCCACAUGGGCCUUGGUGGAAAGAGAGAGGGGCGGCCAGGGUGGGCCGCGCGCCCCCUCUCCCUCUGGUCCGAAUUGGACAAGGAGGGGGGGCAGCGCCCCCCUCUUUCCUUCCCCCCUCUCCCCCUUCCUUCCCCCUCCUAGUAGGAGUAGGAAAGGGGGAGUCCUACUCCUACUAGGAGGAGGACUCCUCCUCCUUGGCGCGCCCACAAGGGCCGGCCGGCCUCCCCCUCCCUUCUUUAUAUACGGGGGCAGGGGGGCACCCCAUGACACACAAGUUGAUCUACGGAUUGUUCCUUAGCCGUGUGCGGUGCCCCCCUCCACCAUAUUCCACCUCGGUCAUAUCGUCGCGGAGUUUAGGCGAAGCCCUGCGCCGGUAGAACAUCAUCAUCGUCACCACACCGUCGUGCUGACGGAACUCAUCCCCGAAGCUUUGCUGGAUCGGAGCCCGGGGAUCGUCAUCGAGCUGAACGUGUGCUGAACUCGGAGGUGCCGUACGUUCAGUACUUGGAUCGGUCGGAUCGUGAAGACAUCCGACUAGAUCAACCGCAUUGUCAUAACGCUUCCGCUUACAGUCUACGAGGGUAUGUGGACAACACUCUCCCCUCUCGUUGCUAUGUCAUCACCAUGAUCUUGCGUGUGCGUAGGAAAUUUUUUGAAAUUACUACGUUCCCCAACAGUGGCAUCCGAGCCUGGUUUUAUGCUUAGAUGUCAUAUGCACGAGUAGAACACAAGUGAGUUGCGGGCGAUACAAGUCAUACUGCUUACCAGCAUGUCAUACUUUGGUUCGGUGGUAUUGUGAGAUGAAGCGGCCCGGACCGACAUUACGCGUACGCUUAUGCGAGACUGGUUUCACCGUUACGAGCACUCGUGCUUAAAGGUGGCUGGCGGGUGUCUGUCUCUCUCACUUUAGCUGAAUCGAGUGUGGCUACGCCCAGUCCUUGUGAAGGUUAAAACAACACUAAUUUGACAAACUAUCGUUGUGGUUUUGAUGCGUAGGUAAGAACGGUUCUUGCUAAGCCCGUAGCAGCCACGUAAAACUUGCAACAACAAAGUAGAGGACGUCUAACUUGUUUUUGCAGGGCAUGUUGUGAUGUGAUAUGGUCAAGACGUGAUGCUGUAUUUUAUUGUAUGAGAUGAUCAUGUUUUGUAACCGAAGUUAUCGGCAACUGGCAGGACCCAUAUGGUUGUCGUUUUAUUGUAUGAAAUGCAAAUGCCCUGUAAUUGCUUUACUUUAUCACUAAGCGGUAGUGAUAGUUGUAGAAGCAAUAGAUGGCGUAAACGACAACGAUGCUACGAUGAAGAUCAAGGUGUCGCGCCGGUGACGAUGGUGAUCACGACGGUGCUUCGGAGAUGGAGAUCACAAGCACAAGAUGAUGAUGGCCAUAUCAUAUCACUUAUAUUGAUUGCAUGCGAUGUUAAUCCUUUAUGCAUCUUAUCUUGCUUUGAUUGACGGUAGCAUUUUAAGAUGAUCUCUCACUAAAAUUAUCAAGAAGUGUUCUCCCUGAGUAUGCACCGUUGCCAAAGUUCGUCGUGCCCAAACACCACGUGAUGAUCGGGUGAGAUAAGCUCUACGUCCAUCUACAACGGGUGCAAGCCAGUUUUGCACACGCAGAAUACUCAGGUUAAACUUGACGAGCCUAGCAUAUGCAGAUAUGGCCUCGGAAUACGGAGACCGAAAGGUCGAGCGUGAAUCAUAUAGUAGAUAUGAUCAACAUAGUGAUGUUCACCAUUGAAAACUACUCCAUCUCACGUGAUGAUCAGUUAUGGUUUAGUUGAUUUGGAUCACGUGAUCACUUAGAUGACAAGAGAGAUGUCUGUCUAAGUGGGAGUUCUUAAGUAAUAUGAUUAAUUGAACUUAAAUUUAUCAUGAACUUACUACCUGAUAGUAUUUUGCUUAUCUAUGUUUGUUGUAGAUAGAUGGCUCGUGCUGUUGUUCCGUUGAAUUUUAAUGCGUUCCUUGAGAAAGCAAAGUUGAAAGAUGAUGGUAGCAAUUACAUGGACUGGGUCCGUAACCUGAGGAUUAUCCUCAUUGCUGAUAGAAGAAUUACGUCCUGGAAGCACCGCUGGGUGCCAGGCCUGAUGCUGAUGCAACUGACGACGUUAAGAACGUCUGGCAGAGCAAAGCUGAUGAAUACUCAAUAGUUCAGUGUGCCAUGCUUUACGCCUUAGAACCGGGUCUUCAACGACGUUUUGAACAUCAUGGAGCAUAUGAGAUGUUCCAGGAGUUGAAGUUAAUAUUUCAAGCAAAUACCCGGAUUGAGAGAUAUGAAGUCUCCAAUAAGUUCUAUAGCUGCAAGAUGGAGGAGAAUAGUUCUGUCAGUGAGCACAUACUCAAAAUUUCUGGGUAUAAUAAUCACUUAAUUCAACUAGGAGUUAAUCUUCCUGAUGAUAGUGUCAUUGACAGGAUUCUCCAAUCACUGCCACGAAGCUACAAGAGCUUCGUGAUGAACUAUAAUAUGCAAGGGAUGAACAAGACAAUUCCCGAGCUCUUCGCAAUGCUAAAAGCUGCGGAAGUAGAAAUCAAGAAGGAGCAUCAAGUGUUGAUGGUUAACAAGACCACUAGUUUCAAGAAAAAGGGCAAAGGGAAGAAGAAGGGGAACUUCAAGAAGAACAGCAAGCAAGUUGAUGCUCAAGAGAAGAAACCCAAGUCUGGACCUAAGCCUAAAACUGAGUGCUUCAACUGCAAGCAGACUGGACACUGGAAGCGAAACUGCCCCAAGUAUUUGGCGGAUAAGAAGGAUGGCAAGGUGAACAAGGGUAUAUGUGAUAUACAUGUUAUUGAUGUGUACCUUACUAGAGCUCGCAGUAGCACCUGGGUAUUUGAUACUGGUUCUAUUGCUAACAUUUGCAACUCGAAACAGGGACUACAGAAUAAGCGAGCACUGGCCAAGGAUGAGGUGACGAUGCGCGUGGGAAACGGUUCCAAAGUCGAUGUGAUCGCGGUCGGCACGCUACCUCUACAUCUACCUUCGGGAUUAGUUUUAGACCUGAAUAAUUUUUAUUUGGUGCCAGCGUUGAGCAUGAACAUUAUUUCUGGAUAUUGUUUGAUGCGAGACGAUUAUUCAUUUAAAUCAGAGAAUAAUGGUUGUUCUAUUUAUAUGAGUAAUAUCUUUUAUGGUCAUGCACCCUUGAAGAUUGGUCUAUUUUUAUUGAAUCUCGAUAGUAGUGAUACACAUAUUCAUAAUGUCGAAGCCAAAGAUGCAGAGUUAAUAAUGAUAGUGCAACUUAUUUGUGGCACUGCCGUUUAGGUCAUAUCGGUGUAAAGCGCAUGAAGAAACUCCAUACUGAUGGAAUUUUGGAAUCACUUCAUUAUGAAUCACUUGGUACUUGCGAACCGUGCCUCAUGGGCAAGAUGACUAAAACACCGUUCUCCGGUACUACGGAGCGAGCAACAGAUUUGUUGGAAAUCAUACAUACAGAUGUAUGCGGUCCGAUGAAUGUUGAAGCUCGUGGCGGAUAUCGUUAUUUUCUCACCUUCACAGAUGAUUUAAGCAGAUAUGGGUAUAUCUACUUAAUGAAACACAAGUCUGAAACAUUUGAAAACUUCAAAGAAUUUCAGAGUGAAGUGGAAAAUCAUCGUAACAAGAAAAUAAAAUUCCUACGAUCUGAUCGUGGAGGAGAAUAUUUGAGUUACGAGUUUGGUUUACAUUUGAAACAAUGCGGAAUAGUUUCGCAGCUCACGCCACCCGGAACACCACAACGAAAUGGUGUGUCCGAACAUCAUAAUCGUACUUUAGAUAUGGUGCGAUCUAUGAUGUCUCUUACUGAUUUACCGCUAUCGUUCUGGGGUUAUGCUUUAGAGACGGCCGCAUUCACGUUAAAUAGGGCACCAUCAAAAUCCGUUGAGAUGACACCUUAUGAACUGUGGUUUGGCAAGAAACCAAAGUUGUCGUUUCUUAAUGUUUGGGGCUGCGAUGCUUAUGUGAAGAAACUUCAACCAGAUAAGCUUGAACCUAAAUCGAAGAAAUGUGUCUUCAUAGGAUACCCAAAAGAAAUAGUUGGGUAUACCUUCGAUCACAGAUCCGAAGGCAAGACAUUCAUUGGUAAGAAUGGAUCCUUUCUAGAGAAGGAGUUUCUCUCGAAAGAAGUGAGUGGGAGGAAAGUAGAACUUGAUGAGGUAACUGUACCUGCUCCCUUAUUGGAAAGUAGUUCAUCACAUGAAUCGGUUCCUGUGACACCUACACCAAUUAGUGAGGAAGCUAAUGAUAUUGAUCAUGAAACUUCAGAUCAAGUUUCUACUGAACUUCGAAUGUCUACCAGAGUAAGAUCCGCACCAGAGUGGUACGGUUAUCCCAUUCUGGAAGUCAUGUUUCUUGACCAUGACGAACCUACGAACUAUGAGGAAGCGAUGAUGAGCCCAGAUUCCGCAAAAUGGCUAGAGGCCAUGAAACCUAAGAUGGGAUCCAUGUAUGAGAACAAAGUAUGGACUUUGGUUGACUUGCCCAAUGAUCGGCAGGCCAUUGAGAACAAGUGGAUCUUUAACAAGAAGACCGACGCUGAUGGUAAUGUAACUGUCUAUAAAGCUCGACUUGUCGCAAAAGGUUUUCGACAAGUUCAAGGGGUUGACUACGAUGAGACUUUCUCACUCGUAGCGAUGCUUAAGUUUGUCCGAAUCAUGUUAGCCAUUGCUGCAUUUCAUGAUUAUGAAAUCUGGCAAAUGGAUGUCAAAACUGCAUUCUUGAAUGGAUUUCUGGAAGAAGAGUUGUAUAUGAUGCAGCCAGAAGGUUUUGUUGAUCCAAAAGGUGCUAACAAAGUAUGCAAGCUCCAGCGAUCCAUUUAUGGAAUGGUGCAAGCAUCUCGGAGUUGGAAUAAACGCUUUGAUAGUGUGAUCAAAGCAUAUGGUUUUAUACAGACUUUUGGAGAAGCACUACAAGAAAUAUGUCAACUUGUGACCUUCUGUGAGUGACCCUGGAAGAAUUGUUCAUAGAUCUAUGACCAUUUCAGACCAGUUGGUCAAAAGCUGUUCGGGGGGCUCCAAACCCUAAACCAUUGCGACCAUUUUGGUCAGAAAGGUCGUAAUUUCCUUACACGAAAUGGUCAUAAAGCAAACAGCACUAGUCCGCUGUCUUAUUUCUAAUUGUUAACGACCAAUAUAGAUGGUCAUAGCCUUGUAAAUUGUGGUGGGUUGCGAUGACUAGGCGCCAUCUCAUCAGUUUUGCCUAUGUGUCAUGUCCAUGUGGCAGUUUUUGCCCUAGGUUGUGAAGCAACCUAUAUUUCUGCAAUUCCAAAAAUUCCCAAACAAAUCUCAUAAAUUCUUUGGGUCAUAUCUUCGUCAAAUAUGUAAAAACCUUCCUUUCCUAGUUCAAAAAUAAUUAAAAAAUAUUCAUUUUCCUAUUCUGUUCAGAAUAACAGUUUGUGAAGGAAGUACCACUUUGGCAUGUCCAAAUAGUAUCCAUUUUCUACAGUGCUUUCCUAUGCCCAAAUAACCAUCCUCCACCAGAUGCCAGCUCAAUCCAUUCAUUAUUUUGAGCCGAGCUUCAACAUUCGUAUUUAUGUCCAGUGUGGUGGUUUGCAAAGCAAGUACCACCUAGGCUCCUCCUUUUGAGCUAAAAAUUUGUGAGACGGUCUUCUUAGUAACUGAUCAUCCUCAGCCAAAACUCACGGCCAUUAGCCAUGUACAUUUCCCGUACCGCUAAUCAAACACUUGGCUGCUUAUUCAUGUUUAAGCAUCGAUCGGUCUCCUCGUGAGAAUCUUGUGUUGUGAUUUUCUUCCUAGCACCUACCUGGGGAGUUCCCAAACCACUAGACAUGCCUAGGCCGCCCAGAACACAUGGCAACGCCACGGUCACGCGGUGACCACGCGGCGGGCAUGCGAGUUUACGCGCUCUAGAGUUGGGGCCCUCGGCCACCGUCCAAACCUCGAUGUCUCUCCAUAAAACCAUGUAUUUCUCAUUAAAUAAAUACUUAUUUAACUACAAAUGAUUUUUGGAAAAAAUAAAUAGCAAACUAUGAGGCAGCUGCAGUUCAAAUUUGACCCGCUUCCACCUGAAUCAGCGGAAAUUUGUCUUUUUCACGAGAGGUGGAUCAAAACUUUUUACACCCAACCAUUUGGUCAAUUGUGCAUUAAAUAUGUCCUAGUAUUUUAGAAAAAUGAUUUGGACCAAUUUUGCAACAAUUAUUUGGUAGUUCCUUCACAAAAAAACCUCCUUUUGGGCACUCGAAAAAUGAAAAAUGGUUUUUUCGUCCAAAGAAAAUGAAAACUUCCUUAGGCAACAUUGUUUGCCAUUCCAAUAUGCACCCUUGUGCACAAUAUGAGAUCAUUUGAACAAACUAUGCCACGAAUGUGGCCAUAAGUUUGAUCAUUUGCCUUGAAAGCCAUGAAUCUUGAGAGAUGAUAGCUCAUUUCUGAGAACACUUUUUUAAAAUAAUUGCCGUAUUACAUGUUUGUUAUUUUUCCUGGGAACUUGGCCACAUAUAAUGACACAAUGUGAAGGUUUCCCAAUUUUUUGAAUUUUUUUGAAUUUUUUAUGCCUGUUUCAAAAUGCGGUCAAAACGGCGGGAAUGACCGUUGCAAGCUAGUUGUUGAAUCUUGGAAUUUUUUUGGUGUUUCUCUGAUUAAAUAGAUACUUAUGUACCUAGAAAUUAUUUUUGGAAAAAAUAAAUAGCAAACUAUGAGGCAGCUGCAGUUCAAAUUUGACCCGCUUCCAACUGAAUCGGCGGAAAUUUGUCUUUUUCACGAGAGGUGGAUCAAAACUUUUUACACCCAACCAUUUGGUCAAUUGUGCAUUAAAUAUGUCCUAGUAUUUUGUAAAAAUGAUUUGGUCUAAUUUUGCAACAAUUAUUUGGUAGUUCCUUCACAAAAAAACCUCCUUUCGGGCACUCGGAAAAUGAAAAAUGGUUUUCUCGUCCAAAGAAAAUGAAAACUUCCUUAGGAAACAUUGUUUGCCAUUAUAAUAUGCACCCUUGUGCACAAUAUGAGAUCAUUUGAACAAACUGUGCCAUGAAUGUGGCCAUAAGAUUGAUCAUUUGGCUUGAAAGCCAUUGAUCUCCACACGUGAUAGCUCGUUUCUGAGAACACUUUUUUAAAAUAAUUGCCGUAUUACAAGUUUGUUAUUUUUCCUGGGAACUUGGCCACAUAUAAUGACACAAUAUGAAGGUUUCCCAAUUUUUUGAUUUUUUUUGAAUUUUUUAUGCCCGUUUCAAAAUGCGGUCAAAACGGCGGGAAUGACCGUUCCUAGCUAGUUGUUGAAUCUUGGAAUUUUUUUGGUGUUUCUCUAAUUAAAUAGGUACUUAUGUACCUAGAAAUGAUUUUUGGAAAAAAUAAAGAGCAAACUAUGAGGCAGCUGCAGUUCAAAUUUGACCCGCUUCCACCUGAAUCGGCGGAAAUUUGUCUUUUUCACGAGAGGUGGAUCAAAACUUUUUACACCCAACCAUUUGGUCAAUUGUGCAUUAAAUAUGUCCUAGUAUUUUAGAAAAAUGAUUUGGUCCAAUUUUGCAACAAUUAUUUGGUAGUUCCUUCACAAAAAAACCUCCUUUCGGGCACUCGGAAAAUGAAAAAUGGUUUUUUCGUCCAAAGAAAAUGAAAACUUCCUUAGGAAACAUUGUUUGCCAUUCUAAUAUGCACCCUUGUGCACAAUAUGAGAUCAUUUGAACAAACUAUGCCAUGAAUGUGGCCAUAAGAUUGAUCAUUUGGCUUGAAAGCCAUUGAUCUCCACACGUGAUAUCUCGUUUCUGAGAACACUUUUUUAAAAUAAUUGCCGUAUUACAAGUUUGUUAUUUUUCCUGGGAACUUGGCCACAUAUAAUGACACAAUGCGAAGGUUUCCCAAUUUUUUGAUUUUUUUUGAAUUUUUUAUGCCCGUUUCAAAAUGUGGUCAAAACAGCGGGAAUGACCGUUCCUAGCUAGUUGUUGAAUCUUGGAAUUUUUUUGGUGUUUCUCUGAUUAAAUAGGUACUUAUGUACCUAGAAAUGAUUUUUGGAAAAAAUAAAUAGCAAACUAUGAGGCAGCUGCAGUUCAAAUUUGACCCGCUUUCAACUGAAUCGGCGGAAAUUUGUCUUUUUCACGAGAGGUGGAUCAAAACUUUUUACACCCAACCAUUUGGUCAAUUGUGCAUUAAAUAUGUCCUAGUAUUUUAGAAAAAUGAUUUGGUCCAAUUUUGCAUUUAAUAUAUUAUAGUUCCUUCAAAAAAACUCAUUUUGGACACUCGAAAAAUGAAAAAAAUGAUUUAAGAGAACUCAUUUCUCAUAACUCUUUAAAAAAAUAUUUUUCUUAUUUCAAUUUGUGAUUAUUCCUGAAAGCUAUAGUCAAAUUUGCUGACACAAUGAGAAGUUUUUUCUCUUCAUAUUUUAAGGUCAUAAUAAAAUAGCUAACAUGAUUUAGCAACUUCUUUUAGUCAAUUAUGACCAAUUUAAAUGGUCAAAAUAUCAUACCUGUAUACUACGUUCUGAUUGGUCCAAAGGCCUCUCAUGCGGAUCAUGGAUAAACCACCGUCGGAUCCUCCUGGAUCCAACGGCCCUCACCUCACCCUCUCACGGUCUCACCCACCCACUGCACACCACUCCACUCUCUCCCUGCGUAGCGAACCCUAGCGCUCUCACCCUCUCCCUCUCCCCCCCGCCGCCGCCCCCAACCUCACUCCCUCCCUCUGGAUCUCGACGCGCCACCGCCCCCACCCCACUCCUCCGGUGUUCCCCCCACACGGUCACCGCUCGGACCUCCCCAUUGCGCCUCCUCCUCCUCCCUCCGCUCGCGGUCGCCUCUCCCGAUAGAUCUGGUGCCAGGGUUCACGGCCCUAGCGAACGGGGGAGCGGAGACAUGCGGGGGGAUGGGUUGACGCGUGCCUGGUGGGCGGAGGAGAGGAUGGAGAAUCCGCGUGGCGGCCUCAACGAGCAGAUCGAGCCAUGGCGGCGGCGGAGGAAGCCAUGGCGCCGGCGCAGAUCGACGUGAGGAUGGACGUGGCGCUGCUCCACUGCCGGGCCUGUCUCCUCCCCCCUAAGCCCCCGUGUUCAAGGUAUGGCAUGCACCGACGUGGCGCUGGAUUCCCAUCUCCUCGCGGGAUCCAUCUGUCUGCGUCGGUGGCCUACAGGGAGCGGCACAUCCGCUGUCUGCGCGUCGGAUCCCGUGGAUCCGCGAGGCUGACCCCAACGGCGCUGGUGCUGGUGCUGCGACGACGUCAACGGCGCGCGCUCCUGCUAGUGGAAUGCCUGACUGGCUGCUCGCUUGCAUCAACUUGGACGCCGACGGUGCCAGGAGAGGAGGAGUCUUCUCGCUCGGGGUUGGGGGACGACGCGGUUUCAGCGACGACGAGAUGCUGCUCGCCCAUCUUCUCCUCACUGACCAAAUCCAGCGCAGCGCGGCGCAGGGGUAAGCACAGCCGCCUCCUCUGCUCUCUCACCGUUUUCGCCGCCCCUCUUCUCCCUCGACGGUGUUCUCAUGCGCCAUAGCAGCUUACUGACACUGUCAUUUUUUCUGUCUUUCUUUUGUUGGCAGCAGGGGAAGAAGGAGGAGGAGGAGUUCAGCACGGGGCCCCUCUCCAUUCUCAUGCUCAGCGUCAAGAACAACGCCCUGGUUGGUUUGGUUUGGUCGACUUCUUGCCUCUGUUGAUUGAGAUAUCAGCUUAGCAAGGGCAUAUUUUCUGCAGUAGUAGUACUUAUUGACUUACUGUCUGUCUGCAUAUCCGUGUGGACUGAACACCUGACCUUCUGGAGUGCUGGUGUUCUCCGUUGUGCGUGCACUUGUUAAAACACACCAAUCGACUUAUUCGCCUGUCAUCCCGUCGUGCAAGUGAAUACUAGUUUCCCUCUUAGUGCUACAAUGCUAAGCGCACCAUCUCAUAAAUGUGUCAGUAAUUAACCACUGUUUUGGUGCAGCCUUUCGUCAAAUGCCUUUGGUAAUAGUGUGGCACUGCAAAGUUGAAUGCACCAUUGCGUACAAUUGAGGGCUAGUCAUUUGGAGAUGAAUCCUGACCUCGAUAUCUCGAUAGGUCUGGCCGGAUAAUAAUUAACUAAUACUACUAAAUGACAGCCAUUUGGCUACAUUUAGGCGAGCUAAAGCUUUGACUAACAUCGGUCUUUCCAAUUCAGGCGAGUUAGCCUGUCAGCAACAAGAGCAGCUGCCCAUCCUCUCCCCACUGGGAAUUUAAUCUUGCUAUACUGAAGUCGAGCUCUUUGAUUAUGCAUUUUUAGUGUAGAUUCUUUCAUGCUAACUAAUUGGAACAAGUUCUAAUUAGGUCACCGAAUAGUUUGCUUGGUCCUUCAUAUCUAAAGCUUGCAUGUACUGUAGAAGCUCUACAUUAUGCUAAUACUUGCUUGUGUAACACCUUUCAUGGCAUACUUCUAAAUGGACAAGUACGUGCGACGUCCAGCGUCAAUGAUGAUGCGGACCAUAUGUUCAAGUGUUCAACUGCAGCCCCAUCCAUUGCAUCGACACAAAGGUAUGUACUCCGUCUUGCUGAACAGAUAUGGGCCUGAUGCUUGAUGUCCUUAUGCCUGAUGCAUGUAUCAUGUGACAUACACAUAAUUAACUUUGACAUAGUUGCUCUGUUACAGCAGAUGGCAAGAUGAAUAGCUAGUGUCUAUUUAAUUCCAUCAUGCACCUGAUAGUUUAAUAGGUACUAUUGAUUGAAUAUGAAUGUUAUUCCAUAUACUCAAAUGGAACUUCGAUCUGCUGUAACUUUGAAUGAUGGUUUUUAAACCUUGUCGUGUAUGUGAAACAUUCCUUGCUCGUUUGCUGCUAAGUUUGUCAUAUGUGCCAACUCAAUUCCCAAUUUUGAUCAAUAGCCAUAUUCUGGAUAAGUAGAAUGAUCUAGUUAAUAAUAAUAAUAAGUAGAAUGAUAAUAUCCUGGUGUAUCUUUACUUUUUAUUUUAAAAGUACUAUGUAUUCUAUCAGUGACAUACCUUUUGUUCUCUUUUGAAUGCUCAGAUGUUUUGCAUCAGCCUGUCAUUGCUUGCUAAGGGAGAAGCGGGACUUGGAGAAGAAAUCUUUUCAUUAAGCAGAUUACAUGUUUGGUUGUUGUGAAGUACCAGAUAGGCUAGUUCUAUUUUUUUCACGAUCCUGGAGUAUUUCAGCAGUGCCAUGCAAAUGCAGUAGCGUUUGUUUUUUGUUUGUAAAAACUUAGUUAGCCCGAAGUCAGUUAGUAGUAGCUUAGCCAGCCAGCCUCAAAUAGUAUUGCUGGAAUGAAUGGUUGUAAUAUAAUAACGUUGCACGUUGCUUUGAAAAUAUAUCAGAACUGGGUGAUGUGUUGUAAUGUCAAUGGCAUAAUAUUUUUUUUGGAUUGGAUCAAUUUUUUCGGAACUGGGCUAGGCCCAAGUUAUAUUGGACAAUUAUUUUUGAGGGAAAAACAUGAGAGGCCCAGCAAUAAAAUGGCCCAGAAAAAUACAUGAUUAAAAAGAAAAUCUGCUGUUAAAAGGGCCACGCAAAGAAAUCAAUAAGGCUGAAUUGUUGGGCCAGACCCGGGUAGCUAAUAAAAGCACAGGAAAAAAAUACAUUAAAAAGGCCGAAUUAAUGGGCUCGGCCCAUGUAGAACACCAAAUCGGAGCGGGCUGAAUCUUGUGCCACAUCAGCUUGCCACGCUGGAUGCCUACGUGGCCUGGGGAGGUUGCUAGUGACCAAAACGCCACAGUAGGAAUAUUUUGGUCGUAAACGUCUUUGACCAUUCCAGAAGAAAGGUCGCUAUAGUCAGUUUACGACGGCCAGCUUUUGACCUUCUGUUUUUGGUCACAAAAAGGUCAUAAAUGGAAAUUUGUGACCUUUCAGUGACCAAUAGUGGUGGUCAUAAGUUGAGAUAUUUCUUGUAGUGAAGCCUGUAUUUACAAGAAAGUGAGUGGGAGCUCUGUAGCAUUUCUGAUAUUAUAUGUAGAUGACAUAUUAUUAAUUGGAAAUGAUAUAAAAUUUCUGGAUAGCAUAAAGGGAUACUUGAAUAAAAGUUUUUCAAUGAAAGAUCUAGGUGAAGCUGCUUACAUAUUGGGCAUCAAGAUCUAUAGAGAUAGAUCAAGACGCUUAAUAGGACUUUCACAAAACACAUACCUUGAUAAAAUUUUGAAAAAGUUCAAAAUGGAUGAGGCAAAGAAAGGGUUCUUGCCCGUGCUUCAAGGUGUGAAGUUGAGUCAAACUCAAUGCCCGACCACAGCAGAAGAUAGAGAGAAAAUGGAAGAUGUUCCCUAUGCUUCAGCCAUAGGCUCUAUCAUGUAUGCAAUGUUGUGUACCAGACCUGACAUAUGCUUAGCAAUAAGUUUGGCAGGGACGUACCAAAGUAAUCCAGGAGUGGAUCACUGGACAGUGGUCAAGAACAUCCUGAAGUACCUGAAAAGGACUAAGGAUAUGUUUCUCGUAUAUGGAGGUGACAUAGAGCUAGUCGUAAAUGGUUACGUCGAUGCAAGCUUUGACACUGAUCUGGACAAUUCUAAAUCGCAAACCGGAUACGAGUUUUUAUUAAACGGUGGAGCUGUAAGUUGGUGCAGUUCUAAACAAAGCGUCGUGGCGGGAUCUACAUGUGAAGUUGAGUACAUAGCUGCUUCGGAAGCAGCAAAUGAAGGAGUCUGGAUGAAGGAGUUCAUUACCGAUCUAGGUGUCAUACCUAGUGCAUCGGGACCAAUGAAGAUCUUCUGUGACAAUACUGGUGCAAUUGCUUUGGCAAAGGAAUCCAGAUUUCACAAGAGGACCAAGCACAUCAAGAGACGCUUCCAUUCCAUCCGGGACCAAGUCCAAGUGGGAGACAUAGAAAUUUGCAAGAUACAUACGGAUCUGAAUGUUGCAGACCCAUUGACUAAGCCUCUCUCACGAGCAAAACAUGAUCAACACCAAGACUCCAUGGGUGUUAGAAUCAUUACUAUGUAAUCUAGAUUAUUGACUCUAGCACAAGUGGGAGACUGAAGGAAAUAUGCCCUAGAGGCAAUAAUAAAGUUAUUAUUUAUUUCCUUAUCAUGAUAAAUGUUUAUUAUUCAUGCUAGAAUUGUAUUAACCGGAAACAUGAUACAUGUGUGAAUACAUAGACAAACAUAUAGUCACUAGUAUGCCUCUACUUGACUAGCUCAUUAAUCAAAGAUGGUUAUGUUUCCUAACCAUAGACAUGUGUUGUCAUUUGAUUAAUGGGAUCACAUCAUUAGGAGAAUGAUGUGAUUGACAUGACCCAUUCCGUUAGCCUAGCACUUGAUCGUUUAGUAUGUUGCUAUUGCUUUCUUCAUGACUUAUACAUGUUCCUGUAACUAUGAGAUUAUGCAACUCCCGUUUACCGAAGGAACACUUUGGGUGCUACCAAACGUCACAACGUAACUGGGUGAUUAUAAAGGAGUACUACAGGUGUCUCCAAAGGUACAUGUUGGGUUGGCGUAUUUCGAGAUUAGGAUUUGUCACUCCGAUUGUCGGAGAGGUAUCUCUGGGCCCUCUCGGUAAUGCACACCACUAUAAGCCUUGCAAGCAAUGUGACCAAUGAGUUGGUUACGAGAUGAUGCAUUACGUAACGAGUAAAGAGACUUGCCGGUAAUGAGAUUAAACUAGGUAUUGGAUACCGACGAUCAAAUCUCGGGCAAGUAACAUACGGAUGACAAAGGGAACAACGUAUAUUGUUAUGCGGUUUGACCGAUAAAGAUCUUCAUAGAAUAUGUAGGAACCAAUAUGGGCAUCCAGGUUCCGCUAUUGGUUAUUGACCGAGAAUAGUUCUAGGUCAUGUCUACAGAGUUCCCGAACCCGUAGGGUCCGCACGCUUAACAUUACGAUGACUGUGUUAUUAUGAGUUUAUAAGUUUUGAUGUACCAAAGUUUGUUCGGAGUCCCGGAUGUGAUCACGGACAUGACGAGGAGUCUCAAAAUGGUCGAGACAUAAAGAUUGAUAUAUUGGACGACUAUAUUCGGACACCGGAAGUGUUCCGGUUGAUUUCGGAGAAAACCGGAGUGCCGGAGGGUUACCGGAACCCCUCCCGAAGAGUUAAUGGGCCACAUGGGCCUUGGUGGGAAGAGAGAGGGGCGGCCAGGAAGGGCCGCGUGCCCCCUCUCCCUCUGGUCUGAAUUGGACUAGGAGGGGGGGCGGCGCCCCCCUCUUUCCUUCCCCUCCUCUCCCCCUUCCUUCCCCUCCUAGUAGGAGUAGGAAAGGAGGAGUCCUACUCCUACUAGGAGGGGGACUCCUCCUCCUGGCGCACCCAACAAGGGCCGGCCGGCCUCCCCCCUCCCUCCUUUAUAUACGGGGGCAGGGGGCACCCCAUGACACACAAGUUGAUCUACGGAUCGUUCCUUAGCCGUGUGCGGUGCCCCCCUCCACCAUAUUCCACCUCGGUCAUAUCGUCGCGGUGUUUAGGCGAAGCCCUGCGCCGGUAGAACAUCAUCAUCGUCACCACGCCGUCGUGCUGACGGAACUCAUCCCCGAAGCUUUGCUGGAUCGGAGCCCGGGGAUCGUCAUCGAGCUGAACGUGUGCUGAACUCGGAGGUGCCGUACGUUCGGUACCUGGAUCGGUCGGAUCGUGAAGACGUACGACUACAUCAACCGCGUUGUCAUAACGCUUCCACUUACGGUCUACGAGGGACUCUCCCCUCUUGUUGCUGUGUCAUCACCAUGAUCUUGCGUGUGUGUAGGAAUUUUUUUGAAAUUACUACGUUCCCCAACAGCAGUAUCACCGCAACAUACCUUUGUAACCCUCCCUUUUUAUCUUUCAGGACAUUGCUUUAGGGAAACCUCUUCAGAAGAUCCGGAUUGUCGGACUUACAUAGGAGAGAAAACCAAGGAGGUAACAGGCUUUGCGCAUAAAAGGAAAUACCCAGGUGGAAUCUGUUCACGAUCGUUAUACCUGUUUUAUAUACCUACAUGCAUCCUGCCCUUGGAUAGGACUUGUUAAAUAGUCCUAUUUACUUCUGCUUAAACGCACCCAUUGUAAACAUACGCUUAAACCUAUUAUUCAUCAAUAGGAGAUCAUAUAUAGCGUCAGCUUUUAUUCCUAUCUGCACAUUUUUUCUAUAAAUGUUUAUUUACUAAUGCAUCCGUACAUUUCAGUACGUUUAUUUUGCCAGGGGCUUCUUAUGGAGCCCCGCAAUACGACAAGCAAAGUCCGAACACUUUCAAUAGUGCGGCACCCCGAACUUAUAACACUAUAUGCAUCAGCUCUGAAUCAUGUCUUGGGUCCACAGUUGGGUUAGCCCGGCUCCCUUGUUUUGAUACCUUACGUGGCUAAGUUAGCGCAGGGAGAACUACUGCGAUUGUAUCCCGGUUCUUCCGGACGAGCACCUCGGUAGAGAAAGCCGAAAACUGACCGGCAUGAUGUGGCGAGAGCUGGUCGCCGUUCGAGAGGUCUCAAAAUCCUUAAAGAUUUUUUCUGCUUUAGGCGAGGAAUCGGCCUCGUCCAAUUUAGGCGUAUAUAGCACCCCGGUUCGGCCUUCUGAAUUCUAGGGGCUUCGCCAAAAUUUAAAAUUAUAGACUUCUAUGGCUAAGUGAAGGUUAUAAAGCCGGAUAGUCCGAUUGCCUUGUUCGCUGCGCUAGACACCUCCUUUAGGGACCAAACAUUUGGAUAAAGAGUGUCUGGGUUUUCCACGAACACCCCAGAACUAGUUACGUGGGGGCGGAUGUCGACGACUGGCCUACUUUCAGAAUUUUAUAAACAGCCGCACAGAAGGUAAUAUUUUAAAUCAAAAAGAGCUUUAUAGCGCAAGUAACUGCGCCCUUAUAUUACAAACAUGACAGAAGUGAAUUCAUUCAAAAAUUGUGUCCUUGGUACAUUCAUCGGCCACGAGACGAGCGCCCUUCAUAACGACUUCAUAAUAUCUCUCGGGACAGCGAUGCGCCUUGCCAUCCGGCGGCCCGUCCUUCACCAGCUUCUCCCAUCUAGCUUGCCCGAAUGCACCUUCGCACGGGCAAAGGCCCGGCGGGCACCCUCAAUGCAAACGGAUCAUUUGAUCACUUCAAGCCGCGGACAGGCAUUCACCAUCCGCUUGAUCAGGCCGAAGUAGCUACUGGGCUGGGGCUCACCGGGCCACAUCUGGACUAUGAAAUCCUUCAUAGCCACUUCGGCCGCCCUGUGGAGUUCAACCAACUGCUUCAGUUGGUCACUCAAAGGCGUUGGAUGUUCGGCCCCAGCAUACUGGGACCAGAACAGCUUCUCUGUCGCGCUCCCCUCCUCGGCAUGGUAGAACUCCGUGGCAUUUGAUACGCUGCGUGACAGAUCUGCAAAUGCCCCUGGAGAGCUCCGAAUUCGGGUAAGUAAAAUAAACGCCACCUCCACAUGCUUGCUUUGCAUAAAGAAUUUCUUACCCGCCACUAUCUUUUUGGCCUCCUGGAUUUCCUGCUGUGCCUUCUCGGCUUCGGCCUUGGCGUCUUUUAUACUAGCAAAGGCCUUCGCAAGCUCGGCCUCUUUCACCUUAAGCUCAUGCUCCACGGACUCGAACUUCUUGCCGAGCUCCUGGAGCUCUUGCUGUACCUCUCCCACUCUAGCAUCUUGCUUUUCGCGCUCCUUGCGUUCCAAGGCCGCCUUGUUUUUGGCCUCGGACAACGCUUUCUUCAGAGACGCGACUUUGGUGGUGGCCCCUGUUACAAAAUCACGAUGCUUCAUCAUUAGAAUAACCAAUUUUAUCUAUCCUUCAUUAUAUGAGAUCAGGGAAUCACUCACCUUUGUUCUCUUCGAGCUGCCUCUUCGUGAGGUCGAGCUCUCCCUGCGCCUGCUCUAGGUCCCGUUUUAGUCCGGCAACCUCAGCCGUGCGGACAGCAGUGGCAAGCCACACAACCUGCUUAUUCACAUUCAAAUUUAUUAUUAGACUCCUGCGGAUUAAAAUUGGCCCUCCGUUUGGUUUGUCUUUCCGAACACCAAACAGAGUAUCAGGGGCUACUACCUAUCGGGUGGUAAUUUCACACAUUUUUAUUACUUACCUCAAAGCCUGUCAGGAGGUUGGUGCAAGCAUCGGUUAGUCCGCUCUUGGCGGAGAAAACCUUCUGAAUCACCGCACUCAUAAGAGUAAAGUGCUCUUCAUCCAUGGAAGUGCCGCGAAGCGCUUCUAGCAGACAAUCCGACACCUCGGGCGUAGCGGAAGUCCUCAGCACAGAUCGCUCACCCUCCCUAACUAGUGGCUGCCCGCCUGAGUCCGGAACCACUGGAGGUUCCAGAACAGUAUUCGGCUCAGAGCCCGGGUUAUUGCAGCUCUCAUCAACACGAUCCGCAGGGAUCUUGAACCCCGCGUGUCCGAUGUCUGGAAUUCUGCCUUGAGGCGCCUCUAGAGUCACCUCCCCCCGCUCUGGGAGACUUUGGGACAACACCUCCGUGUCAUCCGCAGGCUGAGGAGUAGUGGCCAUCGGAAGUGAGUUCAUCUUUGAAUCGCUCAAGGACCCAUCCCGAAGACGACACCUCAGGAUGGACCUUGGCCGGACUGUAUACAAGUUCAGCGUUAUAACAAGACUAUGAAGAAAAAUCACAAUAGAGUGCGGAUACUUACGAUUGUGCUAGGAGCUUCCCCCUGGGCAGCCACCCCUCCUUGCUAUCGGUGGCGAUGGUGGAGUAGUCCGAAAGGGACGCCUUUCCCUUCUUGGACGUCCCAGCCUCCCCCUCCGGGGCGGCUUUCCUCAUUUUCUCCCCCAGAGCAGGGAGGCAGAGUUUCUUCUUGUUUCCCCCUGCCUCCACGGGAGGAAUCCGCCUCGUCGUCGUCGGACGACGAGGGUAUGACGACCUUGCACCGAGAGCCUGUCCUGGCCCCCUGGUCCGCCUUCUCAGGCCCCCCAUCCUCUCCAGAUGGGGCGGCCUCUUCUUCUUCUUCUUCCCCUUCGGGGGAGGAGUGUGCCUCGUCGUCUUCGGACGAGGCCUCAGAUACAACUUUACGCCGGAGACCCUUCCUGGUCCCCGGGUCCUUCUUUUCGACCUUCUUCUCCGGUCCCUUGUAGGGCGCCGGAACUAGCAUCUCCGUCAGGAGAGCAUCGGCUGGACCUUCGGGCAGCGGAGCCGGACAAUCAAUCCGCUCCGCUGUCUCCACAUAAUCCUGAUCAAAUAUGCACAAUUACUUAAGGCUCCUCCACGAAUACAUUGAACUAAAUCCGGUGGUAGUCAGAAAACUCAGCGGACGAGUAGGCCGUGCGGCAUGAAGUCCACAGUCCUCGGACAUGGGAGGAGGUACUUUGGAGGCCUUGAACAGUGCCUUCCACGCGUCUUUGUGCUUCAUGCCAUAGAGCUUUCGAAGCGUCUGGUGUUCGAUCGGGACAAACUCCCACAGAUUAAACGCUCGCCUUUGGCACAGAAGAAUCCGGCGAACGAGCAUGACAUGGAUCACGUUGACAAGCUUGAUGUUCUUGUCCUUCAGAUUCUUGAUGCAGUUUAGGAGUCCGGUCAGCUCCGCAGGUUCGCCCCAGGCCAGGCCCUUCUUUUCCCAGGAGGUGAGCCGCAUGGGGGUUCUGGAUCGGAAUUCGGGGGCCACCUCCUAGUUGGCGUCGCGCGGCUCGGUGAUAUAGAACCACCCCGAUUGCCACCCUUUCACGGUCUCCGCGAAGGAGCCGUCAAGCUAGGUGACGUUAGGCAUCUUUCCCACCAUGUCCCCUCCGCACUCCGCUUGCUGGCCGCUCACGAUCUUCGGCUUCACGCAGAAGAUUUGUGUAACCACAGGCCAAAGUGAGGCUGGAUGCGGAGGAAGGCCUCGCAUACGAUGAUAAAGGCCGAGAUGUUGAGGACGAAGUUCGGGGCUGGAUCAUGGAAAUCUAGCCCGUAGUAGAACAUGAGCCCGCGGACGAAGGGAUGAAGCGGAAAUCCCAGUCCACGGACGAAGUGGACGAGAAACACGACCCUCUCGUGGGGUCCCCGGGUUGGAAUGACCUGCCCGUCGUCCGGUAGCCGGUGCGCUAUGUCUGCGGCCAAGUAUCCGACCGCCCGAAGAUUCACGAUAUGCUUCUCCUUCACGGUGAAACCACCCACUUGCCUCCUGCUCCGGACAUAUUCAGCUGUGCGGAGAAGACUUGGACUAGGGCGCUGGAGCUCGAGGAGGCAAGGAUGAGAAAAGGAGGAGGAAGGCGUGGAUGAAAAUGGGGAUCCUUUAUCCCUUUAUAGAGGCGAAGAAAGCGGUGCGCCUCCUCACUUGCCCGUUGAGAAUCGCUUACUUCCGAAGUGCCACGAUUGAUGGCGCGGUGGGACUACCCAUACCCGUAUUGAUGAGAAUCCCGUCAUAAGGGGACACGGUCUCUGCUUUGACAAGACGUGUCAAGGAAACUGCCUCGCAAUACGCGCUGUAGCUGGUUGGGGAAAAAUGGUUCGAAUAAUGACCCGACCGUAAUAACAUAUCACGUCGUCUAAAAAGUUGUCAGCUGAAAUAUCAUUCUCUCCACGGUGAUAUGUAAAGAUCAUUUUUGCAGAUCCGGGCACGGUCUAAGUGUUCGAUAAUUACUUUGGAUAUUCGAAGAAGGAACCCGCCUUGCAAUGCCGAAGACAAGACUGUGCGCCGGACAUUGAAGCCUGGUUCAGGGGCUACUGAGGGAGUCCUGGAUUAGGGGGUAUCCGGACAGCCGGACUAUAUACAUCAUUCGGACUAUUGGAACGUGAAGAUACAAGACUCAAGACUCCGUCCCGUGUCCGGAAGGGACUCUCCUUUGCGUGGAAGACAAGCUUGGCGAUCCGGAUAUUGUGUUUCCUUCCUUGUAACCGACUCCAUGUAAACCCUAGCCCUCUCCGGUGUCUAUAUAAACCGGAGAGGUUGGUCCUUAGAAGGCCGAUCAUAAUUACAAUCAUAAUCAUCAUAGGUUAGCUUCUAGGGUUUAGCCUCUACGAUCUCGUAGUAGAUCUACUCUUGUACUACUCAUAUCAUCAAUAUUAAUCAAGCAGGAAGUAGGGUUUUACCUCCAUUGAGAGGGCCCAAACCCGGGUAAACAUUGUGUCCCUUGCUUCCUGUUACCAUCAGCCUGAGACGCACAGAUCGGGACCCCCUACCCGAGAUCCGCCAGUUUUGACACCGACACCGAGCUCACGACCCAACCUCAUCCCAUAGAUGCAACAACAAUUGAAUCCCAUGGAAUUAUCCCAUGCGGCAGAUCCACAACCGCCACCGCACCCUUGUGGCUGCAAUUAGCAAAGGGAAACACCAGAAUAUGAACGCCUCUUCGGCAGCGAGAAGAAAUGAUCUUUAAAGAAGUGUUGCAUCUAUUUAUCUCGAACCAUGUCACUCGCAUCUCUUUCGGACACCCAGAGUGGCUUGGAGAUCUCCUCCCGUACCCACCCGCAUCACCUCCCCACGUGACGCCACGGGGCUAACCCUAGCGCUUUAGAGGCUCCUUUCCACUUAUGCCUCCUCUUCCGCUGUUGCUGUCGGCAUAGGCCGUGGUGGUAGCGGCCCUGUCGCCGAAGGAGGCUGGGUGUCUGGACACAGCGGCAACAUCCUGGUGUGGCUGGGGCAUGGCCAAAUGGGAGAUUGCACGUAGCGACCAGGGCAGAGUCCCCUGGUUGUGUGGCGGAAGCGCUGUUCUCCUAUGAUGGACGAUGUGGGAGCAGCCAUGGAUCUGGUCCCCACCUAGAUCCAUUCUCGAUUUUUCCCGUGGCCAACGAGCAUCGCAUUGAGGGGUUGGCAUGGGCAGCUGCUUCCCUACGGGCGUUCUGGCGGCUGCGUGUGCCGUCACGGCCCGGCUCAGCUCGGGUCCAACCAGUUGAGGGUUCAGAGUGACGCGAAUGUCGGUGAAAAUCGUGUUUACCACGAUUGUGGUGGGCGAUGUUGGGGUCUUGUACGGCGUCUCCUUCUCAAAGGCAUUGUCGGUUGAAAUCAUCAUCCUAGAUUUGGAUCUCCUAGAUUGGACGAUGGUCAUGCCUUCGGGGCCGUUUUUACUUUUAGGGGCAUCAUUUUGGAGAAGGUGCAGGCUGGAGGAGACAAGAGGAGGAGUGUUGUUGAAUCUACCGCAGCAGCGAUGAUGGUGGGUCUUAGUGACGGGGCACAACGGAGUAUCGUGGAUGGAUGCGUGGUGACGAACGCGCGUAGGAUGGUGACGUUGUCUGACGUCAUGGUGGUGUCGAUAACAGAAUGGCUUGGUAUGGUGAAUGUGUUAUUGGAGGUAUAAGGAAAGAGCAGGGAAAAAAGAUUGAAGGAAUCGUGUCAAUCAAUGUGGUAAAUAAUUAUCAUAAUAAAUUAAAAGCAUUUGGGAGAGCUGGGGCGCCGGCACGGGGGUCAGGGCGGCGGUCGGCCCGCAGGCAGAGCCGACUUGGUCAUUGCCGGCUUGGAUGGGCGUGAGUGGCCGACCCGCACACACCUCCGUCCUCCAUUCUCCACCCUAAGCCUACUAGUUGGGGCCUGCGGCCAAGAAAGAGGGAUUGCACAUGGUGCUGAGAGCAUGGCCGGCGGGGUCGGGGUCGCCGCCGCCAUUGGCAGCUGGUGUAGGGGAGAGGGGUCGGGGUUGCCGCCGCCAUUGACGGCUGGUGGAGGGGAGAGGGGUAGGGAUCGCCGCCGCCAUUGGAGGCUGGUGGAGGAGAGAGGGGUCGGGGUUGCGAGAACUACCCGAAGCCGCCAUAAAUCCUGCAGGUAUGAAGGCCACUGUCCAGUCUAUAUAUUGUCCAUAGUCACUUUUUUUUGCGGGAUAGUCACUUUAUAAUAUGGUGAGUUAAAUCACUAGGAGCAUGACAGGAUCUAUCAACAUAUGCAAGUGACUUUUGCCUUUUCUGCUACAUUUUGUUACAACCUAACAGGGGCCUGUGUACCGGCUCGCCCGUAAUGCAAAAAUCCUACACUUACGGAAAACCACUACGGACUGAUCUCCUGGUAAUGUGGCUAAUAUUCAUGAUCACACACAUGCCAGUACUUUUACAUCCUCUAUCUAUAAAACCCCACCCUCUGCCUUCUUCAUUCUUCACCAACCUCCCGACCUUCACACAUGCGCACACACACACACACUAGCUAACACACUAUCCCAAAACCCAAAACAUAUACCAUAGUGCGGCGAAAUCUGGAUCAGCUCUAAAGCUUCAAUAGAAAAAUCACAGCCAAUGUUGCUGGAAGCAUAUAGAUUAUUUUCCCUCUCUCUUUGCCUCCCCAAUCCUCUCCGACACUGUGCCCUCCUCGCAUCGCUCGCCACUGUUCUGUGCGCCCCGGUGGUAGAUAUAGCACAGCACACUGCGCUUGUGCUCGUCACACUUCACAGGGCGCGCUCGCCCUCAGGAGGGGAGGGGGGCUGGGUUGGAACAGCACCGCACUUCUAUCUUAUCCCAUGGCACGACAUAAAAGUGCGGUCACUUCGUACGGGUCCAGCGGGAUCAGAUGAGAUCCUGCAUUUUGAUCAAGCAUUUCUCAGGUAAGCUCUAUGUGUCUCUCUGUGUGUUCAUUAUUUUUCUGUCGUUCUAUGUGUUUGUGACGGCUUGAUCUGCUUAGAAAUCACCGUCCAAUGCACGUGGUCAGUCCAUACAUGCUCUUGCUCCGCGUUCAUCUAAUGCAUUCACAGGCAUUUUGGGCUUGAGUAUUGCUCCUGUAAUCUUCCUCAUUGGUGCCAGGUUAGCACAUACAACCCUGAAUAGAGAUUGUCACUAUCAGUGUUCAGGCUCCAUCCAUCUUCACUACCAAGUUGACAAGUCGAGGAAGAGUUAUAUGUCUACUUAACGUUGUUAACUGCAUUUACUUCAGUUUAAUAGUUGCCCCAGUAUAUGUAUGAUAGUUUAAGUUCUGUUAAUUUUCGCAUCCACUUGUACAGACAUAUGGUUAAUUGUGAACUCUAGUUUUUGAUGAUUGAGGGAUUUUUGAUCAUGUUUUUUCUGUUGGGUUGGGGGGUCGUGACUUCUCCUGCUAAGGUCGUGCUUCACUUUGCAUACUCAUUGAAAUGUGACUUUGCUUGCUUCCCAUAAUCAAAUGACAUGGGAAGGUAUGGGGUUUUGAGUUACUCGUAUCUGGAAAUCGUGUCACCUGUUGCUACACCAAUUUUCAACAUUGGUCAAGCAUAUGUGGUACCUUCAAGGACAGUAACAUGCGUGUUUGCCACAGUUGCACCUGCUUCUGUAUUAGGUUCAUUACAAAAGAACUCGUUGUAUGUACUCCCUCCGUCCGAAAAUACUUGUCGCGAAAAUGAGUAAAAAUGGAUGCAUCUAAAACUAAAAUACGACUAGAUACAUCCAUUCCUCCGACAAGUAUUUCUGGACGGAGGGAGUAGUUGGAUUGUUAAGAUAAUGCUGGUGUGAUGUAUUUUGAGACCCGCUUGCAAAUUUUAUAUAAUUAACCAUAUUAAUAAGGAGGUUCUUGACAAACUGAAUCAAUUUAUGACAAACGGUACUAGUAAUUCAGUGUGUUUCACUGAAUUUCGGCCGCCACAAUUUUUUCGUUGUUCAUUGCAGGGAAAAUAUUUUCACUGCCCAACAGUGUUGCAAGACAAAGUAACAUGAAACGGGGUCUAGACUGUUGUUACUUCAAUAUGCUGUAAAUCUGGUGCAGAACAGAUUGCCUACAAUACCGAAAGUGCAAUAUGCACAUACCAGCAAUGGCGCAGAAUUUGACUCCCUAAAGUUGUUCCAGUACAACAUUGAAGUGUUCUGAAAGGGUGCCUUCUUGCAACAUCUACACUCACCGGCGGAAACAGAUGCGAGCAGAGGUUGUAAUUUUGCUACUUUCUGCUUCUGCUGUUUGGAGGAGAGUUACUGGGGUGGUGUCCUGAUGGGAUUGAAUGCUCGUGGAGUUAUCCUAUUUUUUACAUGAAAAUAGCACCAAAGCAUACUACACGAAGACGAGGUUAAUCAUAUGUAACUCAAUGAAAGAGAAAGUCAUAUUGAUAAUGGGGAAUUACUGUCCACUGAAAUAAGAUAGAACUAGGAAAUAUUGACUUGCUAUUUCUUGAAAUACAUAUAUUAACUUAACUAUUUGUAAAAGGAGAGAAAAUUAAUAGGGAAUGUAGUGGUUGUACCCCACCACACCACACCCCUCUGCACCCCCGCAAGAAAACAUAGCACAACAUUUCAAAAAAUUCUCAAAAGUUUGCGGGAAUGAUUAUGAACAAAUGUUAUAGGUGCUUCCAAAGUUUGGAGGUCGAAUAACAUUUGACGUGCUUGCAAAUGUUUCCGAUUUUUUUUGAAAUCUUUUGCUAUAUUUUCUUAGGGGGUGUAGUGUGAUGGGGUGUAGAAAAACCACUCUCCAAUAAAUAACGUGGGCUCUGUUUUUUUUCCUUUUACUGGACAAGGAUUUCAGAUUUCCACAUACGCUAAUCUUGCGGCCUCCUUGAUGUUCCGAGAGUCCGUCAGCAACAUCAUCAGACGGUUAAUCCCAAAAACCAAGCUCCCACAGCCCAUACUCGAUCAAUUGCAGUGCAGAACGUCUAGUCCAUUGCCAUCGCUUAAUCAUCACCGAGCCCGAGAAUGCCUGACACACUCUUAAAAUCGCUGCCGCUACACCAUGGGGUCGUUCAUUCAACUCCGUGUAGGCAUUGCACACCUCAUGCUUAUUGAUGAACAGACUGAAUCUUCCGAUCAGUCCAGGACGGUCAGCUCAAACCUUUUGGUCAGUCGACGCCAGUCAGCUCCAGCUCCGAGGUCUCGAUCGAAUUAAAUGCAAGGGUCGAGGGCAAAAUUUUCCUAUAUUUUUUUUGAGAAUCAAUAAAGCAAGAUAACUCCAAUUGUGAUAUUUUGUCUACUUGUCAAUCAAAAGUGUCAUGUUUGGUAGAACAAAAGGAAAUAUGUGCUACUGGAUCAAAGUCUCAUGAAAAUUGUGCCAUUUUAUCAAAUUGCUCGACGUAUGAACUGCUCCAUUCACACCCGAGACAUGAGAAUAAGUUGACCAUGUGUAUGCGCAACUUCUAAAUUAUAAGUCAACCACAUAUCAGUUGAUGUAUUCAGUUCCGUGGCCAGGAUCAAGUCAGGCCCCGGGCAAGCCCCAGGCCGAACGAUGUCGCCUGUGUUACAAUCAACGAAGAAAUAGCUUGCCACAGCCCACGGCCUCCGGGGUCGCCUGGGACUGACAACGUCGUUGAAAAUAUUAUGUGAGGACUACUUUGUGACGUGUAGAUGCAUGGACAGAGAGAUAUUCCAAUCCACUCCACUCCACUCUCUCUAUGCCUCCCCAAUCCUCUCUGUCAGCACACCCUCCUCGCACCCAUGUGCCUCAGCGGGUGAGGUAGUGAGGCACACUGCGCUGGUGCUUGAUGCACGGGACUCACAGGUGAGAGCUCGUGCUCUGAAGGAAGGGGGGUGGUGAUGUCCUGGGUUGGACAUCGAUCCAUGCCAACAAACAACACCGCACUUCGAUGCUAUCCCAUGGCACGAGAACAGGGGGUGCUCACCACGCAUGGGAACAUCGGGUGUUCAUUAGAUAGGAUCCUACAGUUUGAUCAAGAAAAGUAGUGUAGUCAGGUUACCCCUGAUUUCAUCAACGAAAGCAAACAUGUUAAAGCAACAAUCUCUUAUAAGUUUCUAACAACAUGUAUAUAGAUAUAUUUUAAAGUAGCUCCUCUAACCAUGGCAACAUAAUUGUUAUUUCUCCUCAAGUCAGACCUCUCCUGGUGGGCGCCUUGACAAAAUGAUAAGGAGCACAAUAUGUUCACUCAAAGCUAAUCACUCAAUUCCCGAUGGCUCAUAUUGUCAAGCAAUCGCCCGUUUUCAAUGCAAUGAUUAUGCAACGAUUGGUGUAGGAUAGGAAGCUGUUGAGAGUCCAUGCGUUUUCUGCUACUCUUGAAGUCUAGAUAGAACACACUGCUUUGGUGGUUGCAUUUAUAUGGAUGAUUUAGCCAUGCAUGAUGAGUUAUCUGGCCUUUCUUUCCCAAAGUUAAUCCGUCUAUCCACCUCAACUCAACACAUAUAGAUGAUUAGUGUUUGUCUUUUUAUACUGCAAUAAUUGAUGUACAAUGUUUGCCAACUAUCAUUUUCUCAUAUCAUCCAUGUCACACUAGUACACCUACUGCCAGGUCAUCAAAAUAGCACCAGCAAGACUGCAAGAGAGUUACCAUGUAUCUUGAUAUGAAGAUCACCCUACAUGGCUAAUACUGUAGGCAAAUGCAAAUUGCUUCAAUGCACCCUCGAUCCAUCUUUAAAAGGGAGGAGCCCCAUUUCUUCCUACUUCAUUUUCACUUGUCACACCAUAUGCAAGUACUGCCGAACCACUGUCUUGUACACCUAUGCAUUUGAAUUAUGGAUUGGUUUUGGUCUUUCUGAUUGACCAAUUUGAAAUAAUAAAUAAGUUGUUGAAAAAAAAAUAGGAUGUUAUUUGUUUCCCGCCUCUCUAGCUACACGUAGGAGUAGGAGGCAUCAGCAAGCAAAGGAGUUUCAAGUGAUAAGAUGCCACACCUGCAAUGCAUGUGACCCGUACAGUCGGGAACUCAGAUACGUAGUGAUAAGGAAAUAGCUUCUUUUUCUUUUGUUUAUCUCUACAAUACCUCAUGAAGAGUUCCGAGUCUUCUUGAAUGGGCAGUUCAUGUGAUGCACAACAUUGUACUCCUAUAAUGCACUUCUUCGCCUCCCUCCGUCAUCAUCCCCUGAAUCAAAGAGGGGGCGAGAAUACAGUGUAUCACUGGUGCUAAGCAGGUGAGGAACCUCGUACCAUGAGAGUAGACGUUUUUGUGUUUGUGUGGGUGUAUGCGCCCUAUUUGUAUUCUGUAACACGAUCUACCCCUUCUUAAUGAAAUGAAGCAAUUAUUUUUCCUUGGCUUAAAAAAUGCACUUCUUAUAUUGUGUGUUAUAUUAAUCUAUUUUUUUAUGUUUACUUAGAUAUUUGUCGUGGAGUUAACCCCUUUUGUAAUAUAAUUUCCUCCACCUUUUGAAAAUAAAGCAGUGUUACAUGUAUACUUUCCCGGCUGAUGAGAUUUAGUAACAUAGUCUUUCUCUUUUUCAAAAUGGGGGACAGAAAAAAGCUAAAUGUAAGCAACACGGUAAGUUUUGUUUAAGUUAAGGAAUUCAGUUCGUGGUAAGUUUUGUUUAAGUUUAGGGUUUCAGUUGAAUUUCAGGAGACGAGACAGAGAUUAGAGGUGGGGACCAUCACUUUAAACUAUUUGCAUACCACUCUUUAGAUCUGUUAAGUAAUAAAGCACCCCUUUUCAAAAAAGCAAAUCUUACCAGUCUCGGUGACCAUCACUUCAAACUAUCUACCUACCACUCUUGUGUCGCGGUGCAGAAGUUGGCAUGGCGUUGUGGUUCUCAUCUGUGACUGACCUCGGUGAUGGCCAUGCUUGCUGAUUGGGGACCGGCAUGGUCGGAUCUGAUGUUGAGGCGAUGACGGUGGAUUGGUCAUUUCCGCUACCACUUCGUCCAAUCUGUACUGGACUUGCACCCCUAGUUAUGCAGAAGUGGAAGCACAAAAGCGGAUGUGAGCAUCAUGGCGGCGAGCAAGACUGGUCGGGCAAUAAAGGUGGUGUGAUUUGCUUUGCCCCCAGUCAUGCUGGCAGCGGCGCAUCUCAUGGGAGGCUGGUAGAUUGCUGUUGUGCACAAUGUCCAUUAGUGAAACAAUAGUGCAUCAACGAAAAUGAUGCCACCGUGUCUUCUUUUCUAGAAAGUUCACUUUUAACUGGCUACUUAUGUGUAAUGGACUAUUAGGUAUUGUGAGCGACAUUGACGAUCCACACCGCCUUCCCGGCAUUGUUUUGCCCCAAAUUUGAUGUUUAGUUAGACUAUCCAAUAUGAAGCGCAAGCGAUGAAUCCUUCUUGAAUUAUAGGGUUGACAGUAGAAAUGUGGAGACGUUGCCACAGGCUGGCCCAACCUGGAUGACAUCGAGUUUUCUCUUUCUUUUUCAAGAUCAUUUGUUCGGCAUCUUGUGCUUAUGAUGGUUUAAUAAAAAAAGUUGAGCAGCGGUUUAAUUAUUAAUAAUACGCGACCCCUCAUUUUUUUAAUAAUUGUAAUUUCUAAUUCGUGACCGACAAAGUUUUGGCUUUACAACAAGCUCACAUGCACAGCCGUGAAAUCUCCACCUUGUGGUCACUGCCAUGGACAGGCAGCGGUACUCGUGGGAGGAAAUCUGAGAUACUCCGAUCCUUUCUAUUAUCUUUGUGCCUCCCCAAUCACUUGCCGCUAUUCCAUGCGCUUCAGUGGAGAAGGUAGCGCUAGCGCCCUCGGCACACGGGAUUAACCGAGGAGAGCUCGCGGUUUGAAGGAAGAGGGUUGCUGGUGCCCUGGGUUGGACGUCAGUCCAUGCCGCGAGCAUCACCAUAUUCCGCCCCUAUCCCAUGGCCCGUCGCACCUCAUGCGCUCCGGGAUUCCUUGCCCAUUCCUCCUGUCUCCACUGCCCGCCUCACUGGUGUUCUGUCCGCCGGGUAGGCAGUGCUCAUGCGCAACGCGAUGAGAGGGCACUCACCUCACACGGGAUCGAUCAAGGGGGUGCUCGUUCGAUGGGAUCCUGCAGUUCGAUCAAGCAUUUCCCAAGUAAGCCCUUUGUGCCUCUCUCUCCUUGUUCUUGAUUUUUCUGUCCGUCUAUUCGUUUGUGCUAGCUUGGAAAUCGCUGUUGGCUGUACAAUGCAUGAGAUCAGUGCAUACAUGUUGUUGCCCCUGUUCAUCCUGCUAGUGCUUCAGGGAGGGGCUGCGCUGACAGGACUGUAUGUGGUUUGGGGUUACUAGUAUCUGGAAACAUGUAGUACCUUCAACGACAUUACCAAAUUGCUAAAAGGACAAUAACAUUCGGGUCUAUCACAGCUCGGCUGCACCUGCUUCUGUGUUUGCCCCCCUCUCCUUUUGAUUUGCCCUCCUUUGUGUUACAAUGAACUUUGAUUGCCAUUCCUUUUGGCGUCCAUUCAAGGGAAAAUAUUUUCACCGCCCAAUAGAAUGUCACAAGACAAAGUCACAUGUAACAGAGUCCGGAUAGUAACUACUAUAUGCUGCAAACCUGCUGCAAAACAGAUUUCGUAAAAUUCUGAGAGAACAAUCUGCACAUAACAUCGAUCAAGCUAUAGUUUAUGAUCUCUCAAUAUGGCACAGAAUUUGAAUUCCACAACAUCAUCAAAUGUCCAAAACGUGUGCCAUCCAACGAAAAUUCAAAGUUGAAGUGUUUCAUGGUUGCAACUUUUGCAGUGUACAACGGCAAUGUGUAAACCUUUUUGACGUUGUAAGGACGAGUAAUGGUAAUCCCUCUGGUUUUUUACAUUUUUUUGAAAAGAAGGUUCAUAUUAUUAAAAAGUUCGAAUAAAACAAAGUCAUAGAUCCAUUACAGCUCGUGAACGGAGCAAAUUAAAAAGGAAAACUCAUUGCCACAACCGGCAGGAUAAUAGGAGUAGAACACUAGACACCUAUCGUAUUAUGAGACCGCUAUCCAAACCGGUUGAAUAUAGCCCGUGCUACCAUCUUCGAUUGGUUGCACCCAGUAAUCCCUCUGGGUUUUUUAUAUGGACCAACACAUCGCUAUACUAUGGUGGAUGGACUGAGAUUUCUGUUGAACAGGAAGUGAGAUUUUGUAGCAAUUCACAACAAGUUACCUACUGUGGAGCCGAGGUGGUAAUUUAGCUCCAAUCUACUUCUGCUGUUCGGACCAGAAAAAUCUUGUUGUAUCUGGGGUGUGGUAACCUGAUAGGAGGUGGACUCCUGUCCGGACUGACCACUCUGGGAGUUAUCCUCCUUUUCAGAAAAAAAACACCAAAAAUAUUACAUGCAGCAUGGUCAGAGAUGAGGUUAAUUAUGCACAACUCAAUGAAAAGGAAAACCAUAUUGACAAUGGGGAAUUACUGUCCACUAAAAUAAGACAGAACUCGGAAACAUUAUCUUGUUAUUUCUCAAAGUACAAAAAUAAAAUAUUUGUGAAAAGGAAGAAAAAUUAACUAUUUGUGAUUACCACCACCAAGGUUUUUAGUUUGGAAAAGAAAACAAUUGUGGACCUCAUCAAAAUAUGCGAAAUUUCAUUGGUAGUUUUAACCAUGACGGCACUACCGGGUCACUUGAACAACAAUAUCAAACGCAACACUUGCAAGAGCAGCACGAAGUUGCGUGACUUGCGGCCGAUGGACAGCGCCUCCCGAGAAGAGGGAUACGGCUAAUAAUCAAGGCCCGGCGCAAAUUGAUUCUACCUCCUGGAUCCAUCUUUAAAAGGGAGGAGUCCCAUUCCUUGCCCAUUUCAUUCUUCUCUUGUCACAUGCAACACCCACAAACACAACUUGUACGCCUGCACAUUUGGAAUCUCGAUUGUUUCUAGUCAUUCUGACUGACAAAUUAGAAAUGAAUAUUAAGUUGUAAGAAACUAAUACUUGGAUGACAUUUAUGUCUUGCCUCUCUACUUGUAGGAAUAGGAGGCAUUAGGAAGUUAGGGAGAUCCAAGAAACAAUAUGCCACAUCUUAACUGUCUCCCCCUUUGCAGUCCACAGCUAGGAUACGUAGUGCUAAGAAAACAGCCUCUCUUUCCUGGCACAAGAUACUCUCAUGUAGCUAAUACUUUGUCAGAGAGAUAAUGCGAAAAAGUUUAUUAAAUUGCAUUAGAUGACCAAUAUAUUUUAGCCCCAUAGUUUUGGUGUAACUUGCUUCAAUAGGACGUUAAAAAAAAUUACAUCCAGAAUGGUGGUAGUACCAAUAUGUAACAAUAGUUUCUUAUUAUUUAUACUUAGGUGUAUCUCUAGUGUGAUUUUAGUAAUAUACCCAAACUAAACCUGUCUAACUAUUGCUUUGGGUCUAGCUCAUUCCUCACUUAAUGGACACCUGGUGGUGAUUGCACAUACAUAUUUUUGGUUUGACCAAAGUGUGACUCUACUGAAAAUAACUGGCAACAUAAACAGUGACAUACUCCGGCUUGGUCUAAAUAUUGAUGGUAGUCAGUUUAUAACAGGGUGAGUUAAAUCACUAUUAAGUGGCAUUGAAGGAUCGAUCAACAUAUGUAAGUGAGCUUGUCCUUUCUGCUACAAUUUAUUGCAACAUCACUGGGUCUGUGUACCACAUGAUGGGUGACGUGGCUAACAUUACGACCACAUGCGUGACAAUACUUCUACAUCCUCUACCUUCAAAGGCCCAAUCUUUCACCCGCUGUCUCUCCAUUCUUCACUAACCUCCCCGACCCUCAUGUAUGCACUCGCUGACACACUAUCGUGAAGCCUAAACAUAUAUCACAAUGCAGUGAAAUCUGGAUCAGAUCUAAAGCUUCACUAGAAAAAUCGUAGUCAAUGUUGCUGGAAGCAUAUAGGAUUAGGAGGCAUCAGAAAAUUAGCAAGAUAUGGUGGCAAUGCUCGGAAAUCUGGGAAGGCUAGCGCGGACGCUGCAAUCAUCUGUCAUACCAGUGAGACAUUCCCGUGCCGCGGGGGCUGCGUGCCCCUCGUCUGCUGGCCGUUAGCUGCCUUUCUUGCUUUCGUAAUAUGGGUCCGAGUGAAAGAAAGAUGCAGUGGCGGCGUUGUUAUUUCUUUGGAUUAAUGACUACUUCUGGUCGGUGAGGUUCGAUCAAGCCAGGUGUAAGGGCCCAGGGCGAAAAUUAUCCUAUAAUAUAUGAUAGGUGGGCCUAGACCAAGCAAAACCUCAAUUUAUGCUAUUUUGUCUAGCUGUCCAUCAAAACCGUGUCAUUUAGUCGAACAAAAGGAAAGAUGUGUUACUCAGCUACUGUAUCUAAGCCCCUGUGACAUUUUGCUCAAAGUAUAAACCGCUCCCUUCCCACCUGAAGACAUGAGAAUAAGUUGAGCAUGUUUAUACACAAUUCGUAAGUAGGUAUGUCCACUGCAAAUCAAUUGAUGUAUUAUGUGAGGAUUACUAUCUGACUUGUAGAUGUAUGCCAGAUUGUAACUUCUAUUCGCUGCAAACCUGGCGCAGAACGGAUUCCAUGCAAUUCUUGGAAGAACAAGCUGCACAUAACAGCAAUCAGGUGUAUGUUUCUGAUGUUUCCAUAUGACUCCCUACAGUUGUUCCAGUAGAACAUCAUCAAGUGUUUAAAAAGGGUGCCAUCUUACAAAUUUUAGUGUUCCAUGGUUGCAACUUGUGCUGUAUCUUGCUUAACGUUGAGUGAUGAUGGCAUUGCGUCUACUUUUUUACUUGGACCAACACAUCGGUAAGCUUUGUUGGAUGCGAUGAGAUUUCUAUUGAACAAAAGAUCCUGUAGCAAAUCACAGCAACUUACCUACCUGGGGAGCAGAGUUUGUAAGUUUGCUCGCAUCUGCUUCAGCCGGCGAGUGUAGAUGUUUCUGCUCUACCGUUUGGAGCAGAAACAUCUUGUUGUAUGUGGGAUUCACCGUUUGGAGUAGAAACAUCUUGUUGUAUGUGGGAUUCAGGGACGGGAGUCGUCCUCAUUUUCAGAAGAAAAAAACACCAAAACAUAUUACAUGAACAUGAGGUUAGUUAUAGCAACUCAAUGAAACAGAAAACCAUAUUGACAACGGUAGUUACGGUCCAUUAAAAUAAGAUAGAACUAGUUAACAUUGCUUGUUUUCUUGUUAUUUCUCGAAGUACAGAAAUUAACUAUUUGUAAAGUACAGAACUUUUUUUAUAUAAAUAAAGCGGCCUGUCCGAUUUCUAUAUUAGAAACCACAUUGUCUGUUACAAACUAGUACUAGAGAGGACCUGACUGACGGAACAAGAAGGUACAGAACUAGGAAACCAUAGACAAGGGCUUCAUCUUUUCAAGCAGCUAGCUAUCUUGAGGCUUCAUGGCCGGGAACAGGAGGACCUCCUUUAUGUUCUGGGAAUCUGUCAGCAACAUGGUGAGGCGAUCAAUCCCAAGACCCCAGCCUCCGGUUGGCGGCAGCCCGUACUCAAGGGCUGUGCACAACGUUUCGUCCAUGGCCAUCGCUUCAUCGUCACCGUGCUGACGGUCCCUGAGCUGCUCCUCAAACCGCUGCCUCUGCACAACGGGGUCAUUGAGCUCCGUGUAGGCGUUGCACACCUCAUGCUUGUUGAUGAAGAGCUCAAACCUUUCGGUCAGUCCAGGCCGGGCCUCGUCCCUGUGUGACUUUGCGAGUGGGCUCAUGAUCUCAGGAUGGUUGAUGAUGAACGUGGGGUUCACGCACGUAUCCUCCAAGAAGUGCCCAACCAGCUUAUCCAGCAGCCGUGCCGUCGUGUGUGGAAGCGGGCACGUAAUGUCGUACCGGGCACAAGCCUCCAUCAAGUAUUCGUUGGUAUCGUCGCUCGACAGAUCCUCCUCCGCUAUGUUGAGAUUGGCCAUGUCCUCCAGUCCCUUGAUCAUGUCGAUUCGCGCAAACGGAGGCGUGAAAUCGAUCUCGAUAGGCGGCUUGUCGGUCCCGUUAGCGUGGUACUGUACCUUGUAGCCGCCCGUGAGCUCCUUCACCAUGCCGCCCAGCAUCUCCUCCGUGAGCUCCAUGAGGUCGUUGUAAUCCGUAUAUGCCAUGUAGAACUCGCACGUCGUGAACUCCGGGUUGUGCGUCGUGUCGAUGCCUUCGUUCCUGAACUGCCUCCCGAUCUCAUACACGCGGUCCAGCCCCCCGACGACGAGCUGCUUCAGGUAGAGCUCCGGCGCGAUGCGCAUGUACAACUUCAUGUUGAGGUCAUUGUGGUGCGUGACGAACGGCCUCGCCGCGGCGCCACCGGCCACCAUGUUCAUCAUCGGGGUGUCCACCUCCAGGAACCCACGCUCGUCAAGGAAGCUGCGGAUGAAGGAGACGACGCGGGCUCGCGCCGUGAAGACAGACCUCACCUCAUGGUUCACCAUAAGAUCAAGGUAUCGUCGGCGGUACCGUGUCUCCUGGUCCUUGAGGGCGUAGCUCUCCAUGUUCCUGGGCAUGCCGGCAGCCCACGGCAGCGGCGGCACAAGCCGGUGCCUAUUCGGCUGCCGCGGCAGCAUGUGCAGGCAGGGCGAGAGGACAACGAACCGGGCAGGGAAUAUGCUGAGCUCGCCCCUACUGCUCUUCCCGGGGAACCCAGACACGCCAACGACGUCGCCGGCCUUCACGCCGGAGUGGAAAGCGGAGAACUCCUCGGGCGUCUCCAGCUCCGAGGUCCCGACGUCCGCCAUGAUCUGGACCUUGGCGCUGUCGCGGUGGAGGUCGUAGAAGAGGAGGCUGGAGGACGACGUCCUCUUGCUCAUGAUCCUCCCGGCCAGGGACUCGGUGACAUCGACCAGCUUCUCCCCGUCGGCAAGGCCCCUGUACCUGUGGACGUAGUCGGCGACGGAGAUGGUGGGCUGGAAGGCGUGCGGGUAGGGGUUCACGCCGGCGGCCUUCUGCGCGGCGAGGGCGCUGAGCCUGUUCUGAUAGUACUGGGUGGGAUCGACGCCAUCGUCCGCCAUCGAUCUCAGAGUUCAAAGCAGCAGCCGAAGGCGUGCGUCGGCUAAAACUCGCUCGCGGUAUAGUCCUAUGGAAAAUUAGAUCGGAGAUUUUGUUGACCUUGCACCUCCUUCGUUUUCGUUUCUGUUUAUAUACAUGGGACAGGUGGACACUACGUACACUUUUUUCCUUUUUUAGGGUGACACUACGUAAGCUUAGCGUGCACACUACAUAAACGAUCCCCGAGACUCCACCCCAAGGGAAAUUCAGGGGAACAGGCACGUACCAGACGCCGAGGUUUUUUUUUUUGAGGGAAAAAAAAAGACCUCGGCGGCUGGUACCAGCCGCCGAGGUCGAUUAGCGCCUAACUCCGUGGUCAUUUAGUAUUAUGCAAAUAUUUGUCAUUGCAAAUUUGAUACGUAACAUUUACUUUUGCGAAUUAGUAGCCAGAGUUAUAAAAGAUCUUGGUAAGAAAUCAUGUAUUUAUGAAGAGGGUAGUAUAGAAGCUUAGAAGAAGAUAGUCAGGAUCAUGAGUUGGGAUCGGAUUGAUCCUCUAUGAUAAAAUUGCAAAUCGUUGGCUCAUAACUAGUAGGAUCGUGACCACGUGACAUAUGUGGGAAGGAAACCAAACUAUUCAAAAAGAGCAGGAUCGUGAAAAUAUGGAUAUCUAAUCAAUUUAGAUCAUAACAUCGUAAAAAAUCACAAUAAAAUCAUGAUUCUCACUACCUUGCCAAAAACAACCUCCUUAUAUAUUUUCCCAGAAUAAAGUAAUUUGCACAUAUUUGGGGGCAGUCAAGAUUUAUAUUAACUGUGCAUAUAUUCUUUUUUUGCGGGCAGUCAAUAUGCCAUAAAUGGAUCCUUGGUUUUUCCUUCAAGGCAAUCAAUUUACGAAUAUAUGCACAAUUAAUAAUUAAUGCCAUUAGUAGAUGAGCUGUAUGUUUUGGGUGUAAAUAUACUAUAUAAAUAUUCCUCGCAAAAAAAUACUAUAAAUAUAUUUUUUACUAUACAUAUGAGCUGUAUGUUUUGGGUGUAUAUCAACAUACACAUUUAUAGGAUACAGACCGAUGAUUUCAAUUAAUGUAUUUAAAUGUUAACAUAUAUGUAAAUAAAUCGAAAACUUGUAGCAUACACCUAUGUCCAUUAUAAAAAGCCAUCUAAGACCCUAAUCACAGAGCAGGAACCCAGGCAUAUCUGAAAAGAUUGGCUUAACCUCCCAGUAAACACGCUUUCUCAAUCUCAAUCUCUCUCUCAGGUUGCCACCAUCAAGACAGGAUGAGGUCGUUCUACAAGAUGCUACUACUUUCGCUUGCCCUUGUUGCGCUGCUAUCCUCAGGUAUGUAUGUUUGGAGCAUGUUUUGUGAUCAAUUUUGUACGGCGACCUUUCCACUAUCGUUUUCUCAUAAUAAUUCUCUGCAAUCUUUAUAUGCUGGAACGAACAUAUAGAUCUGAUGAUCCAGGCAACGGCUAAUGGUGGCGGCUCGCUAAUCCCUGAAGACUGCCGGCAGACCCCUGUCAUCCCUGGGCCGUGUAACCCCAAGGCUUGUCAACGCAACUGUCAAACCAACGUCGGCCCCGGUGCAGUUGGCGAUUGUGAUGCCGGUGGAUGCCGGUGCACAUACUGUACUCCAUCUCAGCGAAAUUAAGCAGUGAUUGUUGCUUAAUUUUUCUCUGUUUCCAUAAUAUGUAAAAUCUUGGGUUCUUUUUUCUGUCUAGCUUCCUGUCAAAUACUCCUACUUGGAAACUCGAAUCGGAAUGUCAGAAAUUUCAUCGAUUCGAGGGGCGGUUGCCUGAUUAGCAUGUUUGCUUGUGAUUACCACAUCUGAAAAUUAAGGUGUGGUCCUCUAGCCUCCCCUCUCCCUUUGUAGAGGUGUGCUGCUCUAGUCUCCUUGAUUUAUCUUCCUUUGACAGCGUAGUAAAUUGAUGGAGCUCGUGAAAUUGUGAAUGGUGUGCAAGUUAUAACGCACAUAUAUAGCUAGUGUUCGUCCUUUCGAGCUGACAAUUUGUUUAGUAAUUCGUGUUAGUAAUGAAGAAAUAGAAGCCAUUUUCAUGCACGGUAGGCAGCAAGAACUGCGUCGUCAUUGAUCAAACGUAAGCAAGUGGGUUUUGUCCUUCGGCUACAAUGAAUUCGCACAUCUUCAAUCUUUAAAGAUCAUCCCUUUCCCCGCUGGUUCUCCACUUGUCUCUCGGAUCCUAACACAUGCACUAUCCCAAAACCCAAAAAUCAUACAGCGAUGCAGUCAAAUCUUUAUCUGUUCUAAAUGUUCAACAAAAAAUGGUAGUCAAUGUCGUCCACAACGCAAUAGGAGUAGGAGGGAUCAGAAAGUUAUGAAGAUAAGCUUGCCCUGCUCGGAAUUUCAAGAAGGCUAGACAGGAUGAUUUCCGGAUAUGCGAUCCCAAUGAAGCAUUGUGUUUCUCAUCUAGUUUUGCCACUGAGCCACGCCAGUUCUUGGGCAAGUACUGUGCUCGACACCAGCCCAGCCGUUCUCCAGGAAUCAUUGGGGCUUGCUACAUCCAGUGCAGUCGUGGUUUGCGCACGGGACACAUUGCUGAUGUGAUGGGGACCGCAAUCGACCCGGAUCUACGUUGAUGGCUGUGCAUCCUAAGCGCUUACUGGGCACCAGCGAUGCGCAGUUACACAUGGACAUGGCCAUAGCAAACAAACAAGGUGCGGGCACGCAGACCGACAGGAACCGAUGGGGUCGUGAGACUCUGGCAGGCGCGGACCACACUGAGGGCUCGUGCAUGGAUUCUUGGGUUUCGAUCAAAAAUAUCCAUCUGUAUAAUUUCGUUAAGGAUAAAUGAAGGAAAUAAAAAUGAAAAAAAAUUAGGGUCAGUCAUAAUGCAUACAACCAUCUUUAUUAAUUAUUCAACAGAGUGUGGCAAAAUGAAUACAAGGAUCAACCCAAGCCACCUUCUAGACGAACAAAGUCACCACACCUACAGGUAUACAUAUGUGCUCUGUACGCAUAACACACACUAUCUAAUCCGGUGGCCUAAAGCCCGGCCGGUCUAGGUGUCCCAUAACGUGCACCGCAUGCGCGCGCUCUAGGAUCUGCCGCCACCAUCUUCCGCCAUCCCAUCUUACUAUGAGUGAUACUAGUUUCUUUACACAUGUAGUUUAGCCGACAGGACUAGACCCGCGCAUCGCUCGUAGUAGCGGCUUCGGAGAACCCUAGUCCCACCAGCCACCGACCCUCUCCUCCAGCACCUCUCCCUCGCCGCCGCCAAGGGUCUCUGUCGGGCGAAGCCCGGGCAGUGCUGGCGGCGGCGGGGCCUUCCAUGGGCGCGGCUCCUCGCAGGGGCGCGGCUCCUCGCAGGGGCGCGUCUCCGAUCUGGCGGUGGCGGCACUGCUCGGUGAUGGGUGUGGUGGGGUGCUUCACCUGGUGGUGUGCCCCGGCUUGCAGCGAUGGCUUCGGCUCUCGGUCCCUUUGAUCUUUUCUGGGUUGGUUGGUGGAACUCGACCGAAAGCUGUGUUGGAAAUAUGCCCUAGAGGCAAUAAUAAAAGUGUUAUUAUUAUAUUUCCUUGUUCAUGAUAAUUGUCUUUUAUUCAUGCUAUAACUGUAUUAUCCGGAAAUCGUAAUACACGAGUGAAUACAUAGUUCGUUUGCUAGAGCUUUGCCAAUGUCAAGUAUCUCUUCCUUUGACCAUGAUAGCGUGUAACUCCUGGAUACCGUAGGAGUGCUUUGGGUGUAUCAAACAUCACAACGUAACUGGGUGACUAUAAAGGUGCACUACAGGUAUCUCCGAAAGAAUCUAUUGUUUUAUGCGGAUCGAGACUGGGAUUUGUCACUCCGUGUAAACGGAGAGGUAUCUCUGGGCCCACUCGGUAGGACAUCAUCAUAUGCGCAAUGUGACCAAGGAGUUGAUCACGGGAUGAUGUGUUACGGAACGAGUAAAGUGACUUGCCGGUAACGAGAUUGAACAAGGUAUUGGAUACCGACGAUCGAGUCUCGGGCAAGUAACAUACCGAUAGACAAAGGGAAUUGAAUACGGGAUUGAUUAAGUCCUUGACAUCGUGGUUUAUCCGAUGAGAUCAUCGUGGAGCAUGUGGGAGACAUCAUGGGUAUCCAGAUCCCGCUGUUGGUUAUUGACCAGAGAACGUCUCGGUCAUGUCUGCAUGUCUCCCGAACCCGUAGGGUCUACACACUUAAGGUUCGAUGACGCUAGGGUUAUAAAGGAAGUUUGUAUGUGGUUACCGAAUGUUGUUCGGAGUCCCGGAUGAGAUCCCGGACAUCAUGAGGAGUUCCGGAAUGGUCCGGAGGUAAAGAUUUAUAUAUGCGAAGUCCUAUUUUGGCCACCGGAAAAUGUUCGGGAUUUUUCGGUAUUGUACCGGGAAGGUUCUAGAAGGUUCCGGAGUGGGGACCACCUGCAUGGGGGGACCCACAUGAACGUGGGUAGUGGGGGCAAGGCCCCACACCCCUGGUCAAGGCGCACCAAGAUCCCCCCUUAGAAGGAAUAAGAUCAUAUCCCGAAGGGAUAAGAUCAAGAUCCCUAAAAAGGGGGGAUAACAAUCGGUGAGGAAGGAAAUGAUGGGAUUUCUUUCCUCCCACCUUGGCCAACGCCCCAAUGGACUUGGAGGGCAAGAAACCAGCCCCUCCACCCCUAUAUAUAGUGGGGAGGCGCAUGGGAGCUGAAGACGAAGUUCUGGCGCAGCCCUCCUCCUCUCCCAAGUCGUCCUCCUCUCCCGUGGUGCUUGGCGAAGCCCUGCUGGAUUGCCACGCUCCUCCAUCACCACCACGCCGUUGUGCUGCUGUUGGAUGGAGUAUUCCUCAACCUCUCCCUCUCUCCUUGCUGGAUCAAGGCGUGGGAGACGUCACCGGGCUGUACGUGUGUUGAACGCGGAGGUGCCGUGCGUUCGGCACUUGAUCAUCGAUGAUUUGAAUCACGACGAGUACGACUCCUUCAACCCCGUUCUCUUGAACGCUUCCGCUUAGCGAUCUACAAGGGUAUGUAGAUGCACUCUCCUUCUACUCGUAGCUGGUUUCUCCAUAGAUAGAUCUUGGUGACACGUAGGAAAAUUUUGAAUUUCUGCUACGUUCCCCAAUAGUGGUAUCAGAGCCAGGUUUAUUGCGUAGAUUCUUUGCACGAGUAGAACACAAAGUAGUUCUGGGCAUUGAUUUUGUUCAAUAUGCUUACCGUUACUAGUCCAAUCUUGUUUCGACGGUAUUGUGGGAUGAAGCGGCCUGAACCGACCUUACACGUACUCUUACGUGAGACAGGUUCCACCGAUUGACAUGCACUUGGUGCAUAAGGUGGCUAGCGGGUGCCAGUCUCUCCCACUUUAGUCGGAACGGAUUCGAUGAAAAGGGUCCUUAUGAAGGGUAAAUAGCAAUUGGCAUAUCACGCUGUGGUCUUGCGUAGGUAAGAAACAUUCUUGCUAGAAACCCAUAGCAGCCACGUAAAAUAUGCAACAACAAUUAGAGGACGUCUAACAUGUUUUUGCAGGGUAUGCUAUGUGAUGUGAUAUGGCCAAGUAGAAUGUGAUGAAUGAUAUGUGAUGUAUGAGAUUGAUCAUGUUCUUGUAAUAGGAUUCACGACUUGCAUGUCGAUGAGUAUGACAACCGGCAUGAGCCAUAGGAGUUGUCUUAAUUUAUUGUAUGACCUGCGUGUCAUUGAACAACGCCAUGUAACUUACUUUACUUUAUUUCUAAACACGUUAGCCAUAGAAGUAGAAGUAGUCGUUAGCGUGACAACUUCAUGAAGACACGAUGAUGGAGAUCAGGAUGAUGGAGAUCAUCGUGUCAAGCCGGUGACAAGAUGAUCAUGGAGCCCCGAAGAUGAAGAUCAAUGGAGCUAUAUGAUAUUGGCCAUAUCAUGUCACAACUAUAUAAUUGCAUGUGAUGUUUAUUAUGAUUAUGCAUCUUGUUUACUUAGGACGACGGUAGUAAAUAAGAUGAUUCCUUACAAAAUUUCAAGAAGUGUUCUCCCCUAACUGUGCACCGUUGCUACAGUUCGUCGCUUCUAAGCACCACGUGAUGAUCGGGUGUGAUGGAUUCUUACGUUCACAUACAACGGGUGUAAGACAGAUUUACACAGCGAAAACACUUAGGGUGACAUGGCCUCGGAACACGGAGACCGAAAGGUCGAGCAUGAGUCGUAUAGCAGAUACGAUCAACAUGAAGAUGUUCACCGAUGAUGACUAGUCCGCCUCACGUGAUGAUCGGACACGGCCUAGUUGACUCGGAUCAUGUGAUCACUUAGAUGACCAGAGGGAUGUCUAUCUAAGUGGGAGUUCAUAAGAUGAACUUAAUUAUCUUGAACAUAGUCAAAAGACCUUUUUGCAAAUUAUGUCGUAAGCUCGCGCUUUAGUUCCACUGUUUAGAUAUGUUCCUAGAGAAAAUAUAGUUGAAAGUUGACAGUAGCGAUUAUGCGGACAGUAGAACGCUUAUGUCCUUAAUGCACUGCUCAGUGUGCUAAACCCCAAACGUCGUUUGUGGAUGUUUCGAAUAUCGAACAUACACGUUUUGAUAACUACGUGAUAGUUUAGUUAAAUGGUUUAAGUGGAGGCACCAAAGACAUUUUCGAAACGUCGCGGAACAUAUGAGAUGUUUCGAGGGCUGAAAUUGGGAUUUCAGGCUCGUGCCCACGUCAAGAGGUAUGAGACCUCCGGCGAUUUUCUUAGCCUGCAAACUAAGGGAGAAAAGCUCAAUCGUUGAGCUUGUGCUCAGAUUGUCUGAGUGCAACAAUCACUUGAAUCAAGUGGGAGUUAAUCUUCCAGAUGAGAUAGUGAUGUUUCCCCAAAGUCAUUGCCACCAAGCUGCUAGAGCUUCGUGAUGAACUAUAACAUAUCAGGGAUAGAUAUGAUGAUCCUUGAGGUAUUCGCGAUGUUUGACACCGCGAAAGUAGAAAUCAAGAAGGAGCAUCAAUUGUUGAUGGUUGGUGAAACCACUAGUUUCAAGAAGGGCAAGUGCAAGAAGGGAUACUUCAUGAAACGGCAAAUCAGCUGCUGCACCAGUGAAGAAACCCGAGGUUGAACCCAAACCCGAGACUAAGUGCUUCUGUGAUGAGGGGAAUAGCCGCUGGAGCAGAAUUACCCUAGAUACUUGGUAGAUAAGAAGGCUGGCAAGGUCGAUAGAAGUAUAUUGGAUAUACAUUAUGUUAAUGUGUACUUUACUAGUACUCCUAGUAGCACCAGGGUAUUAGAUACCGGUUCGGUUGCUAAGUGUUAGUAACUCGAAAUAAAAGCUACGGAAUAAACGAAGAAUAGCUAAAGGUGAGCUGACGAUAUAUGUCGGAAGUGUUUCCAAGUUUGAUGUGAUCAAACAUCGCACGCUCCCUCUACCAUCAAGAUUAGUAUUAAACCUGAAUGGUUUAUUGAAUCUCGAUCGUAGUGAUACACAUUUUCAUGCCAAAAGAUAUAAGAUAGUAAUGAUAGUACCACUUACUUGUGGCACUGCCAUGUAAGUCAUAAUGGCAUAAAAUGCAUGAAGAAGCUCCAUGUUGAUGGAUCUUUGGACUCACUCGUUUUUGAAAAGUUUGAGACAUGCGAACCAUGUCUAUUGGUGUAUAUGCAUGAAGAAACUCCAUGCAAAUGGACCGUUUGGACUCACUUGAUUUUGAAUCACUUGAGAUAUGCAAAUCAUACCACAUGGGCAAGAUGACUGAAAAGCCUCGUUUUCAGUAAGAUGGAACAAGAUAGCAACUUGUUGGAAGUAACACAUUUUGAUGUGUCCAAUCCAAUGAGUGCUGAGGCAUGCAGUGAAUAUCGUUAUGAUCUUACUUCACAUAUGAUUCGAGUAGAUGUUGAGAAUAUUUACUUGAUGAAACACAAGUCUGAAUUAUUGAAUGGUUCAAGUAAUUUCAGAGUGAAGUAGAAGAUCAUUGUGACAAGAGGAUAAAAUGUCUAUGAUAUGAUCAUAGAGAUGAAUAUCUGAGUUACGAGUUUUGGCACACAAUUAAGACAUUGUGGAAAUUGUUUCGCAAUUAAUACCGCCUGGAACACCAUAGUGUGAUGGUGUGUCCGAACAUCAUAGUUGCACCCUAUUGGAUAUGGUGCCUACCAUGAUGUCUCUUAUCGAAUUACCACUAUUGUCCAUGGGUUAGGCAUUAGAGACAACCACAUUCACUUUAAAUAGGGCACCACGUAAUUCCGUUGAGAUGACACCGUAUGAAUUAUGGUUUAGAGAAACCUAAGUUGUCGUUUCUUAAAGGUUUGGGGCUGCAACGCUUAUGUGAAAAAGUUUCAGGAUUGAUAAGCUCGAACCCAAAGCGGAUAAAAUGCAUCUUCAUAGGACACCCAAAACAGUUGGGUAUACCUCCUGUCUCAGAUCCGAAAGCAAUAAGGGAUUGUUUCUAGAAUCAGGUACUUUCUCGAGGAAAAGUUUCUCUCGAAAGAAUUGAGUGGGAGGAUGGUGGAGACUUGAUGAGGUUAUUGAACCGUCUCUUCAACUAGUGUGUGGCAGGGCAUAGGAAGUUGUUCCUGUGGCACCUACACCAAUUGAAGUGGAAGCUUAUGAUAUUGAUCAUGAAACUUCGGAUCAAGUCACUACCAAACCUCGUGGGAUGACAAGGAUGCGUACUACUUCAGAGUGGUACGUAAUCCUGUCUUGAAGGUCAUGUUGCUAGACAACAAUGAACCUACGAGCUAUGGAGAAGCGAUGGUGGGCCCGAAUUCCGACAAAUGGUUAGAAGCCAUGAAACCCGAGAUAGUAUCCAUAUAUCAGAACAAAGCAUGGACUUUGAUGGACUUGCCCGAUGAUCGGCAAUCCAUUGAGAUAAAUGGAUCUUUUAAGAAGAAGACGGACGUGGAUGGUAAUGUCACCAUCUAUGAAGCUCGACUUGUGGCGAAGUGUUUUCCGACAAGUUCAAGGAGUUGACUACGAUGAGAUUUUCUCACUCGUAGCGAUGCUUAAAGUCCGUCGGAAUCAUGUUAGCAUUAGCUACAUUUAUGAAAUCUGGCAGAUGGAUGUCAAGACAAGUUUCCUUACCAGUUUUCGUAAGGAAAGGUUGUAUGCAAUACAAUCAGAAAAGUUUUGUCGAUCCUAAGGAUGCUAAAAGGUAUGCUAGCUCCAGCGAUCCUUCUAAGGACUGGAGUAAGCAUCUCGGAGUUGGAAUGUACGCUUUGAUGAGAUGAUCAAAGAUUUUGGAUUUAUACAAAGUUUAUGAGAAACUUGUAUUUCCAAAGAAGUGAGUGGGAGCACUAUAGAAUUUCUGAUGAGUAUAUGUUGUUGACAUAUUGAUGAUCAGAGAUGAUGUAGAAUUUCUAGAAAGCAUAUAGGGUUAUUUGAAAGGUGUUUUUCAAUAGAAAACCUGGAUUAAGCUACUUGAACAUUGAGCAUCAAGAUCUAUAAGGAUAGAUCAAAAUGCUUAAUAAUACUUUCAAAUGAGCACAUACCUUGACAUGAUCUUGAAGGUGUUCAAGAUGGAUCAGUCAAAGAAGAAGUUCUUGCCUGAGUUGUAAGGUACAAAGUUAAGACUUAAAUCUCGACCUCGGCAGAAAAGAGAGAAAGGACGAAGGUCAUCCCCUAUGCUUAAGACAUAGGCUCUAUAGUAUGCUAUGCUGUGUACCGCACCUGAAGUGUGCCUUGCCAUGAGUCAGUCAAGGGGUACAAGAGUGAUCCAAAAAUGGAUCAUAGGACAGCGGUCAAAGUUAUCCUUAGUAACUAGCGGACUAAGGAAUUUUUCUCGGUUAUGGAGGUGGUAAAAGAGUUCAUCGUAAAGGGUUACGUCGAUACAAGCUAAACACCUAUCCGGAUAGCUCUGAGUAGAGAGACCGGAUACAUAUAAUGGAGCAACAAUUUAGAAUAGCUCCAAGUAGAACAGUUAUUUGGAAUAGCCCCAAAUAGAGCGUGGUAGCUGCAUCUAGGAGAUGACAUAGAGAUUUGUAAAGCACACACGGAUCUGAAAGGUUCAGACCCGUUGACUAAAACCUCUCUCACAAGCAACAUGAUCAAACAUAAAACUCAUUGAGUGUUAAUCACAUAGUGAUGUGAACUAGACUACUGACUCUAGUAAACUUUUGGGUAUUAGUCACAUGGCGAUGUGACCUGUGAGUGUUAAUCACAUGGCGAUGUGAACUAGAUUAUUGACUCUAGUGCAAGUGGGAGACUGUUGGAAAUAUGCCCUAGAGGCAAUAAUAAAAGUGUUAUUAUUAUAUUUCCUUGUUCAUGAUAAUUGUCUUUUAUUCAUGCUAUAACUGUAUUAUCCGGAAAUCAUAAUACACGUGUGAAUACAUAGACCACAAUAUGUCCCUAGUGAGCCUCUAGUUGACUAGCUCGUUGUGAUCAACAGAUAGUCAUGGUUUCCUGGCUAUGGACAUUGGAUGUCGUUGAUAACGGGAUCACAUCAUUAGGAGAAUGAUGUGAUGGACAAGACCCAAUCCUGAGCAUAGCACAAAGAUCGUGUAGUUCGUUUGCUAGAGCUUUGCCAAUGUCAAGUAUCUCUUCCUUUGACCAUGAGAGCGUGUAACUCCUGGAUACCGUAGGAGUGCUUUGGGUGUAUCAAACGUCACAACGUAACUGAAUGACUAUAAAGGUGCACUACAGGUAUCUCCGAAAGUAUCUAUUGUUUUAUGCGGAUCGAGACUGGGAUUUGUCACUCCGUGUAAAUGGAGAGGUAUCUCUGGGCCCACUCGGUAGGACAUCAUCAUAUGCGCAAUGUGACCAAGGAGCUGAUCACGGGAUGAUGUGUUACGGAACGAGUAAAGUGACUUGCCGGUAACGAGAUUGAACAAGGUAUUGGAUACCGACGAUCGAGUCUCGGGCAAGUAACAUACCGAUAGACAAAGGGAAUUGAAUACGGGAUUGAUUAAGUCCUUGACAUCGUGGUUCAUCCGAUGAGAUCAUCGUGGAGCAUGUGGGAGCCAUCAUGGGUAUCCAGAUCCCGCUGUUGGUUAUUGACCAGAGAACGUCUCGGUCAUGUCUGCAUGUCUCCCGAACCCGUAGGGUCUACACACUUAAGGUUCGAUGACGCUAGGGUUACAAAGGAAGUUUGUAUCUGGUUACCGAAUGUUGUUCGGAGUCCCGGAUGAGAUCCCGGAUGUCACGAGGAGUUCCGGAAUGGUCCGGAGGUAAAGAUUUAUAUAAGGGGAGUCCUAUUUUGGCCACCGGAAAAUGUUCGGGAUUUUUCGGUAUUGUACCGGGAAGGUUCUAGAAGGUUCCGGAGUGGGGCCCACCUGCAUGGGGGGACUGAAGGAAAUAUGCCCUAGAGGCAAUAAUAAAGUUAUUAUUUAUUUCCUUAUAAUCAUGAUAAAUGUUUAUUAUUCAUGCUAGAAUUGUAUUUACCGGAAACAUAAUACAUGUGUGAAAACAUAGACAAACAUAGUGUCACUAGUAUGCCUCUACUUGACUAGCUCAUUAAUCAAAGAUGGUUAUGUUUCCUAACCAUGAACAAAGAGUUGUUAUUUGAUUAACGAGGUCACAUCAUUAGUAGAAUGAUCUGAUUGACAUGACCCAUUCCAUUAGCUUAGCACCCGAUCGUUUAGUAUGUUGCUAUUGCUUUCUUCAUGACUUAUACAUGUUCCUAUGACUAUGAGAUUAUGCAACUCCCGUUUACCGGAGGAACACUUUGGGUACUACCAAACGUCACAACGUAACUGGGUGAUUAUAAAGGAGUACUACAGGUGUUUCCAAUGGUCGAUGUUGGGUUGGCGUAUUUCGAGAUUAGGAUUUGUCACUCCGAUUGUCGGAGAGGUAUCUCUGGGCCCUCUCGGUAAUACACAUCACAUAAGCCUUGCAAGCAUUACAACUAAUAUGUUAGUUGUGAGAUGAUGUAUUACGGAACGAGUAAAGAGACUUGCCGGUAACGAGAUUGAACUAGGUAUUGGAUACCGACGAUCGAAUCUCGGGCAAGUAACAUACCAAUGACAAAAGGAACAACGUAUGUUGUUAUGCGGUCUGACCGAUAAAGAUCUUCGUAGAAUAUGUAGGAGCCAAUAUGGGCAUCCAGGUCCCGCUAUUGGUUAUUGACCAGAGACAUGUCUCGGUCAUGUCUACAUUGUUCUCGAACCCGUAGGGUCCGCACGCUUAAGGUUACGAUGACAGUUAUAUUAUGAGUUUAUGCAUUUUGAUGUACCGAAGGUUGUUCGGAGUCCCGGAUGUGAUCACGGACAUGACGAGGAGUCUCGAAAUGGUCAAGACAUAAAGAUUGAUAUAUUGGAAGCCUAUGUUUGGACAUCGGAAGUGUUCCGGGUGAAAUCGGGAUUUUACCGGGUUACCGGGAGGUUACCGGAACCCCCCGGGAACCACAUGGGCCUUCAUGGGCCUUAGUGGAAAGGAGAAAGGGGCAGCCCAAGGGGGCUGCGCGCCUCCCCCCUUCCCCUAGUCCUAUUAGGACUAGGAGAGGUGGCCGGCCACCCCUCUCCCUCUUUCCCCCUUGGGAAUCCUAGUUGGAAUAGGAUUGGAGGGGAGUCCUACUCCCGGUAGGAGUAGGACUCCUCCUGCGCCUCCUCCUCCUGGCCGGCGCACCCUCCCCCCUUGGCUCCUUUAUAUACUGAGGCAGGGGCACCUCUAAACACACAAGUUGACACAAGUUGAUCCACGUGAUCGAUUCCUUAGCCGUGUGCGGUGCCCCCUGCCACCAUAUUCCUCGAUAAUACUGUAGCGGAGUUUAGGCGAAGCCCUGCUGCUGUAGUUCAUCAAGAUCGUCACCACGCCGUCGUGCUGACGGAACUCUUCCCCGACACUUUGCUGGAUCGGAGUCCGGGGAUCGUCAUCGAGCUGAACGUGUGCUCGAACUCGGAGGUGCCGUAGUUUCGGUGCUUGAUCGGUUGGAUCGUGAAGACGUACGACUACUUCCUCUACGUCGUGUCAUCGCUUCCGCAGUCGGUCUGCGUAGGGUACGUAUACAAUACUCUUCCCCUCGUUGCUAUGCAUCACAUGAUCCUAUGUGCGCGUAGGAAAAUUUUUGAAAUUACUACGAAACCCAACAGUGGCAUCCGAGCCUAGGUUAAUGAUGUUGAUGUUAUAUGCACGAGUAGAACACAAGUGAGUUGUGGACGAUACAAGUCAUACUGCCUACCAGCAUGUCAUAUUUUGGUUCGGCGGUAUUGUUGGACGAGACGACCCGGACCAACCUUACGCGUACGCUUACGCGAGACCGGUUCCCUCGACGUGCUUUGCACAGAGAUGGCUUGCGGGCGACUGCCUCUCCAACUUUAGUUGAACCAAGUAUGGCUACGCCCGGUCCUUGCGAAGGUUAAAACGGAGUCUAUUUGACAAACUAUCGUUGUGGUUUUGAUGCGUAGGUGAGAUUGGUUCUUACUUAAGCCCGUAGCAGCCACGUAAAACAUGCAACAACAAAGUAGAGGACGUCUAACUUGUUUUUGCAGGGCAUGUUGUGAUGUGAUAUGGUCAAAGCAUGAUGCUGAAUUUUAUUGUAUGAGAUGAUCAUGUUUUGUAACCGAGUUAUCGGCAACUGGCAGGAGCCAUAUGGUUGUCGCUUUAUUGUAUGCAAUGCAAUCGCGAUGUAAUGCUUUACUUUAUUACUAAACGGUAGUGAUAGUCGUGGAAGCAUAAGAUUGGCGAGACGACAACGAUGCUACGAUGGAGAUCAAGGUGUCGCGCCGGUGAUGAUGGUGAUCAUGACGGUGCUUCAGAGAUGGAGAUCACAAGCACGAGAUGAUGAUGGCCAUAUCAUAUCACUUAUAUUGAUUGCAUGUGAUGUUUAUCUUUUUAUGCAUCUUAUCUUGCUUUGAUUGACGGUAGCAUUAUAAGAUGAUCUCUCACUAAAUUAUCAAGAAGUGUUCUCCCUGAGUAUGCACCGUUGCCAAAGUUCAUCGUGCCCAGACACCACGUGAUGAUCGGGUGUGAUAAGCUCUACGUCCAUCUACAACGGGUGCAAGCCAGUUUUGCACACGCAGAAUACUCAGGUUAAACUUGACGAGCCUAGCAUAUGCAGAUAUGGCCUCGGAACACGGAGACUGAAAGGUCGAGCGUGAAUCAUAUAGUAGAUAUGAUCAACAUAACGAUGUUCACCAUUGAAAACUACUCCAUCUCACGUGAUGAUCAGUUAUGGUUUAGUUGAUUUGGAUCACGUGAUCACUUAGAGGAUUAGAGAGAUGUCUAUCUAAGUGGGAGUUCUUUUGUAAUAUAAUUAAUUGAACUUAAAAUUUAUCAUGAACUUAGUCCCUGAUAGUAUCUUGCUUGUUUAUGUUGAUUGUAGAUAGAUGGCUCGUGCUGUUGUUCCGUUAAAUUUUAAUGCGUUCCUUGAGAAAGCAAAGUUGAAAGAUGAUGGUAGCAAUUACACGGACUGGGUCCGUAACUUGAGGAUUAUCCUCAUUGCUGCACAGAAGAAUUACGUCCUGGAAGCACCGCUGGGUGCCAGGCCUGCUGCUGGAGCAACGCCAGAUGUUAUGAACGUCUGGCAGAGCAAAGCUGAUGACUACUCGAUAGUUCAGUGUGCCAUGCUUUACGGCUUAGAAUCGGGACUUCAACGACGUUUUGAACGUCAUGGAGCAUAUGAGAUGUUCCAGGAGUUGAAGUUAAUAUUUCAAGCAAAUGCCCGGAUUGAGAGAUAUGAAGUCUCCAAUAAGUUCUAUAGCUGCAAGAUGGAAGAGAACAGUUCUGCCAGUGAGCAUAUACUCAAAAUGUCUGGGUAUAAUAAUCACUUGAUUCAAUUGGGAGUUAAUCUUCCGGAUGAUUGCGUCAUUGACAGAAUUCUCCAAUCACUGCCACCAAGCUACAAGAGCUUCGUGAUGAACUAUAAUAUGCAAGGGAUGAACAAGACUAUUCCCGAGCUCUUCGCAAUGCUGAAAGCUGCGGAGGUAGAAAUCAAGAAGGAGCAUCAAGUGUUGAUGGUUAACAAGACCACUAGUUUCAAGAAAAAGGGCAAAGGGAAGAAAAAGGGGAACUUCAAAAAGAACGGCAAGCAAGUUGCUGCUCAAGAGAAGAAACCCAAGUCUAGACCUAAGCCUGAAACUGAGUGCUUCUACUGCAAGCAGACUGGUCACUGGAAGCGGAACUGCCCCAAGUAUUUGGCGGAUAAGAAGGAUGGCAAGGUGAACAAAGGUAUAUGUGAUAUACAUGUUAUUGAUGUGUACCUUACUAGAGCUUGCAGUAGCACCUGGGUAUUUGAUACUGGUUCUGUUGCUAAUAUUUGCAACUCGAAACAGGGACUACAGAAUAAGCGGGCACUAGCAAAGGACGAGGUGACGAUGCGCGUGGGAAACGGUUCCAAAGUCGAUGUGAUCGCAGUCGGCACGCUACCUCUACAUCUACCUUCGGGAUUAAUAUUAGACCUAAAUAAUUGUUAUUUGGUGCCAGCGUUGAGCAUGAACAUUAUAUCUGGAUCUUGUUUAAUGCGAGACGGUUAUUCAUUUAAAUCAGAGAAUAAUGGUUGUUCUAUUUAUAUGAGUAAUAUCUUUUAUGGUCAUGCACCCUUGAAGAGUGGUCUAUUCUUACUAAAUCUCGAUAGUAGUAAUACACAUAUUCAUAAUGUUGAAGCCAAAAGAUGCAGAGUUGAUAAUGAAAGUGCAACUUAUUUGUGGCACUGUCGUUUAGGUCAUAUCGGUAUAAAGCGCAUGAAGAAACUCCAUACGGAUGGACUUUUGGAACCACUUGAUUAUGAAUCACUUGGUACUUGCGAACCGUGCCUCUUGGGCAAGAUGACUAAAACACCGUUCUCCGGUACUAUGGAGAGAGCAACAGAUUUGUUGGAAAUCAUACAUACCGAUGUAUGUGGCCCGAUGAAUAUUGAGGCUCGUGGCGGAUAUCAUUAUUUUCUCACCUUCACAGAUGAUUUAAGCAGAUAUGGGUAUAUUUACUUAAUGAAACAUAAGUCUGAAACAUUUGAAAAGUUCAAAGAAUUUCAGAGUGAAGUUGAAAAUCAUCGUAACAAGAAAAUUAAGUUUCUACGAUCUGAUCGUGGAGGAGAAUAUUUGAGUUACGAGUUUGGUGUACAUUUGAAAAAUUGUGGAAUAGUUUCGCAACUCACGCCACCCGGAACACCACAGCGUAAUGGUGUGUCCGAACGUCGUAAUCGUACUUUACUAGAUAUGGUGCGAUCUAUGAUGUCUCUUACUGAUUUACCGCUAUCAUUUUGGGGAUAUGCUUUAGAGACGGCCGCAUUCACGUUAAAUAGGGCACCAUCAAAAUCCGUUGAGACGACGCCUUAUGAACUGUGGUUUGGCAAGAAACCAAAGUUGUCGUUUCUUAAAGUUUGGGGCUGCGAUGCUUAUGUGAAAAAACUUCAACCUGAUAAGCUCGAACCCAAAUCGGAGAAAUGUGUCUUCAUAGGAUACCCAAAGGAAACUGUUGGGUACACCUUCUAUCACAGAUCCGAAGGCAAAACAUUCGUUGCUAAGAAUGGAUCAUUCCUAGAGAAGGAGUUUCUCUCGAAAGAAGUGAGUGGGAGGAAAGUAGAACUUGACGAGGUAACUGUACCUGCUCCCUUACUGGAGAGUAGCUCAUCACAGAAAACUGUUUCAGUGACACCUACACCGGUUAGUGAGGAAGCCAAUGAUAAUGAUCAUGAAACUUCAGAUCAAGAUACUACUGAACCACGUAGAUCAACCAGAGUAAGAUCCGCGCCAGAGUGGUACGGAAAUCCUGUUCUGGAAGUCAUGCUACUAGAUCAUGAUGAACCUACGAACUAUGAAGAAGCGAUGGUGAGCCCAGAUUCCGCAAAGUGGCUUGAAGCCAUGAAAUCUGAGAUGGAUUCCAUGUAUGAGAACAAAGUAUGGACUUUGGUUGACUUGCCCGAUGAUCGGCAAGCAAUUGAGAAUAAAUGGAUCUUUAAGAAGAAGACUGACGCUGAUGGUAAUGUUACUGUCUACAAAGCUCGACUUGUCGCAAAAGGUUUUCGACAAGUUCAAGGAAUUGACUACGAUGAGACCUUCUCACCCGUAGCGAUGCUUAAGUCCGUCUGAAUCAUGUUAGCAAUUGCCGCAUUUUAUGAUUAUGAAAUUUGGCAAAUGGAUGUCAAAACUGCAUUCCUGAAUGGAUUCCUGGAAGAAGAGUUGUAUAUGAUGCAACCAGAAGGUUUUGUCGAUCCAAAGGGAGCUAACAAAGUGUGCAAGCUCUAGCGAUCCAUUUAUGGACUGGUGCAAGCCUCUCGGAGUUGGAAUAAACGUUUUGAUAGUGUGAUCAAAGCAUUUGGUUUUAUACAGACUUUCGGAGAAGCCUGUAUUUACAAGAAAGUGAGUGGGAGCUCUGUAGCAUUUCUGAUAUUAUAUGUGGAUGACAUAUUACUGAUUGGAAAUGAUAUAGAAUUUCUGGAUAGCAUAAAGGGAUACUUGAAUAAAAGUUUUUCAAUGAAAGACCUCGGUGAAGCAGCUUACAUAUUAGGCAUUAAGAUCUAUAGAGAUAGAUCAAGACGCUUAAUUGGACUUUCACAAAGCACAUACCUUGACAAAAUUUUGAAGAAGUUCAAAAUGGAUCAAGCAAAGAAAGGGUUCUUGCCUGUGUUACAAGGUGUGAAAUUGAGUAAGACUCAAUGCCCGACCACUGCAGAAGAUAGAGAGAAUAUGAAAGAUGUUCCCUAUGCAUCAGCCAUAGGCUCUAUCAUGUAUGCAAUGCUGUGUACCAGACCUGAUGUGUGCCUUGCUAUAAGUUUAGCAGGGAGGUACCAAAGUAAUCCAGGAAUGGAUCACUGGACAGCGGUCAAGAACAUCCUGAAAUACCUGAAAAGGACUAAGGAUAUGUUUCUCGUAUAUGGAAGUGACAAAGAGCUCAUCGUAAAAGGUUACGUUGAUGCAAGCUUUGACACUGAUCCGGACGAUUCUAAAUUGCAAACCGGAUACGUGUUUACAUUAAACGGUGGAGCUGUCAGUUGGUGCAGUUCUAAACAAAGCGUCGUAGCGGGAUCUACAUGUGAAGCGGAAUACAUAGCUGCUUCGGAAGCAGCAAAUGAAGGAGUCUGGAUGAAGGAGUUCAUAUCCGAUCUAGGUGUCAUACCUAGUGCAUCGGGUCCAAUGAAAAUCUUUUGUGACAAUACUGGUGCAAUUGCCUUGGCAAAGGAAUCCAGAUUUCACAAAAGGACCAAACACAUCAAGAGACGCUUCAACUCCAUCCGGGAUCUAGUCCAGGUGGGAGACAUAGAGAUUUGCAAGAUACAUACGGAUCUGAAUAUUGCAGACCCGUUGACUAAGCCUCUUCCACGAGCAAAACAUGAUCAGCACCAAAGCUCCAUGGGUGUUAGAUUCAUUACAGUGUAAUCUAGAUUUUUGACUCUAGUGCAAGUGGGAGACUGAAGGAAAUAUGCCCUAGAGGCAAUAAUAAAGUUAUUAUUUAUUUCCUUAUAAUCAUGAUAAAUGUUUAUUAUUCAUGCUAGAAUUGUAUUUUCCGGAAACAUAAUACAUGUGUGAAUACAUAGACAAACAGAGUGUCACUAGUAUGCCUCUACUUGACUAGCUCGUUAAUCAAAGAUGGUUAUGUUUCCUAACCAUGAACAAUGAGUUGUUAUUUGAUUAACGAGGUCACAUCAUUAGUAGAAUGAUCUGAUUGACAUGACCCAUUCCAUUAGCUUAGCACCUGAUCGUUUAGUAUGUUGCUAUUGCUUUCUUCAUGACUUAUACAUGUUCCUACGACUAUGAGAUUAUGCAACUCCCGUUUACCGGAGGAACACUUUGGGUACUACCAAACGUCACAACGUAAAUGGGUGAUUAUAAAGGAGUACUACAGGUGUCUCCAAUGGUCGAUGUUGGGUUGGCAUAUUUCGAGAUUAGGAUUUGUCACUCCGAUUGUCGGAGAGGUAUCUCUGGGCCCUCUCGGUAAUACACAUCACAUAAGCCUUGCAAGCAUUACAACUAAUAUGUUAGUUGUGAGAUGAUGUAUUACGGAACGAGUAAAGAGACUUGCCAUUAACGAGAUUGAACUAGGUAUUGGAUACCGACGAUCGAAUCUCGGGCAAGUAACAUACCGAUGACAAAGGGAACAACGUAUGUUGUUAUGCGGUCUGACCGAUAAAGAUCUUCGUAGAAUAUGUAGGAGCCAAUAUGGGCAUCCAGGUCCCGCUAUUGGUUAUUGACCAGAGACAUGUCUCGGUCAUGUCUACAUUGUUCUCGAACCCGUAGGGUCCGCACGCUUAAGGUUACGAUGACAGUUAUAUUAUGAGUUUAUGCAUUUUGAUGUACCGAAGGUUGUUCGGAGUCCCGGAUGUGAUCACGGACAUGACGAGGAGUCUCGAAAUGGUCAAGACAUAAAGAUUGAUAUAUUGGAAGCCUAUGUUUGGACAUCGGAAGUGUUCCGGGUGAAAUCGGGAUUUUACCGGGUUACCGGGAGGUUACCGGAACCCCCCGGGAACCACAUGGGCCUUCAUGGGCCUUAGUGGAAAGGAGAAAGGGGCAGCCCAAGGGGGCUGCGCGCCUCCCCCCUUCCCCUAGUCCUAUUAGGACUAGGAGAGGUGGCCGGCCACCCCUCUCCCUCUUUCCCCCUUGGGAAUCCUAGUUGGAAUAGGAUUGGAGGGGAGUCCUACUCCCGGUAGGAGUAGGACUCCUCCUGCGCCUCCUCCUCCUGGCCGGCGCACCCUCCCCCCUUGGCUCCUUUAUAUACUGAGGCAGGGGCACCUCUAAACACACAAGUUGACACAAGUUGAUCCACGUGAUCGAUUCCUUAGCCGUGUGCGGUGCCCCCUGCCACCAUAUUCCUCGAUAAUACUGUAGCGGAGUUUAGGCGAAGCCCUGCUGCUGUAGUUCAUCAAGAUCGUCACCACGCCGUCGUGCUGACGGAACUCUUCCCCGACACUUUGCUGGAUCGGAGUCCGGGGAUCGUCAUCGAGCUGAACGUGUGCUCGAACUCGGAGGUGCCGUAGUUUCGGUGCUUGAUCGGUUGGAUCGUGAAGACGUACGACUACUUCCUCUACGUCGUGUCAUCGCUUCCGCAGUCGGUCUGCGUAGGGUACGUAGACAAUACUCUUCCCCUCGUUGCUAUGCAUCACAUGAUCCUGUGUGCGCGUAGGAAAAUUUUUGAAAUUACUACGAAACCCAACAGGGACCCACAUGAACGUGGGUAGUGGGGGCAAGGCCCCACACCCCUGGUCAAGGCGCACCAAGAUCCCCCCUUAGAAGGAAUAAGAUCAUAUCCCGAAGGGAUAAGAUCAAGAUCCCUAAAAAGGGGGGAUAACAAUCGGUGAGGAAGGAAAUGAUGGGAUUUCUUUCCUCCCACCUUGGCCAACGCCCCAAUGGACUUGGAGGGCAAGAAACCAGCCCCUCCACCCCUAUAUAUAGUGGGGAGACGCAUGGGAGCUGAAGACGAAGUUCUGGCGCAGCCCUCCCCCUCUCCCAAGUCGUCCUCCUCUCCCGUGGUGCUUGGCGAAGCCCUGCUGGAUUGCCACGCUCCUCCAUCACCACCACGCCGUUGUGCUGCUGUUGGAUGGAGUCUUCCUCAACCUCUCCCUCUCUCCUUGCUGGAUCAAGGCGUGGGAGACGUCACCGGGCUGUACGUGUGUUGAACGCGGAGGUGCCGUGCGUUCGGCACUUGAUCAUCGAUGAUUUGAAUCACGACGAGUACGACUCCUUCAACCCCGUUCUCUUGAACGCUUCCGCUUAGCGAUCUACAAGGGUAUGUAGAUGCACUCUCCUUCUACUCGUAGCUGGUUUCUCCAUAGAUAGAUCUUGGUGACACGUAGGAAAAUUUUGAAUUUCUACUACGUUCCCCAACAAGCUGUGGCCGGCCAUGUGCCUCGUCAGUUGAUGCGGCAUGGGACUCUAGUCGGCAGGCUUCAGGCCAUGAAUGUUGACAGGCAGGCGGCGGCGGACUCAUCGGGGCGGCGUUGGGGGACUGCUGCCGUGAAAAUAAUGGUGGUUGUCCUUGUGCUCUUUUCGCAUCAUGGAAACGUCCUACAUGCAUGAUGGGUCUUCCUCGCAACAUGCCAGCAGACCCCUGUCAUCCCUUGCCAUACCCUGUCAUCCUUCGGUCGUGUAACCCCAAGGUUUGUCUCCGCAACUGCCAAACCAACGUCCGCCCUGGUGCGGUUGGCGAUGGUGAUGCCGGUGGAUGCUAGUGCACACAUUGUACUGCAUCUCAGCGAAAUUAAGCAGUGAUUGUUGCUUAAUUUCCCCCCUAUCCAUAAUAAGUGAAAACUUAUUUUGUUUUUGUCUGGUUACCUUUCAAAUACACGGAAACUCAAAACAGGAAUGUUAGAAAUUUCAUCGACUUGAGGGGCCGUUGCCUUAUUAGGGCAUCUUCAAGGCUGACCCGUAAAGCACCCGCAACCGUCUGAACCACGCUGUGGGGAUCGCGGAAGCCAUCCAACACGAGCCUGUAUCGGCCUAUGGGGCAGUCCGGACGCAAUUUCUCCCGUAAAAUGGAGAAAAAACUGGGGGAUGUUUGCGGGAGUCCGGACCAAUCCCAAGCGCGUUUCUGACCGCCCUAGCCUACCAAAUCCCCUUCCCCUUCCGCACGCUCCCUCCCGGCGCUAGCUGCCCGCAUUCAUGCUGCUGUAGAGCACGCCAUUCCGCAUUAAAGAUGUCUCAGGGCGGAUGUGACCUCUCACUGCCUCCGCCAUUGAAGCGGUGCACCGGCCGAGUGCACCGCCGGCUACACGCCUGGCUAAACAUGCCUCUUCGCCGCGUUCACAAGCCUCCAUUAAACCCGCAUGGAAGCCGACAAAUCUACUCCAGCCACACAUCUGCUCAUGAGCGAGCCGACAUUAAACGCAAUGCCGGGCAAGAAUCGCAACCCUCCGCCGCUCCCAUCUCCUUCUACACCAAUUUCUCCACUCUCCCGAUGGCUUUCGAAGAGCAGUUCUCCGGCAUACAAGCUGGCUGGGUGGCCCGCCGACAACGCCGGAUACAAGUGAGGCAGCUCGCUGGUCCACCUCCCGUGUUGACCCUAUGGAGCAAGUUGUCACCCCAAACCGUCGUGUGGUUCAGCAACUCGCCGCUCGAGGCCAACUUGAUGAGGAGCGGCGAGUUGCUCCACGCCGGCAUGGGCAUCGGUGCAUCCAGUGCCUGCGACCGUGCCAUUCCGCCGUCGAUGCGCGCGUAGCCACGCCAUGCACGUAGAGAAAGAAGCCGGAAGCGUGGACGUGGACGAGGUGGCUGCCAGCAUGUCUGCGCCCGCCGGCUUGUACAACCUGUGACCUGUCCGGUUCUUCUUUAUAUUAGACCAUCCUGGGCACCCGCCUGAGCUUCACGGAAGCACCAUUUCCCUCCGACAGCACCCUCUUCGGCACUCCUAUGAGCGGUGCAGCCGGACAUAGGGAAGAUAAAGGAGAAAAUAUGCCUCCGGGACUCCGGACAGUCUGGUGAGCGGGUUGCCAGACAUAUUGAAGCCAAAGUGAUCCGUCUCGGCCGGCCGUAGACUAGUGUAGUAUAUCUGUAUUGUGGGAGUAGAGCUCCGUGCGACCGUAAGUGCACAUAGUUUUACCUUUUUAGUUAAAAUAUGUCCAAAUUGUAAUCAUUUUCAUACUGUUUGUAUGAAAUUUGUCAUGUCUGUAUGAAAUCCGGCCGUGUUUGCAUGAAUUUCAUCAGUUUGCUGAAAAGAGUUUGAAAAGUAUGCGACUAGCGUUGGCGUCCUCCGCAUCUGUGUCCGUGGACUGUUACCUCCCUGUCCUCGGACGUAUGCCGGAGAGAAUCUGUGGGUUGCCAUUGGAGAUGCGCUUAGCAUGUUUGCUUGUGAUUACCACAUCUCAAAAUAAAGGUGUUGUUGGAGUUGUGUCGAAUAUAGUGUACAGGAUAGGUUACAUCGAUGUGUCUACCCCGCUAUAUAUGAGAGGCCUAGGAUACAAGUUUCUUACUAGGACACAACUCCAUAUCCUAUCUAAAUACAAUACAACUACAAGUCCAACUGUAACCUAUUUUGUACACUAUAUUCGACACAACUCCAACAAACUCCACCUUGGCAAAUAUACUCCACCACCCUGGAUUUGUCCAUGCGUCAAACUUCCAUGUGCAUUGGACUUGAGCUUAUCCCAUGAGUAUUGCUGCUACUCCAAAGACUCCAUGUGACUCCACCUGCAACUUGUAGUCCCUUCUUUUCUUGAACACAGUCAACACUCGAGCAAAAUUAAGUAACUUGUUGCUCUAGUUUGUGCUCCCAACUUCCAGAGUAUCCGUCCAACGCCAUCACACACUGAUCACUGACCUGCGUGAAAGUGAACAACUCACAUAUUGGAUAUCACACAUAAGAGUUACCUGAACUCAACAUCACCGCUCCUUUCUUGACCGCCUGCCUGAAACAUGAAGAAAUUUCACCGUUGCUUGUAGUCAUCCCGAGUCAAAUUCGAAGUUGUCUCACCACAUGUAUGACCACCAGAGCCCUGGCCUGUCUCCAUGUCCCGUGCAUACCGCACGCCUCGCCGCUAUUAUCGUAUCGAGCCUCCGCUGUCCCGGUCGAGUCUCAAGGGUCGUGAAACCACACCACUCAACCCCCCACUGCAGAGUACCAUCGAUCAUCACCGACCGAUGACGAGUUUCAUGCUUCCAUCAGACCACUGGGCUCCAGUUUGAACUACGUGUCCCUCGCUUUUUCCUACUGAAUAGGCUUCGACUCUCUGAGCUCUUACGUCGUAGCCCCUCAAUCAACACUGAGUGAAGUCUUCCAGACUCCAGCUCCAUCUUCAACAUGACUCCAUGGUAGAUGAUCCGUCCACUCCCGCGCCCCAUCGACUCCAAUCUCUCAUGUGCACCAUCUUGAAUCAACCCUGCGCCAUAGUCUUGUCGAAGCCACACAAGCACUCAGGCCCAUGCCGCGUGUUUCCACACCCAGAAGUCGGUCACCAUCAGCAUCACACACCUUUGUCAUCGUCGCCGAUUCCAGCACCGUCUUCUAUACCAACCGACUUGCGUUGAUCCGUGAGACUGCCUAGUAUGACCAAGCCAAACUCGUUCGACUGUAUGACACGCUCGAGACUCCCAAAUCAUCUUCCGCGAAUUCUCAUCCAUCACAUGAUACUUCUAUCUUAGCUGACAUGACUUCCCGCAAUGCCUUCAAGCAUCCUUGUUGUGCCAACAAAUCUUUUACCCUGUCUGCCAUAACCCAAGGUUUUCAGUUCCGUGAAAUUCUUCACCUCAAACCUGAUGUCCGGUGACGUUAUGAUUCUUCGUACUACUGACGCUGCCAAAAAUUAUCCGAACUUUCCUCUCCCGUGAUGCCCAAGUAUACAAGCAAACAUUUUUUGUUAAUAAAAAUAAACUGAAGCCUUUUCCUUUAAUUAAGUUAAAUCUUUUCAGUUAAGGAGUACUCCUCCAGUAGUAUUGGUCAUUCAGGAGUAGUUAUAUCUGUCAUUCAGGAGUACUGUUAAUUAGGGAGGAGUAAAAUUAACUUGUGGUUGCAGUAUAAGGCUAGCUAGAUGAGUAGUAUCGGUAUACGGUUAGGAUUAGGUUGUUUAUUUAGUGAGAUGAGGAUUAAACCUUUCCUAAUCCAUCUGCCAAUCAUGACCAAAUUUUGAAUUGUACACACCCACAAAGCAUGUCAACAAAGCAAAAUACAAUGGCAGAAUCAUACAGAUUUAUGCAAGGUAACCUGACACAAAAGUCAGUACUCUACAAUGGUGACACUCAUACUGAUGUACCAUUUGUAAAAAUCGAAUGCAAAGCUUGGUCUGAAUCUUUUUGCAGAUAGCUUAAGGUUGAUGUUUCUAAUCCUGUACAUUGUACUUUGGAAUCACCUUCUGCAUUGAAUUUUGAGGCCUGAAAUUGAUGUUUAAGACGUGUUAGAAAUUAAGGACAGCUGCAUGCUAAAUCUUAUCACAGAGGUACAGAAAAAAGCAGAUCAACAGAUUAUGUUCCGUUUCUUCAUAUCGAAGUAUCUGUCGCCUAGAAAAACUCAUCCUUUAAUAGUUGAGAUAGUAGAGAUAUUAGAAGAUCACUGAUGGCUUCACUCAGCUUGGGUUCUUCAUUAAUUAUCAGAUACAUAGUUCCUUAUCCAUGUAUUUCUAAGAAGAGAUUCUAUGCAAUUGAAGUUUAAUUCAGUUUUUAUAUUGCUAUAUAUGAUAUUAGAUCCCGCAGGUUAUUACCAUAUUAAAAAACAUAUGCAUUAGAAAGAAAUACGACACCUUAGUAUUUUUGUUCUUUUUUAGCAAGUCACUGUACAAACAUCUUCCUCCUGCAUCUGUUUGAAAUUUCACGCUAUCUCUUGUUAUUUCCAGCUUAAACAGGUAUAGGACGGGCAGAUGUCGCGAAAGGAAUACUCAUGGUUUCUGAAGACUGACUAUGCUCCCCUGAGUACUACACAACAACAAACUCAAGUUAGUGUGCAUUAAGAUCUACAAUAGUUAUGUGGUUGUAAUGCAGAAAUGAACAUACUUUACUUUGACUUGCUAUAAUUUGAUCCGGCGACUUCAUGUGCUAAGGACUUUCUUGUACACUAUGUUCUUCAUGGUCGUUAAUAAGGGCUCAGAUCUUGUUCGCUUCUAUGAAUUCUUGCUUUCUUCCUUACCCUUGCCCUUACCCUUGCCAUUGUCCUUGAUGGCGAGAAUCUUAAUGUUCCUCUUCGCUGUGGCUCUAGAAGGCGUUGUUGCGGAAGAUGUCGACUUACUCGUAGGUGUUUAUUAUAUAUUUUGUAAUUGUUCGGUCCUGAUUGCACUUAUUAUGUAUCAUGUUCAAUAUUAAAUAAAAAUGACUAUAUGCAUCAUGAAUAUAGAGGCUGAAGGUAAACCUUCUUUUCCAAAAAAGUGCAUCCGGCUGGUUGGUGUACAACACUCAAAGAAGAAUAAAAUUGGAAGAGGAAAACAAACAAAGGGGAUGCGUGGAGGUGAUAAAUUUACUUCGAGGAGACCGCCUCUGCCAUAUUGCACUGGGACCGCACUUAUAACUCGCGUGUCACAUGUUACCUAGCACAACAGCUACUGCCAGGUCAGCGAGGCAGCAAGCUGCUUAAGAACCUGUACGUGUAAAUGGAUUGAUUAUGCUUCCUCGUCGCGUCUUUAAAAGUGAGGCGAUCCCUUUCCCUUCCCAUUUCUCCAGUCCCCACUCUUCUCACUCUCACGCACACGCACUGCUCCAAUAAUACACAUUUCAGCUGGAAAUGCACACCACAUGGAAACCUUUUUGAUCCAUCAAUUCCAAAAUAUUUGUUAGGUUAACGUAUAUUCCCUGGUCAUCACGUCUAGGAGUAGGAUGCAUCGGUAGAUCUGAAACCUCGUUUGGCAACUACCAUAACUUGCACCGGUUGCUGCUCGCCGACGAUGUGUCUCCGUCUUUAGCCAACGAUCGUGUCACUGUUUGCCACAUAUAUCGUCUGCUUCCAGGUCGACGGUGUGGAACCGCGACACGGAACCACGACAACAGAAUUUGUGCUACACGCUAAGACGAGAAAAAUGAGAGCUGGUAGAGAGUGUGUCACGGGCUCGUGAGCCAACCACAGGCCGUAGACACAAAAACUAUCAGAGCUCACGUGAGCAAGCUUGGGGAGAAAGAACAGCAAGCAAGCGCGUCGCUGCCAUGUGCAAAGGGGAAGCACCACGGUAAGAACGUAUUUCUGAUUUUUCACUGAUGACAAGGAGAGGGGCUGGAGUUUGCAUGUCUGCAAUAAUUUGUCGAGGCAGUCUCAGCUGAGGUAAGGUGGCGUGGGAGGCCGACUCUAUGUUUUGGAAAGCUCUAAAGGAAACUCAACAACAUUCGUGAUCCAAUAAAUUGGUUCUUCUGGUUCUUUUGUUCCUUUUCGCUGUAACCAAACAAAUUCUUUGCAAAUACAUGGAAUUAUAAUUUUAGAAAUUGAAACCCUAAGAUGAAUGAAAGUAAACACAUUUUAACACCUAAAAUUGUGAAAUAAAGUAAAUACAUGACUCAAGUUGCUCGGUACUCACAUCAAGGGCUUGGGUCGGUCACUCUGCUUCCUCUGCUACGGUUCCACUGAUCCAUGGCCCCGAUGGGUAUCGUCAUGAGUGGACUACACAGGGUAAUGCACAUGGAGAAUCCGAUUGUCUUCCACUACAUAUGAGCAUGGGCCUCCUUCACAUAGAGGUCGUAGAGAAGCUAUCUUCCACCAUGAUCAUCAUACUAGGGAUAACCAUCCUUAUUUUCGCACGCCUAAAACAUCUUUUCCAAAAUUUUGGAAAGAACGAUGCCAAAAAUAUUUCCGCAUGUUCCAUAUUCGCUAUUAUUACAAAGCACCAUAUGCCACACUUCAUUUCACUGGCGAUACAGCCCUCUGGUUACAGUCAUAGGAAGCUCAGCUUGAUAUUCAUAGUUGGGUCACCCUAUGUGUUGUUGUCCACCAGAAAUUUGACAAAGAUCAAUAUAUAAGACCACCAGAAAUUUGGUAAAGAACAUACUCCCUCCAUUUUUAUAUACAAGACCACAAACUCAGAUUACAGAUACCAAGGUAAAAUCUAAUGCAAGUUUCUUUUCGUUUCGUUUACUAGAAUCAUUAAUACGCAACAUGCAUUCAAGGAAAGUGAGUGGAGGAAGUAGCUAGUGUCAUUAUGAUUGCAAGCAUGCAAGUACUAGUAAACAGGUUGCUAGUACGAGCAAAUAUCAUUAAUUCUUUCAUAGAUUAGUGUUGGUGGCCUUGUAUAGAUGCAAAAUGUAUAUUUUAUAUUGGCCUUGUAUAAGUAAAUGGAGGGAGUACUUCCACAUGAAACAUGUAAUCUCCACUUAUGUACAAAAAUAAUUCGCCAGACACUUGCCACAAAUUGCCACACAUUUAACAGUAGCUAGGCAACAAAGUCCAAAAUUAAAAUCCACGAAAGAGAGCGUAUAUGAUAUCCUAAACAAGAUGUCUGUCUGUUGCUCGUGGCACACCGACCACAUUUUUGGCUCGAAUUUGAGCACCUAACCACAAGACACGAUAGAACCACCCAAGUGCUUCGCACUAGAAGGCACCGCAAGGAACUAUCAAGGUUUAGCUUUUCCGACUGACAAAACAUAUCAAUAAUGUGUUAACUAGCGCAAUACGACUAUCGCCCAAUUAAUGUAGCACAACAGAUAUUUUUAUGCUUCAGAAAUGGGUGAAUUAAGUCCGCCACAUCUGGAGGUAAAGAUGAAGUAGAGAAUCGAGAUGUAAGAAAUAUGGGGGGAGGAGGGCGCAGUCCAGGAAGCAAAAUCCGGCCCAGAUCGUCGAACCUCGUCCUGUACUCCUCGCUGCUCUUGCUUGGUCAGAUUGCGUGUUCAAGCGCCAUGCCAUGUAUCAGUAGGUCACAAGAUUGGGUGUGUGCGAGCCGUAAUUUUAUUUAAUUGGCAUGAUGCAAGAUGAGAAAAACAGAAGGGAUUAUUAGGAUGAGGCUUCUGUACGUAGGUCAGCCAAAUUAAUUUGAUGGGGUUAGCAGAAUUUGUCCUUUUGAAUUAUACUACUCAAUUGUUUUGCCAUAUCAGUGAUACAUCGAAGAGUCGGUGUCUCGAGGUGAUCAAUCUUUAGUUUUUGCAACACCUCUAGCUAACUUUUUUCAAAUCACCAGAUUCCGAAUCUCGUUAUUUGUAUAGUACUGCAUGAUCAAGCAUAAUUGUGUUUGCCAAUGCUAUGACAAGCAUAAUUCUAUUUGCCAAUGAUAUGAGCUGCUAACUCGUUUUUAAGUUUUUACUGCGAAUGUUGUUUUGGUUGAUAUAUGAAGCUCAUCGUAUCGUUUGCUAACAUGUGUGUGGACCAAUGAGCCAUGAUUUAUAGUCCUAGAACCGCAAAUGCGGACACUGCAAUACGAUGAUGUGGCCGGUAUUUAUGAUCUGCUUGCGAACUUCUACCGUCUCGGUCUUUAGAAGGUGAUCCUCCUUCUUUGCUCUCAUUUCACACAUGUCCUCACACACUUUAUAUCUGACAGGUGUUCAUCAUCUAGAUAGGUUUUCUAAUCCCCAAAAUUCUAGUGUGAGGUUUUAAAAGUGAAUACUGGGACACAAUUUCAUCUCGCUCUCAGUCGAUAGGACUAGGAGGCAUGCGGAACUUGUUAAAAUCGAGUUUGACCGACAGUUGUGCAAGUUCUGCUGAAUGAUCAAUUUCCAAUAGGUGUAUAAGCUUACCAAAACAACCUCGAGCUAAUAGCCCUGCAUAAUGUCACCAUCUUUUUCUGGGUGAGACUACUUGUGUCCAGUUCCAUUUCAAAAAAACCAUGUCUGGUGAGUGGUGAUGAAGCGAUGUCGGAAAAGCAUAGGGGAAGACGAGAGAAAGUCCAAGAGCGCAAGAGGCACCAGCGUGAUCACCAUGUGAGUUCGCUAAUUUCCUUGUGCCAAUUGGCCAAGUGUGUGUAAUUUUCAUAUCACACACGGAGAGUUUAUCCCGUGACAGGGCGGAGCCAGCGUACGAGCGUUGGGUUCUGCUGAACCCAACGACUUUUCCUUGGCCAAGGUACAGGUAUACUCAUAGUAUGUGCAUCAACCCAAUAAAAACUAAGGGCUGAACCAAUCAACUUGGAAUGCAAAAGCUCUUAAAAUGAAUUCCCUCCGUGCCAGCUUGACAUGCCUGCUCGUGGCUUCCUGCCUAUUCUAUUUCUCUACGCGCGUAUAGGGCAGCCGCCAGCCACAACCUUUUGCGUUUCCGUUCGCUUCCUCCACUCUGCGAUCUAGUCAUCUCGUUCGUCUCAACCCGAGGAGCGACGACAGCGAUGCGCCGACAAGGGAAGGUCGGCAGCGGCAAGCCCCCCUAGACCAAAUUCGAGGUACCGACUUGCAUAAUCUGUUCGUCAAAUCCCUCACAUCUCCUCUGUGUUGUGUAUGCCCUAGCUGGUUGCGCAUAGAUUUCUAAUAACUUGUUUGGUCAAUCCAUGUAAUCUGAUUGAUCUAGGCUAUCAAAUUGUAUUUCUAAAAGAAACCGAUCAUCAGAUUUAGAUAAUGAUGCUAGCACUUUAAGGUCACCCAUUAGAAUUAGUCAAAGUGUAUCAAAUGUCACUUUAAGGUCACCCAUCAGAUUUAGAACUAUCUUACACUGGAAAAGUCAAUGCGCGUAUGAAGGAGCUAAGUCAGCUAAGGGCAUUUUCCACGGUUGUAAGACAGUUGUUGGUAGACUUUUUCAGAUAGGAUUUUUGAUGAUUUGUCAUACAAUAAAUGAGGAAAGAGAGUAAGGUUGUAAGUAGGAGUUGAACCAACAAUCCUUGCACAAUCUCCAAUGUAGAAUGAGAGAGCACCUUAUUUAUUGUCUCACAUUCUAUUGGGCAAACUAGAUAUAACCUAUCAGAGGCGGAGCCAGGAUUUCUCGACGCCUAGGGCUAAAACUAAACAGCUAUAAAUAACGCCAAAUACCAUCACCUAAAAAAAUCCUAAAAACACUAAAUUAUCACACCUACCAAUGCAUGUUAGGAGUACACCGCAAAUUCAAAGUCAGCUCAAGGAAAAAUAAAUAUGAAUUCAUUAUUACCAUGAGAGCAAUUUCAAUAAACAUGUGCAUCAUCGCAAACGUUGGUACUAAAUUAGUGAGGACUGGCUUCAUUUGAGGCCAUCAUUUCUUCACCAAGAAUAGUAGAAGGGCCACGAGAUGUGAACAUAAAAUUGUGUGUUUACUCAAGAACCAGAUAUAUACCAAGUCAAUUGCUCAUAUGAAAUUGUGUAAAAAAUACAUAUUAUACCAUUAUCACAAAGUGCACGAGGUAGAAGCCCCAUGAGUUUCCUUAUUUUUUUGUAAGCACUGUAUAAUCUUAAUUGUCCAGGUCCUCUUCAUCUUUGAUCUAUUUGACAUUUUUCCAAUGUCAGCAUGGAGCCUUUGGAAAGAGUGUAAUAAUCACGAUUUCAGAAAAGUGAAGCCUACUGUAGAGGCCUGAAAAAAGAGAUUCAAGGUGGACUUUUCCAACCUUAGAUAUAGGGUGCAUCCCUCGAAAGUGCAAUUUAUUAUUGCACUCUUAGAUUCCAUCCAAAUAGUUGCUCGCUUGUAACUUAGNNNNNNNNNNNNNNNNNNNNNNNNNNNNNNNNNNNNNNNNNNNNNNNNNNNNNNNNNNNNNNNNNNNNNNNNNNNNNNNNNNNNNNNNNNNNNNNNNNNNNNNNNNNNNNNNNNNNNNNNNNNNNNNNNNNNNNNNNNNNNNNNNNNNNNNNNNNNNNNNNNNNNNNNNNNNNNNNNNNNNNNNNNNNNNNNNNNNNNNNNNNNNNNNNNNNNNNNNNNNNNNNNNNNNNNNNNNNNNNNNNNNNNNNNNNNNNNNNNNNNNNNNNNNNNNNNNNNNNNNNNNNNNNNNNNNNNNNNNNNNNNNNNNNNUUAUGUACCACCCAGAUGUAAUUGUACUCCAUAUUACAAAGUAAUACAUAUGCAGUAGGAGCCUUUCGUACUGUCUUCACAGUCAAAAAAAGAAGAAACGAGGAAAAAAUAUUGCUAGAUGAUACAACAAACUUAAAAUUACCUCUCCAGCCGGUUGUGAAAAUCAUGUGAUUGGUUGAUGGAACACAGGACGCAUAGAUGGGGAUUCUCCAAUGAUGUGAUGCGAAAGAUAUGAGCUCGAAGAGCCGGCAGCCUGGGCGCGCAUCAGGUGUAGUCGAGUAGUACAAAAGAGUCGGCGGCGCAGUUUUUCUAUGGAUCGAUCUGGCAAGACGAGAUCGUGCGUCCUCGCUUGGAGCGAUUUGGGCGAGGGGGGCAGCGAUUGUUUGGAGAGAUCGUGUCAACUGGGCUUCUCGGGAUGGAGAGAACUCUGUUGAAAUUGGAUGCUUGGAUCGUUUAUGGGCUGGGACCAGGGGCUGCUGGGUUUGCUUGCCUGGGGCUGGGCCUCUACAACUCUAUUAACACGGAUUUUUUUUGCUAGAUAUAUAACCUACUAGAUGGCCACGCCUGGGGCAACAGCCCCAGGUCUGAUUCCGCCCCUGCAACCUGUUGUAGUAGUUGUAUGUUUUUUUUGCAGGAAGGAGUAGUUGUAUGUUAAUGACAUGGCAUAUUUUACCAACAAGCUAAUAAACAAACUGUUGCAGAUGCCCUAACUGCAAUUGUUAGCUAUCACGCUGAUCCAGGUGACAAUGACUGGCCGUAGCCAUUAUUUGAUCCAUUCACUGUUUGUCCUUUUUACACUAUACUAAGAAUUAAAUAGCAAGCAAUAGGUCAAGAAAAAAAUCGCUACAGGAAUUGCCGCGAGUCGGAACUCUCUGGUCACCGGCGCUUGCGUUGGUUGUGGUCUGUCCAGGACUCGCCACUUGCUUGGAGUUAUGGCUACCUUGGCGUUGUUGACGGUGGAGUCGGAGUCGCUGGCUCGCGGAAGAGUGAUAAUGAUGACAUUGCCUGGCAACCUAGACGGCGAUUUUCUCCUCAACGGUGUGUGCGUUCUUGUGUGGGUAGUCAGUAUGCCCGAAGUGUCUUGCAUUUGCGGGCUUGUGACGACAGUUUUCACUCGGUUUUCUGCUAAUUAGCAGGCCAAUUCUCCUCUUUCUUUUAAAUGAAUUGAGAACCUUCGAACAGACUUAAAAAAAACUCAAGACUACAAAAACUUCAUCCACUCGAUCUGGCUGUGUUCAGCCCACGAAGAAAUGGAAAAAUGGGAAGGGGAAAACAAACCAGGUGAUACUGGGACGUGAUAUUUUAUUUUGCAUCUAGGUGACGUGGCCAGAUAUGCAUUCGUCAUUUUGCAUUGAGACCGCACUAAUGACACAUGGUCCAGCACUACAGUUACACCAGGUCACCAGACAGCAAGCUGCUCAAGAAUGCUUCUAGUUGCUCGUCCGGUCUAUAAAAGAAAGGCACCUCCUCCGCCCUCUCCCUAUCCAUUUCUCCAAAGUCUCUACUCUUUUCAAGCACAUAUACUUCCCCAACAAUCUACAUCUCGUAAGCCAAUGAUCGUUAAAUCUAGACCAGUUCUCUAUCUUUGUCGCAUUUAUCAAUUUCAAAACAGCUGCAAGGUUGAUGUAUUUUCCCGGUCAUCACUUGUAGUUAUAGGAGUAGGAGGCAUCAGUAGAAUUGGAACCACGUUUCCCCAACCGCCAAAGCUUCCGUCGAUUUCAGCCCGUUGACGCCGCAUCUUCAUCAUCCUCCGGAGGCGAUCCUGAAGUUGUCCGCCACCUAUGGCGGCUCCGUUCUUCUUGAUGUGCAGUAAGCGCUACAACGAGAAAAAUGAUCAUUGAUCGAAUGCGUAUGACGGGCUAAGGACCCAUCCUUGGGCCAUAGAUGUAACAAGAAUUGAAGCCCUCGAGAUGACAUCUGGCAGCAAGGCAUAUCGUAUCUUUUGUCAUAUUUUCCCUUCAUUUUGUCUGUUGAAUUUUUCAGUGUUUGCCCUGCAUAUAAAGACUCUUUUUGGUUAGAGCAUCUACAGCCGGACAUGCCAAAUAAGACACCCUAUAGGCUUGCGGACGCAUCGGCGGGCGUCCGCGGACAGUGACCGGGCAAUCCCUAUAUCCGAGCAUCCAAAGCCGCGUAUCUCAUAUCCGGCACCCUAUAUCCAUACAAAAUCAUACAACGUACGUAAAUCACCAAACGAUCAAAAUGUACAAGAAGCGGACAUAUGAACCGGCACCAAAUGAGCAUACACAUAACAUCACCAAAAAAUCACAAAACGAGUGUAAUUCUCACGGUUCAACGAUCCAGCACAUUCUAACUAGAUACUAGGGCUAUAUUAUACAAAAGGACAGAGGGCCGAGCUUCACCACUUCCUCGCCGGUCCUUUGUCCUUGUGGUCGCCGGCGCUGCUGUAGGCGUCUGUCGCAGGGGUGGUAAUACGCGUCUACGCCAACGGCUUGACACACACGCACGCACCUAACUAACAAGAUUAGUGCUAACUAUGUCCCCCCUAAUCUUGACACUCGUUGCCGUCGCUGGAGUUGUUGCAGCUCCAGUCGUCAUCGCCGCCACCACGACCACUACCAAGCUUGACGUAGACUCCGUCUGCUUCCUUGGCGAUAAACGCCAAGCUUCGGUGACACACGCCGCAGCUUCUCUUCCCGGCACACUAAUGCCGCCGGCCGCAACUACGGCCGAUUUCCUCAAGCACCAACUCGAGCCACACCUGUUACAACGCAUACGGAGGGUUCUUAUACGCUGGGGUGCGCCAGGGCACGUGCCCCACGACCCAGUCCACGCCGAGCACUAAUCUUGUUAGUAACACCCAGAAUGGUGGUAAUACCAAUAUGUAGCACUAGUUUCUUAUCGUUUAUACUUAGAUAUAUCUCUAAUGUAAUUUUAGUAAUAUACCCAAACUAACACUGUCUAACUAUUGCUUUGGGUCUAGCUCAUUCCUCACUUAAUGGACACCUGGUGGUGAUUGCACAUACAUAUUUUUGGUUUGACCAAAUUAUAAAUCUACUGAGAAUAACUGGCAACAUAAACAGCGACAUACUCCAGCCUGGUCUACAUAUGAUUUUUUUUCGAAAGGGGGGGACUUCCCGGCCUCUGCAUCAGAACGAUGCAUACGGCCACCUUAAUAGAAAAAUAAAGAGGUUCAACAAGGUCUUACAGUCUGAAAACAAAUUAACGGCAAGCUCAUAAAGAGCCACAACGCCAAAAAUAAAAAGCCAAGAAGGCACAACCGGCUGGCAUAACAAAGAUAGGUAAACUAAUCGCCUAUCCUAUUACAUGACCGCCAUCCAAACCAGUUGAAGAUAUCCCGUGCUACCAUCUCCCACUGGAUAGAUCCAGUAACCAAAUGCUCCCUGUCCUCCGUCGGAGUGAGUAACGACCACAUACGGAUUAGCGCAGUGGCACAUAAUAUAACCUGCAAAAAUUGAAUAUUUGUUGUUUUGUUAAAAGCCAAAUCAUUUCUGCAGUUCCAAAUUGCCCACAACAAAGCACAUACUUCUACGCGAAUGUGUCUAGCUGUUUCGGACUCUAUCCCAACAAGACACGUUCCAAAUAAUGUUCCGACCGAAUUCGGAGGAGUAAUAUUAAAGGCAGUGUGCACCGUGUGCCACAAAACUCUGGCCAACGGGCAAUCAAGGAAUAGGUGUUUGAUAGUUUCGUCCCGAUCACAAAAACUACACCUAGUAGAUCCUGUUCAGUUGCGCUUUACCAAGUUAUCCUUUGUUAAUAUGACUUGUUUAUGUACAAACCACAUAAACACUUUAUUUUUCAAAGGAACUUUGACUUUCCAAACAUCUUUGUAACUCGGAAUGGCACUAGAGUUGAUGACAUCGAUAUACAUCGAGUUAACUGUGAACUCUCCAGACCUAGUAAGCUUCCAGCACAACUGAUCGGGCUGAUGAGAUAGCUGAACCUCCAUCAGUCUACUCACCAAACGAAGCCACGCUUCCCACCGGUUGCCAACAAGCAUCCUCCUAAACUGAAUAUUAAGGGGGAUGGACUACAAAAUCGUUGCAACAAAAGCAUCACGUCGUCGAACAAUACUAUACAGGGACGGAUACCGAAGCGCCAGUGACAUUUCACCAAGCCAAGUAUCCUCCUAGAAGUGUGUGGUGGUGGCAUUACCGACUAUAAACUUUGUCCUAUUAAAGAAGGCUGCUUUGACUCUCAUAAGCCCCUUCCAAAAAGGCGAGUCAGUCGGUCUCACUGUCACCUGGGACAAAGUCUUGGACUACAGAUACUUACUACAGAGAAUCUGCGCCCACAUGGCCUCAGUCUCAACUGAUAACUUAUACAGCCACAUAUUGAGAAGACAUUUGUUCUUGACUUCAAGAUUCUCAAUACCAAAGCCCCCCUAGUCGUUUGGUCGACAGAUGAUAUCCCAUUUGGCGAGUCUGUAUUUUCUCUUUAGUUCAUCACUCUGCCAGAAGAAUCGGGAUCGAUAGAAGUCCAGCCUUUUCCUAACACCAACUGGAACUUCAAAGAAAGAUAAGAGAAACAUAGGCAUACUCGUGAGCACCAAAUUAAUAAGAAUCAAUCGGCCUCCAUAUGACAUGAGUUUGCCCUUCCACAACUCAGUUUCUUCUCAAACCGAUCCUCGAUACACUUCCAUUCUCUGUUUGUCAGCUUACGAUGGUGAAUGGGUAUACCUAAGUACGAUGAAAGGUAAUGUCCCCAAUUCGCAUCCAAACAAUUGCCUAUAAGCCUCUUGUUCCUCAUUGGCUCUACCAAAACAGAAAAACUCGCUUUUAUGUAAGUUAAUCUUCAAUCUGGUCAAUUAUUCAAAUAAGCAUAACACCAGCUUCAUAUUUCUCACAUUUGCCAAGUCGUGCUCCAUAAAGAUGAUCGUAUCAUCAGCAUACUACACGAUGGACACACCUCCAUCAACUAGAUGAGGCACCAAGCCACCCACCUGACCGUCCUCCUUUGCUCUACCUAUCAGAAUUUCCAACAUAUCAACCACAAUGUUGAACAGAAUAGGAGAUAUUGGAUCACCUUGUCUCAGGCCCUUGUGUGUAUGGAAAUAAUGACCUAUGUCAUCAUUCACUUUAAUUCUAACACUCCCUUUUUGCGUGAAAGAUUCUACCUGGCGUCGCUAGGCUUCAUCAAAACCCUUCAUGCGUAAGGCCCGUUGAAGGAAAGGCCAUUUGACUUUAUCGUACGCUUGGUCGAAAUCCACCUUGAAAACAACUCCAUCUAGUUUUUUCGUGUGAAUCUCAUGGAGCGUUUCAUGAAGGACCACAAGCCCUUCUAGGAUGUUCCUAUCCAGCAUGAAAGCAGUUUGGGUAUGCUGCACCACAGAAUGCGUAAUCUACGUGAGCCUAUUAGUCCCGACCUUGGUAAAAUUUUUGAAACUAACAUUAAGAAGAUAGAUGGGCCUGAAUUGCUCAAUUCUCACAGCCUCUAUUUUCUUAGGAAGCAAGGUUAUCGUUCCAAAAUUCAGUUGAAAAAGUUGAAGCUGUCCAGAGAAUAAAUCAUGGAACAACGACACCAAAUCCCCCUUAAUAAUAUGCUAGCACUUCUUAUAGAACUCCGUCGGAAAUCCAUCCGGGCCGGGCGCCUUAUUAUUUUUCAUUUGCGAUAUGGCCUCAAACACCUCUUUCUCAGAAAAAGGAGCAGCUAAAAUAUCAUUCUCACAGCAGUAAGUUGAGAAACAUCCUCAAUCCUAGACUCAUCCAAAGAAACACAGUUAUCCUCUGGAGGCCCAAACAACUGCUUGUAAUACUCGGUAAUGUAUAAUUUUAGGUUCUCCUGUCCUAAAAUUGUUCCUUCAUCUUGUUCAAGCUGAAAGAUCCUCUUCUUUCUGUGUUUGCCAUUAGCGGUCAUGUGAAAGAAUUGAGUGUUCGCGUCCCCCUGGACUACUCUUCGGACCUUGGCCCGCAGGGCCACUUUAAUUCCUCUUCACGAAGAAGCUCUUUCAAUCUCAUCUCCGCAUCAAGCUUGGCAUGAAGCUCCGAGGCUGGCAGAACCGUGGUUUCUGCUUUUACAUCAAGGGACUGAAUAAGGGUAAGGAGACGUUCCUUUUCGAGCUUAUAAAUCCCACUAAGAUGCUUAGCCCACCCACGUAGGAAACUUCUCAAGUGCCUGAUCUUAUUCUGCCAACGCUCAAGCACAGUCCUACCUUCUGCAUCCUUAGCCCAUUCUCUGGCUACGAGAUCAAAGAAGCCGUCUCGUUCAAACCAACCAAGCUCGAACGAAAACGAGUUUUUGUUUCCCACGUGGGUGGCCUCACCAGAGUCUAGUAAUAAAGGCAUGUGGUCAGAAAUACCACGGGAAAGUGCCUAAACUGUUACAAAGGGAAACGUCUGUUCCCAGUGGAUGCUAGCCAGUACUCGAUCCAACUUUUCAAACGUCGGAUUUGGCAACUCGUUAGCCCAGGUGAACUUUCUUCCUGAAAGCUCUAUCUCUCUCACAUCCAAGCCUUCAAUGAUAGUAUCAAACAUGGAAGACCAUCUCCCGUCAAAGUUGUCAUUAUUCUUCUCCUCACGCCUUCUAAUGAUGUUGAAAUCACCCCCACCAUGAUUGGAAGCUGCUCAGAGCCGCAAAUCCUAACCAGAUCAACCAAGAACUCAGGUUUGAGUUCGGGGUGCACGGAACCAUAUACCGCCACCAGAGCCCAAUUAAACCCAUCGGACUUCGACCGCACCCUAAACUUAACUGCAAAAUCUCCCAUCACCACACUUCGGACUUCAAGCGAAUCGCAUCUAACUGCGAGUAAGAUCCCACCUGAUCUUCCUCUCGGUGGCAGACAAUGCCAGUCAAAACCAAUACCUCCCGAUAAAGUAUUGAGAAAUUGUGGCGAAAAUUAUCUCUAUCAGUUUCCGACAAUGCGAUAAAAUCCAACCUAUGCUCGAUAGACGCCUCUGCAAGAAACCUUCUUUUAGCCAAGUCUUUCAGACCUCUGCUAUUCCAAAAGAUUCCUUUCAUAUUUCGUCAUGAAAUUUUGUAGCCGUACGGAUCCUAGCACUCCUACGCACUGUGGAAGCCGGGUAGAUCUUCCGCUUCCACUUGCAUUUAGGAAUGUUCUGACUCUCCAGCCGGUCCUCACAACCAGGCUUAGAAGGUCUAACCACGACAUUCCCAGAUAUAUCAUCCUCCUCCUCAGACUAAGGGAGGGGAGGUAUAAGAUUCUCACAAAAAUUAUCGAGCACCCUAACCCCCAAUGCAUCAAAUCGGAAUCAUUCAUGGGCUUAACCGCUGCUAAGUUACGAAUCAUCUCUAAAGCCCGCUCUGCCUCUAAAUCUAGGAUAUCAUUAACGGAAUUUGAAAUUUCACUAUCAUUACUACCUAGUGAAAAUCCUAAUUGGUUUGCAUUAUUAAUAAUCUCAUCAUUAGAAAAAUGCAAACUAGAAUUAGAGGUAUUAACCGACAUACCAGUAGUGACCUCAACGUCACGAAGCUUGGCCGCCCUCAUGGCGCACCGCUGCUGUAUGUCGUCAACCUCGGGAUGAUCCUGGAGACGGCAGCUCAACCGUCGCCCCUCAGAGACCAGAUCCGAAUCCCUCCAAACGCAAUAACCUCCUCCUGAGUGACCCUGCUCGGGGUGGGGCCUCAUGCCACACCCAAAACAAGCAGCCGGUCGGCCUCCAUCGACGAACCAGUGGGACCGCCUGAAAGCGGCGGGGCGCUCGACGGUACCGCCAACGUCGGUCGCGCCCCAUGGCAGAGAGACGGCAACAUGCUGGGUGAGGGGAGUGCAUGGGCCACCUACCCGAACUCCCCACCCACCCCGGCCCUCCGGCAAGAAGGGCUCACUGGCGCCACAGGAGGGGCGGCCGCCCUAGGCGCCCCAGGUGAAGAGGGCUUUGAGGCCACCUGCCUCGAGCCCCCUCCAAAAGGCGGAGCCGCCACCUGCAGCUCCGACAUCACGAGAGGAGAAGAGGGUGCCGAGGCCACCUGCCCCGGACCCCCUCCCUAAGGUAAAACCUCCACCACCGAAACCUCGUCCACCGCGAGAGGAGAAGAGGGCGUCGAGGCCGCCUGCCCCGAGCCCCGUUCAGAAGGCGGAACCGCCAUCUGCAGCUCCGGCAACGCGAUAGAAGAAGAGGGAAUCGAGACCACCUUCCCCGGAGCCCCUCCCGAAGGUAAGACGUCCACCACCGGACCCUUGAACUGAGGAGAUUCAACGUGCUGCGCAUGAGAGGGAGUGGCUACCUGCGUAGACUCCACCUCCUCUCCCCUGACCGAGAUCGGCGAGGCCCCAAGGACGGGACUCACAACAUCCUCAAAAUCCAAAGCAGGUAACGUGUGCUCAAAAACCUCGUCAGGCUCCACCCGAUCACUCCAAAGUCUCGGAGGCGCAGAAGCCGGCUCGAAGGAUCCAAAUCUCAGAGAAGUCAUAGGCACCGAGGAGGGUGGUACCGUCCCAUCUUCGGGCGUCCGAGAAACGGACCCCGGUCCGUUGGACAACUCUCGUCCAGUAUCAUUAACCGGUGCCUCCUUACCUUCCGAGAUGUCAUCUCCCUCGUGCAUAUCAACAUCAGUCCCGUUAGCCACCUCGACGAACCGACUCUCAUCCUCAAACUCAAUCACGAGGUUAUAGAUGUGGCCUCGAUAUGUCCACUUGACCACAUCAGACACGAACUCAAUAGCCGGAACACUGACUAGCAGUCGGGCUACCCCGUGAGCUCUGGUAAAAGCCAUAUCCACUCUCUCAGUUUUCCCCACCAUAAUGCCCAAGCUAGCUCGGCUUCGAGGGAGCCCCGGAAAAACACAGCCAAACCUGACUAAGAGGCUUACCCUGAGGCUCGACCUUCGUCCACUCAUGGAACUCGAGGAUACAAUCUAUACCCGGCACUUUGCACAUCCCAAAACUCAGAAGUCUCUACAAAUUCUCAACUGAAGGGAACUCAACCCUAAACAAUUUUUCCUCGAGACUAACGAGCUCCCACUGGAAGUCACCUGGAGCUAACUCCUUUAGCCUCUACAUAAUCUGAGUCACAGAGACCUCUCCUCUGGUAACUUUGACAACCCUAGUGGUCAUACUCUGGGUCUCGUCAGGAACCUCCCUCUCAGUAGGAGACUCAAAGAACGUGAGUUCAGCACAAUACACUCCAUACAUCAUAAGAGACGGUACCUGAUCACGCAAAAUCGGACAAUUCCCCGUAUCAUGUGCUGGCUUGCCACAAGUAUCACAAAGUUCCGCCACACAUUCAGCAACAAAGUGGCCUUUCUCUCCACAAAGAUAGCAAACCAUUUUUUCCUUCUUGCGCGCCCACUUGGACGCUCUAUCCAAGUCAGCCCUGUCUGCCGCCUCGACCGAGGCCGACACAGCGGUCUCAGUCGCAGGUACCUCUGCAUUGGUGAGCACCGUCCCCAAAUCCAUGGCCUGGCCGGACAUCUCCGGCGUCUCGGUAGCCCCGGCGGUGGUUGUCUGCUCGACCACUGCAGGCGGGGGAGGCUGCCGGUGACGAAACCGACCACCUCGUCCGCCACUGUGACCACGAUAUCCACCCCGCUGCCGAUGGUCAGGGACGGACGCCCCCUCAACGAAACCACCCGGAGGACCAAGAAAGGGUCUCUCAGCUGUACCAUCACUUUGCCAAGCAUAACGGCGGCCACCGCCAGUCGAGGACGAACCACGGUGUUGGCCAUCACCAUACGCAUCGUAUCCGUCGUCGCCCCACUGUCCCUAGGGCGGUCCCAAAGCACCUCCAGUACCCACGUUCUGCACCAGGCGCACUGCCCCGCCCCGUAGCAGCAGCCACAACCGGUGUCUGCGCCGGCGGGCGAGGACCAUGGGCCGUCCCGCCCGAACCGCUGCUGGCGCCGCAGCCGGGCCCUGAGCAGGAGGCCGAGCCCCGGUGUGACCACUACCUCGCCCCGCAAUCGUCUGCGCUGCCCCGCUGACGACCGUAGGUCUAGCGCCAGGCAGAACCACUGCCCCAUGCCCAGCACCUGUCGCCGGCGGCGGCACAGCACCAGCGCGGCCAGUCCCGGUCAGGGCAUAGUGCUUCUUCCCCGGUGGCGCUCCAGCCCCUCGGCCGGCCAUGUCCACCAGGGGGGGUAUUCGCCUCGCACGGCCAAGACCACAGGAACGGAAGCCCGGCUUCCUUCGACGAAGAACCCUAGCGUUCUGCGAGGUCGAAGAAGCCGCCGAAAGAUCGGUUGAUCUACCUGCAUCAGCGCGAUCGAACUUGGAGGAAACCGGACUGUCCUGGGCCUCAUACCUAGCAGUCUCUGGCCCAUCCCAAUUCGGCCCUUGCAACAUAGAACGAUCAAGCGGCAGCUCAAAAACUGAAGCACCAUGCAACGACGUUGGGUCGGACGUGAUCGCAAGCGUGACUUCAGGCUCAGACACAUAGUUUUAAAUAGCGCGCUAAGCAUCUUAGCGGCGGACCUCUUUCAAAUGCUAUAGCGUGCUAUAGCGGAGCUAUAGCGCGCUAUUUAAAAUGUUUUUUUAUUUGUUUGGACCAAAGUCUCUUAGCGCAAGACCUUUUGUAAACGCUAUAGCGUGCUAUAGCGGAGCUAUAGCGGGCUAUUUAAAACAGUACUCAGACAUGAACUCAUUCAUGGCUUGGGAGUUUACCUGGGCCUCAUUCCCAGUGCAAAUAGAGCCCACGACCAACGCACUAGCACACACCUGAUCUUGGCCCAACAGAAUAUUCAAGCGCGCCCGUCUGGCCGCUUGAAUAUCGUUGGCCACCCUAGCCAUCCGCGGCGGCCUCGCCGGCUGGCCCUUCUUGCCGUUCUUCUUCUUCGUAACAAGUGUCCAUGAAUCCGGAAUGAAAUCAGAAAGAGUAACAUGUGCGCGGUUUACCUUCGGGAUCGGUCCAAUCCACGGUUUCAUGUGUAUCUCUGGCUUCUUCUGAACCCCUCUCUUCCGGUGAGGAUCAUUGACAGGUGAACAUCCCGGCGGCGGCAUCGUCAUCGCACACCCCGGUCUUUCCGUGAUCAUCUGACUCAUGUCGGCCCCAUCUUCUUCCUCCAUCCCCCCAUGACCAGCCCCUUGAUCCUCCUCGUCGUCGCUAUCUACAAGAACCCAAAAUCAUCCUCCAAGACGAUGAUCCGAUCUCCCAGCUUUGGGCGUAUCCGUCAAGUCGAUCAGAUCCGCAACCUCCUUCUGAUCAUCCUGCAUAGGACUAUCGGCACGCACGUCAUAAAAAUCGAUGUGUAAACAAGAUCCUACCAUAAUCCGCGCAUGACUGAGGGCGUCCGCGCGUGACUGAGGGCGUCCGUUGCGGCGACGGCCUCCAGCUAUCGUUCAGUUAUAUCAGAUGAUUGCCCUCAGUGAAACAUUCUCGUGCCACGGGGGCUGCGUGCACCUCGUCUGCUGGCCGUUAGCUGCCUUUCUUGCUUUCGUAAUAUGUGUCUGAGUGAAAGAAAGAUGCAGUGGCGGCGUUGUUAUUUCUUUGGAUUAAUGACUACUUCUGGUCGGUAAGGUUCGAUCGAGCCAGAUGUAAGGGCCCACCUGAAAGAUGUGUUAUUGUAUCAAAGCCCCUGGCAUUUUGCUUAAAGUAUAAACAGCUCCCUUCCCACCUGAAGACAUGAGAAUAAGUUCAGCAUGUUUAUACACAAUUCGUAAGUAGAUAUGUCCACUGCAAAUCAAUUGAUGUAUUAUGUGAGGACUACUAUGUCACUUGUUGAUGUUUGCAAAACUAUAACUUCUAUACGCUGCAAACCUGGCACAAAACAGAUUCCAUGCAAUUCUUGGAAGAACAAGCUGCACAUAACAGCAAUUCUUGGAAGAACAAUCUGAUGUUUCCAUUUGACUCCCUACGGUUGUUCCAGUACAACAACAUCAAGUGUUUAAAAAUGGUGCCAUCUUACAAAUUUUAAAGUGUUCCAAGGUUGCAACUUGUGCUAUCUCUUGCUUUAAUGAUGAUUGUGGCGACGAGUAAACCUUUUUGUCUGCAUUGUAGGGUUGAGUAAUGAUGGCAUUGCGUCUAGUUUUUUACUUGGACCAACACAUCGCUAAGUUUUGUUGGAUAGAAUGAGAUUUCUAUUGAACAAGAAGAUUCUGUAGCAAAUCACAGCAACUUACCUACCUGGGGAGCAGAGUUUGUAAGUUUGCUUGCAUCUGAUUCGGCCGGCUAGUGUAGAUGUUUCUGCUCUGCCAUUUGGAGCAGAAACAUCUUGUCCUCUUUUUCAGCAGAAAAAAGCACCAAAACAUAUAUUACAUGAACAUGAGGUUAGUUAUAGCAAUUCAAUAAAACAGAAAACCAUAUUGACAAUGGGAGUUACUAUCAAUUAAAAUAAGAUAGAACUAGUUAAAAUUUGCUUAUUAUUUCUCGAAGUACAAAAAUUAACUAUUUGUAAAGUGCAGGACUAGGAAAACAUAUUGACAAUGGGGAAUUACUGUCCAUAACUUGGAAUCCAUUUUGUUUCUUUCAUUGGACAAGGGGUUCAUCUUUUCAAGCAGCUAGUUAUCUCGAGGCUUCAUGGCCGGGAACAGCAGGACCUCCUUGAUGUUCUGGGAAUCCGUGAGCAACAUGGUCAGGCAAUUAAUCCCCAGACCCAAGCCCCCGGUCGGCGGCAGCCCGUACUCAAGGACACUGCAGAGCGUCUCGUCCAUGGCCAUCGCUUCAUCGUCAUCGUGCCUCCAAUCCCUUAGCUGCUCCUCAAACCGCUGCCUCUGCAGGACGGGAUCGUUCAGCUCCGUGUAGGCGUUCCACACCUCGUGCUUGUUGAUGAAAAGCUCAAACCUUUUGGUCAGUACAGGCCGGGCCUCGUCCCUGUGGGACUUUGCGAGUAGGCUCAUGAUCUCCGGAUGGUUGACGAUGAACGUCGGGUUCACGCAUGUCUCCUCCAAAAAGUGCCCAACCAGCUUGUCGAGUAGCCGCGCCAUCGUGUGUGUAAGCAGGGCACGUAAAGUCGUGCCUGGCACAAGCCUCCAUCAAGUACCUGUUGGCUUUGUCGGUCGAAAGAUCCUCCGGUAUGUUCAGAUCGGUCAUCUCCUCGAGUCUGGACCAUGUUGAUCCGCGCGAACGGAGGCGUGAAACAAUCUCGAUGGGCGGCUUGCCGGCAGGUCGGCACGGUACUACAGCUUGUAGCCGCCCGUCAGUUCCUUGACCAUGCCGCCCAGCAUCUUGUCCGUGGACUCCAUCAGUCGUUGUAAUCCGCAUAGGUCAUUUAGAACUCACAGGUGGUGAACUCAGGGUUGUGCGGCACUGAAAAAAAUAGCGCGCUAUAACGCCGCUAAUAGCACGCUAUAGCAUAUAGAAAAUUGUCGCGCCAAAUAAAUCAAUAUACAAUGCCUCGCUAAUAGCACGCUAUAGCAUGCUAAUAGCAUAUUUCGAGGGGCCACGCUAUUUUCUGUAGCGCCUUAUUUUUCGUGUUGACUCCUUCCUUCCUGAACUGCCUCCUGGUCUCGUACACGUGGUCCCGCGCGCCUACCGACGACGAGCUGCUUCAGGUUGCGUGAAACGAUGAUUGCUACCCAAGGGAAACAAACAGCCGCAGAGAGGUAGCGCUUUCCUCGUGGCCCGUAUAGGUCUAGGACGUCCAUGUUCUGUUGAACUGCAUCUAUGGUUUCAGGGUGAUCAGCUGCAUAAGACGUGUGUUUGGUUUCAUGCAAUAGGGUGUUCUGUUCACCCCCAUUGAGUUUUGUCAUUUCUACUAAAAUUAAUUACAAUGUCGCUGUGUUUACAUACUGCAUGACGGGCGACGUCGCUAAUAUUGAAGACCGUCGACAUGCCAGUACUUCUACAGCCCCUGUCUCUCUAUAUAAAUAUAUCCUUUCCCUUGUUGCUUCUCCGUUCUUCUGUAACCUCCCCAAGCCUCACACACAUACUCAGAAACACACUAUCCCAAAACCCAAAACAAUCUGGAAAUUUUUUAGUCAAUGUUGCUGGAAGCAUAUAGAAGCGUCUUUUUUCUUGAACAUGCCACGCUAGGAGUAGGAGGCAUUGGGAAGUGCUCAGAAUUUUAGAAAGGCUAGGGCGAGAGCACGUCGAACCGUGCAGGGCCCAUGUUGCUCUUCCCGGAGAACCAGCGCACACCAACGCCGUUGCCGAGCUUCACGACGGAGUGGAAGGCACAUAACUCCUCGGGCGACUGCAGCUCCGAGGUUCCGGCGUUGCCCUGUUUAUGCGCUUGUUUGGACUCGAUCGUACUAAACCUAGCGUGCACACUUAAUUAGGGCCGAUGGACAUUACAUAGGCUCUAGCUACGUGUGUAUUACUUGGGAAAACUAUAGCUGCACCCCGGAUGCUAGCUGGAGACCUUGUUGGCUGCUUCCGAUGUGAGAAGCAAGCAAGCAGAUGCGAAAGAUGGAGCUAGCCUCGCCAGGUAAUGAAGUGUCAAAGCUUCGGAGCUGCUUUUGAAGGUUCCGAUCGAGGAAAACAAUUUACGCGUCAUGAAGCGCACACGGGGGUUGGAGUAGUAUUACGAGGAGACAGGCCCGACGAAUUCAUCGAAGUUAAAGGCACUGCUUGUUUGCACGAGAUGAGGAAGGGAGACCACACAGGACGACGGGAUCAGGGGCUCGGCGUCUACAGGCGGCGGGAUCCGGCCUGCGGCGGCGCGAGAUGGCGGAAUCAGGCGUGCAACCAUGCAACAAGGCGGGAUCUGACGUGCGGCGGCUUGACGAGGGCGUCGACAUCGCUUGGUCGAGGAUGGCGGUGACGGAGCUUGGCCUCAAGGAUGGUGGCAGCGACCCUUUGGACGUGGACAGCGGCUGCGCUUGGUGGACGACGAACGAGGAUGGCGACGCUUGAAGAGGACGGUGGCAAUGCCUAGUCUAUGCGGCGGCUUUGGUAGAAUGUUAGAAGAAGAAAAGGAAACAAGCGAGCCUGCACGCGAGCUAUGCUUGAAACAUGUGUUUCCCUCCGCCUGGCUGAGAGGCCUAGUUUUGCAUCCAUCGGGCCAGGCUGGAAGACCCAUCCAGUGUACCAAACAACCAAUUUUUGCAUGGUGGAUGUGAGCCACAUGCCAUGCAAUGAACCAAAUACUAGAGCUGGACCAAAACCUCAUAGCUCGCGAGCUUAAUAAGCGCUCGAUAGUUUAACUUAUUAAGCUCGUGGCUGGCUUCUUAUUGAACAGAGCCAAUCAUCGAUUUUAGCUUGUUAAGAGCAUCUCCAACAGGCUCCCAAAAACUGGGCCGCGCGCUAAAAUCCGGAUUUUUUGAGCGCCGAACAGCUUCAGCAGAAACUGUAAAACAGUAUGAGCGCCGGACAGCUUCAGCAGAAACCCUUUGAUUGAAGUGCUCGUCAGCGCAGCUCCUGGGAGCUGACUUUUGGGCAGGAGCUCGCGUCCCACAUGAUUUGUCCAUCUAACAGGCUGGUAGUGGAGGAGAAGGACAGGACGAUCGGAUCCACCAUGCUUGGAGGUGAAGAACGGGGCAGUGGCGCACAUGCGACUCUGUACAGAGGGAGAUUCGUCGUGGAGGAGGCGAGGAACUGGUUUGGCGUAGAAGAGGAUACGAGGCCGGAGCUCACCUCAUGCUGCCUGGGUGCAGAAGAGGAGAGGAGGCAAGAGCGAGAUGGCGGUGGCUGAACCAUAGCUAUCUGGUAGAGGAGAGAAGGCCGACUCACUGGUAGAUACUACGUAUGUUGAGAUCCGCAUUAUCCUCGAGUCCUUGGAUCAUGUUGAUCCACGUGAACGAAGGUGUGAAACCGAUCUCAAUCGGCGGGUUGUCGACGCCGUUGGCGUGGUACUGCACGUUGUAGUAGCCCGUCAGCUCCUUCACCAUGCGGCCCAACAUCUCAUCCACCAGCUCCAUCAGGUCGUUGUAAUCCGCAUAGGCCAUUUAGAACUCGGAGAUGGUGAACUCAAGGUUGUGCCUCGUGGCGNNNNNNNNNNNNNNNNNNNNNNNNNNNNNNNNNNNNNNNNNNNNNNNNNNNNNNNNNNNNNNNNNNNNNNNNNNNNNNNNNNNNNNNNNNNNNNNNNNNNNNNNNNNNNNNNNNNNNNNNNNNNNNNNNNNNNNNNNNNNNNNNNNNNNNNNNNNNNNNNNNNNNNNNNNNNNNNNNNNNNNNNNNNNNNNNNNNNNNNNNNNNNNNNNNNNNNNNNNNNNNNNNNNNNNNNNNNNNNNNNNNNNNNNNNNNNNNNNNNNNNNNNNNNNNNNNNNNNNNNNNNNNNNNNNNNNNNNNNNNNNNNNNAAAAACACAAGGAUGGUCGAUGCCGGUUCGUAACGAGGGAAACGAUGGUCAUUUCAGGUGGGCAUAGAGCGCGUGUAGACCAGUCGUAGAGCCCUGUAUGAGCCCGCGCCGGCCCGUGUACUAUUGUACGCCGCGCGUGUACGUAUAUUAUACGCUGGCGGUUGCGUUUCCCAGCAGUCGUGCGCGCGGACGUGUGCGUGGAUAGUUUCCAAAAAAAGGCCCCUAGUAUAAGAGGAGGGGAACGGGCACCGGCCGGAUCGCCCACCCCAUUUCCCCCAAAUCGCCUCCCUCUCCCUCCUCUCUCCUCUGCCUCAUCGUCUCCCCCACCGGCCAUCCCACCUGCUCGCUCACCACCACCGCCUCGCUCUCUUCUCCUGCUUGCUUCUGGCUCGGAUGGAGCAAGGCCGUGGCGAAGCCGCCGUCGCGGACGGAGAUCUGUAGAAGACGGGCACGGAGACCGUGGCAGAUGCCGUGCAGAACCUCGUCGGCGGUGCGGGUGCAGGAGGUGUUGCAUCCCCACGCGCUGCAUCGGUCGCUGCGGCGGCGGAUCUGGAGGAGAAGAAGGUGGCCGUGGCGGACUCAGCCGUGUCGGAGCUUGGCGUGACAGCGUCGAGCGGCCCUUCUAAUGGACCUGCGGAGGCCGGCGGCGAGCACGUGGACCUGCAGGUAAUCCUUGCUAGCAGUCCCCUCCGUUGGUAGUUAUCCCCAUUAAUCAGUAGAUUUAGGUGUGAGGGUUUUUUGUUGUUGCUAGUUGCUGCAUCCCCUUAUGAUAAUUAGGGUUCUUAGAUGUUUGAUUGAUUUAUAGUGAAGGUUUUGGAUUCUGUGAUUGAAUCAUCCAGUAGAUCAAGUAGUUAGGGUUUUUAAUGAGAUGUUUAGUUGAGGAUUUUUUGUAUUGGAUUCAAUUAGAGCCACUGAUUUGUAGAAUCUGUGAUUGAAUCACAUCCAGUAGAUGUAGUAGUUAGGGUUUUUAAUUAGAUGUUUAGUUAGUUUUUUUAUUGGAUUCAUUUAUAGCCUCUGAUAUGUAGAAUGUGUGACUGAAUCACAUCCAGUAGAUGUAGUAGUUAGUGUUUUUUAAUUAGAUGUUUAGUUGGAGAUUUUUUGUAUUGGAUUCAAUUAGAGCCACUGAUAUGUAGAAUUUGUGAUUGAAUCACAUCCAGUAGAUGUAGUAGUUAUGGUUUUUUAAUUAGUUGAUUAGUUAAGGUUUAUUUGUAUUGGAUUCAUUUAUAGACAGUUAUAUAUAGAUUCUGUGAUUGAAUGAUGUAGUAGAUGUACUAGUUAGUGUUUCUUAAUUAGAUGUUUAUUUAGGUUUUUUUGUAUUGGAUUCAUUUAUAGGCAGAGAUAAAUGUAAUUAAAUGGUGCGACCGAAUGAUGCAGUAGGAGUAAGAGUUAUGAUACUUUUAUUAGAUGUAUGAGUUAGUGUUAUUUGUACGGGAUUCAUUUAUAUCCAAUGAUAUAUGUAAGUAAACUUUGUGAUUCAAUGAUCCAGUGGAUUACUUUUAUUAGAUGUAUGAGUUAGUGUUAUUUGUAUUGGAUUCAUUUAUAUCCAAUGAUAUAUGUAAGUAAACUUUGUGAUUCAAUGAUCUAGUGGAUCUAGGAGUUAGUGUUUUUUAAUUAGAUGCUGGAGUUAGGGUAUUUUAAUUAGAUGUAGGAGUUAGGCUUCACCAUUUCACUCAUUCUAGCAUAUGAGUGCUAAUUCAGAACUUGUUUGUAAUGACAUUAUUUGAACUGCAAUUCAAUUCCUUGUAAAUGAUUUGCCUAGUUGACAAUAUAGCAGAAGGAGGAUCUUGUUGGCAAGAGGAGGAAGUGGGACUCAUCUGGGUACUACCCAUAUGACAGGGAUGAAGAUGAGCCGUACGAGGUAAGGCCUAGUUGAAAUGUUAUUUGUGCAUUGAGUUAGUGUUAGAUGUUUAUAGUAUUUGAAUGCAUAAUGUAUUAAUGUCAGUUAUUAAUGUGCGCAGUGUGAAUCUGGAGAUGAUGUGGUCGAGGGGAACGUCGAGUCCUUUGAAGAGAAGGUGGUGCAGAAGAUCAGGGCCCAAGGAUCUGGUACGUACUACAACUGGAGGACGGACAAGUACUGCUGCCCCUACUGCAUUAGGCCCAAGCCCAUGUCUGGGUUGCUGGAGCAUCUGAUGGAACAUUGUUGGGCUACAUCCGUCAGCAGUGAUGAGUACAAGAUCAGGGCUCAGCAUUCUGCCCUCCACAAGGUCCUGAGAAACUCUAACAUGUAGUUGCCCUAGACCCUGGUUGUCAUAUGAUGGAGGAAGCCUCAGUUCUUUUGGUGAAAUUUAUGUGGUAGCCUGAUGGUGGAAACUUGAAGUGGUAAAGUAGUAUUAACUUUAUCUAAGUGUAGUACUGUGAUGUGUGCUCCGAAGUUAUCUAAUGCUAGUGGUCCUAACUUGGAUGUGUACUCUCCUGUAGCAACAGGCCACGUACCAGGUGGUCCAGCCCAUCAACGGUGACCCGUUCAUCGGCAGCCUUGAGACCCCCGUCACCUCCAGCCCCCUCGUCGCGUGGUACCUCUCCAACCUCCCCGCGUACCGCACUGCCAUCAGUCCGCUCCUCCGUGGCAUCGAGGUCGGCCUGGCCCACGGCUAC